rnacentral:lncRNA from 1 species
GUAUGGAGAGUGGGACUAACCUUGGAAGCAAAGGUCCCCUGAGGCCAGUUGAGCAACCCGGCAACCAUUUGCCCUGUUUGAUUGCAAUCGUCAUCAAUGGCCUAGAAAACCCAUGCCCACAUCAGAAAACAACAAUCCACCAUAAAAAGAGUCUAGGAUUUUCACGGAAUCCGCAAAUUUAUUUUUAAAUCGUUACCAAAAACCCUAAUCUCUGGGCACGAAUUCACAGACCUGUUUGCCCAGAAUAAGGAGGCCAGGCUUCUCCACAUCGACGAGAGCUUUGAGAAGCUUAGCAACUGAAAGUGGGUACAGAGUGGCGGAAGCUUCGACGUGGAUGGCCCUAUCGGCGCCCAUGGCGAGACCCGUUCUGAGCGUGUCGACGCACUGGCUGGGACCCACACUGACAGCGAUAACCUCCGACGCCAGACCCGAUUCCUUGAUCCUCAGAGCCUCUUCCAAACCUAUCUCACAAAAGGGGUUCAUCGACAUCUUGACGUUGCUGGUCUCCACGCCGCUCUGAUCGUGGGUUGGCGAUUGUUAUUGGAUGAUGAUGAAAUUACAGAUACUGAAUAACUUGAGAGUUUGGAUUUGGGUUACCUUGUCGGAUUUGACUCUGAUCUUGACAGCGUAGUCCACAACACGCUUUAUCGCCACCAUUAUCUUCAUCUCGUAUAUGGGUGGUUAUCUUCUCCGGCACAAGGGUAUUGGCAAAUGACUGAUGAUGAAGGACGAGGAUAUUCGCCCGAGCCCUACUGCACGACACCACAUCCGCUUAUAAAAUCUUUUGAUACGGAUAAGUACAAGGGAAGUGGAAAAAAAGGAUUAUUAAGAAAAAUAAAUAUAUUACCAAAAAAAUUAUUUAAAAUUUUGUUCAUGUAGAAAGAACCCGUGAAUCAGAUCGAAAAAAUUAUAUUAAAACUGCUGUAUAGCCGAAAAUUGUGUACAGAAUUUAUUUUAACAUUGUAUUAUUGAAUUUUUUAUUCAAAAAUUGCUUAACGUGAGAUAGAAAUUAAAAAAUCAUUAGUAAUUUUGUCCGAAAGUUGUUAUAUUUCAUGUGUUUUAAAAAUAGAUGUAAUUUAUUCCUAUUUGCAUUUUUAACGUACAUUUAAUUAAAUAACCCAAAAAGUUAUUGAGUUCACAUCAUCUAUGGAGUCUACCUCUCUUUGCUUUUGUUGCUUCCAAAAAUACCAUACUCCCAUAUUUUUUUGGUUCUACUCAUUUUACUUUAUUUUUUUCAUUCCAUUCAUUCCACGUGAAGUCUUCAAUCCUAAUAACAUUUACUAUAUUACAAUUAAGUUUAAUUUUUAAAAAACUUAAUUAGGGUUAAAUUUCCUUUGAGAGAACUUCAUUACAAUUAUUUGAGUUGUACGUUAAGUUUCAUUUAAAAAUAACUUAUUUAAAAAGAUGUUAAGCUUCCCCUAUUUUAUUUAUAAAGUUUAAUAUCUAUUUGAUUUUAUAUUUGAAAUCCAACUAAAACCUAAUAACGAAUUGUUGUAAAAAAACUCCAAUCAAAAUACUAACAAAAAUUAAAACAUAAAACUCUGAUAAAAAAUUGUUAAAAAAUCCAACAAAAAAACAAUCAUAAAAAACCCUAAUCAAAAACAUCAUGGAAGUUUAAAUGAAAUUGCCAAAAAAUAAAAAGUAUAGAAAACCCUAACAAAAAAACAACACCAAAACACCUGACAAAAAACAAUUACAAAUUCUAGCACAAAAACCCCCAAUUAAAAAUAUCUAUAAAGAAAAACCUAAAAAAAACCAAUUAUAAAACCUCCAACAAAAAAUAAAGAGAAAGAUGAAGAAUAUGAAAAAUUUUGAAGAAGAAAGAAACAUGAGAGAACUAUCAUUGAUCUUUAUUUGUUAAUCUUUGUUAUAUGUUUGAACUUCACUAGAAAAUGAGAGAGAGAGCAUAAACCUAAAGAGAGAAAGAGCUGAAAAUGAGAGGAGAAAUGAAUCACAAUGAGGGGAAUGACAAUUUGAGGAAAUAUAGAAGGGUUAAAUCAUUUGAACUAGGUUAACGUUUUUAUUAAAAAAAAAGAGUAAUGAAGGUCCUUGUUCUAAUUUCAAGAGUAUGUCUGUUAAUUACCAAAUGUGGCAACUCUAAAUAAAAUCCUUUGUUAUCAACUAAAACUAAAAGUCCCAUUACAUCAUAUCCAACUUUCAUUUGUUAUCAACAAAGUAAAACUAUAUACAACUAUUAUCACCAUCUCUCCUAUUUUGAUGUUAUUUUCUUAGAUGAAUUUGUAAAUCAAAAUUUACACCACCCAUAAAUUUUUUGAGCUUCCUAUUUAACACAACUUCAAUUUGUUAUACUUUGAACAUCACAAAGAUAAAGUAAUCAACAUUUUGCUUGGACAAGUUUUUCUUCUCUAAAGUUUAGAGUCCUAUUUCACUUCCCGUUUAUGGGUUGUUAGUUCAUCUAAUAUCUCACCAUCAUCCAUUCCAUGUACUGUGUUUCCGAAAUGAGUUGAUUCCACAUCCUAAAUGUCUGUGCAAAUUAAUAAGGAAUGUCGAGUUACCAAUUUUCUUAAAAGCUUAAUCUUGCAAGAUUUGGAUUCAAAAUGCAUAUCAUGCUCUCUUUAACACCCCUCCCCCCUCUCACAUGUAGCCCUAUACCCACACGUAGAGAAAUAGACUUAUAGGAAAAUUGGUAGUUUAAUAUAGUAUCAGCACUUGGUUUGGUGGGAGGUCUCCUGUUUGAGUCACCUCUCCACAAUUUACAUUUCUCCUAUUUGUUUAAUUUACAGUUCUUCCCUUAAUCUGUAAUUCUUUGGAUAUAAAUUUUCCCCCUAAUUUGUAGUUUUGUGGAUAUGAAUCUCUCUUCCAUGUUCAGGUAUGGGGCCACACAUAAGAGAGGGUGUUAAAGAGCAUGAUAUGCAUAUUAAACCCAAAUCCUAUAAGUUAAAACUUUUAGGAAAAUUGGUAGUUUAACGCUUUUAGGAAAAUUGGUAGUUCAACAUGUGUACACCCCAUUUUGGGGACUGCUAUUGCUCCCACUUCUUUUUGUCAAAUGGUGGAGCUUUUUAGGAGCACAUGUUGUAUUUGGAAAGGCUAUUAGAAAAUGGCAACAUGACUGUUAAUGGAAGUAAUGAUUUUCUAAAAAGGCAACCAUGGGAAGACACAUAACAAAGAUGUUUGGGGAGGAGGGAGAGUGUGCAUCAAGACUACUCAUGAGGGGUAAGAAACAAAAAAAAAAAAGUGUCGAAGAUAACUAAAAAAUUGGAGAAACAUAAAGGAAUAAGGAUUUUAGGGCUAUGGAUGGUGAACAAGAGUGAAUUAUGGGUGUCUAGGACAGCUAGGAAUGGUGAGAGGAGUAGGGAGCUGUAGAAGGUGAUGAGCUAGGUAAGAUGUAUUUUCGAGAAAGAAAAGAACCAAAGAAAGAAGGUGGUGAAUUAAGUGAGACACGUCUCAGAGAAGCAGAGAAAGUUGGCUUGAAGCCAAGCAAACUUUUGCUUGAGAUGAGCAUUGCCUAGUAAGAUUGUUUCGAUUCAUCGAUUAUUACUGAUCAUCAUACUUCUCUUGUCUUAUAUUCAUGUGAUUAUUUUACAUUGAUUGUGGGGUUGCUUUGGUUUGGUUAUUAUGGCUUCAUCCUCUAUUUCUUUAGUUUUAUUCAAGGAUAAAUCUAAUUGUGCUUUGAUUAGUUAUUCCAUAUUUGAAAAUCUUUGUGUAUUUUGGGUUUUUUCUCUUUAGAUAUUUUCUAGAUUAAUCCACUGACCUUUAAACCCACAAAUAAAGAAAAAUGAAAUGAGUUUUUUCAUAUUUGUUGGGUGUUUGGCCCUUGUUUAUCUUUUUUUAAAGCUUUAUUCCUUUAUAUUCUCUAUUUCUCCCCAUUUUGUACAUGGGUGUUUCAAUCAGAGUCUCUAUUUUGGCUUCCACAUUUGAGAUUUCUUUUAUGAGCGAAGACCCAAAAAUGGAGACUGGCUUCUUGUAAUUGAUAAAAUAGUUAGUCACCCAUUAGCUUAGAUGAAGCAUAGAUGUUAACCGGAUUGUGAACAUGGAUACUCUAUUUUGGGCCUAUUAGGCCUUCCAAUCCUCUCUUAGUUUCAUUAUUCUUGAGGAUAGUGUUUGGUUGUGUCUGCUACUUAUUCUGUGGCUUCGGUGGUCUGUUUGUUUAUUCUUGGCUAUUAUCAAUGCUAACAAUGGGAAAGAGACUGGUUUUGGUUAUGCUCUUACGGAUUUGAAGGUGAUCAAAGGGUCCAGUGAAGAGAAGAUUAGUAGGUCAUAUUAGGUUAAUUAAUUAAUUAGGACAUGUUUUGAGUUAUAUUAAGUAAUACAAGCUCUUAGUGGGCUUAAGUAACUUAAGCCUAGUGGGGAAUGCCAUAAAUACCCCUUAGGGGUUAGCAUUUCCAUAGGUUUUUCUAGAGAGUCAUCUUUCACCUCCAAAGAAGGAGAGUCAUAGCCUUUACCAUUUUUUCCAUCAUUAUCGAAGUGUGUCAAGAUUAAGGUUUAAGUCAUUGAGCGGAAGACUCCAGGUUUAUGAGACUUCAUACAACUUCGUUUUUCAUUUUCAUCAAAUGGAAUUAAUUUGAAAACAUUUGAAUCUGAAGUAUGGUUUUUGUUAGCAUAUUUCGAAUCCCUUUAAAGUUUAAAAAUGCAAAUUUUCCACUAUGUAUAGGAUUUAAAAUCGCUUAAGAUAGUUAAACAUGUUCCCCACUUGAUCUGAAUUGGGAAACGGAGAAAUCUGAUAUUUUCCCAUCACAAGGUAGGAUAAGAACUUGUGAUUGAUCUUUAUGGAUUGGACUAAUUAAUUAAUUGGAACCUAAUUAGGCUAAUUAAUUAAUUAAGACCUAAGCAAACUAGUUUAAGUUACACAAGCCUAGGAUGGACUUAAGUGACUUAAGCCCAUGGGAAGCUUAUAUAAACUCCUUUAGGGGUUAGGGUUUCAAACUUUUAUCAUCUAGUCUUCAAUUCCUUAAAGAGAAUAGAACUCGAGCCAACAACUCUCCUAAAGGAUUCUAUUGCUCCGUGUCAAGAUUCGAAAAAAAACUAUUUGAUGGAAGGUUGUUAUGUUUAUGAGAUUCGUUAUGUUUUUUUACACCUUUUCACUAAAUGGAAUUGAUAUAGGAAUGUUCAUAUCUCAAGUGCAACACACUUAUUCUCUUUAGAUUUAUAUUGCUUAUGGUUUUUUUUUUUUUUGUCAUGGUUUUCCGUUAAGAUUAGAUUAAGAGAGCCCUAUGUCAUAGAAUGCUUCAAAUGAGCCUCCCCGGGGGUUUGUAUAGAGCCCAUGAAGCUUCUAGAGACUCCUAUACUUAGCCAUUGGUGGGAAGAGUGUGAAAGGUUCUACAGAUGUCUAGAGAUAUUUACACAUCUCUACACUAUGGUGGAAGGCAUGAGAGGAGUCUAAGGCAUUCUAAAGAAUUAUAAAGAUCUCUUAUAUAUUCUUGUACAUAGGCUUGUACAUAGAAUUGUGUAGGAAGUUAUAGAUUAUUCUUGAGCUGUAAGGAACCCUCCAAGGUUCCAGAGAGUUCCAUUGGUGCCUAUAAAUAGGUGAAUGCCUCAUUUGGCCAAGACACUAAGCAAGUGAAUUCCAAAACACUUGUAAAGCUUCCUUUGAAUAAUAAAAGUUUCAAUUCUUCAAGAGUUGCCUAUUAUGCCUUCUAAAACUUCUAAGUCAUGAGCAUCUUAACCUAACAAGUUAAGCAUUGGGAGUAAUGCUAACUUAGCAAGAUCAAGGAUCUUGACUUGUCUAAGUGUUGCACGAUCUUAGGAAAAGAUUAAGUUUGUGACAGUUGGUUUCAAAGUGUGACUACGAAGUGAGCAUAGUAAAGGAAACAUGUCGAGCUUCAACAUGGAGGAAACUAGUGAGCAAACCCGUGGGAAAGAAACCGAGCCUACUGCAUAGGACAGGGACAUGAAGGAUAAAUCUCGUAAUGCCAUAGCCAACGUGGAGGCAAGGCUAGCCAAGGUGGAGCUAGCCAUGGCAGACACCCGGGAAGGGGUGGACUUAAUCGAGCAAGGCAUGGAAAAUGGCUUAGAGGAUCUAAAUGAGCAUAUCCAAGACCUUCAUGAGAGAGUGCUAGGCUUACAAGUUCGGCCGAUGUCAUAUGAGGAGUUCAUGUCCUUCCAAAACGAGGUCAUGAGCAUGUUUGCUAGCAUGGAGUCGAAGGUGGAGGCCUUGGCUGCACGCAUAGAGGCCCAAGACCAAGAGGUUCAACAAGAGCUAGCUAUCUACAAGACUGUCUUAUCAGCACGAGUCAUGGCCACUCAUGAGGCACUAAGGGUGGAAGUGCCCAAACCACACACGUUCAAUGGCAAGAGGGAUGCCAAGGAGUUGGACAAUUUCUUGUGGCACAUGGAGCUCUACUUUGAGGUUAUAACACUAAUAGAUGAAGCCACUAAGGUAUGUACCACAACCCUCUACCUCACCAAUAAAGCUACUCUAUGGUGGCGUCAGAGGUUUGCCAAUAUAGAAAAAGAAAUGUGCACCAUAGACACAUGGGAUGCCUUUAAGCAAAAGAUCAAAAAACAAUUAUACCUUAAUGAUGUGGCUUACCUAGCAAGGAAAAACACAAAAUGUCUUAAGCACACAGACUCGAUCCGUGAGUAUGUCAAAGAAUUCUCUACACUUAUGCUUGAGAUACCCAACAUGUCUGAGGAAAAGCUACUAUUCAACUUCAUGGACAACUUGCAAAGCUGGGCCGAGCAAGAGUUAAGGAGAAGUGGUGUCCAAGACCUAGCCACGGCCAUGGCGGUAGCGAAGUCCUUGGUGGAAUACAAAAAGGGAGACUCUUUUAAGCCCAAGCCACAGUCUAAGGGUAAUCAUGCUAAAGGUGGGGAAACAAGGGAUCAAGGAGGUACACUCCUAAGGAAUGAUCAAGCAAGACCUCUGGUGGCAAGGAUGGUAAGGGUAAGGAUAAACGGAAAUAGUUCACGCCUAAGAUCAAUUGCUUCCUAUGUGAUGGUCCACAUUGGGCGCGAGACUACCUCAAAAGAAAAGCCCUAAAUGCCAUGAUCGAGGAAAAGUAGAAGGAAGACAAUGCUCAUGUGGGAUCAUUACAACUCUUAAAUGAUAUCAAGGCUAAGUCAGUGCUUAAGACACCUCAAAGUAAAAGUCUAAUGUACAUAGAAGCCCUUGUAAAUAGGAAGGCUACCAAGGCUUUGGUGGACACUAGUGUCACUCAUAACUUUGUCUCGAAGGAUAAGACAAAGAACUUAGAGCUCCAAGCAUCUAAGGAAGGAGGUUGGCUCAAGGCAAUUAAUUAAGUUUCCAAGCCAUCACACGAAGUAGCACGCAGGGUGGCAAUGCACAUUGGCUCAUGGGAAGGAAUGGUCGACUUCACAGUGGCACCCAUGGACUACUUCAAGAUGGUACUGGGAAUGAACUUCCUAUAGAAAGACAAGGUCAUGCCACUACACUUCCUACAUUUAAUGGUUAUCCUAGAGGAUGAAAAGUCAUGCAUAGUCCUUACGGUCACCGAAGGUUCACCCAAGACCCCUAUGAUAUCGGUUAUGCAAGUAAAGAAGGGAUCAAAGAGGAAAGAGGUGACCUACCUCACCACUCUUAAGGAGGAAAAUGAUGAUGAGUUGGGGGAGCCCAUGCCUAAGGAAAUCAAGAGAGUCUUUGAUGAGUUCAAGGACGUGAUGUUGCCUAAGUUGCCUAAAAGACUCCUUCCUAGAAGAGAGAAAGAUCAUAAGAUCGAGUUAGAUGCAGGAACUAAGCCCCUUGCUAUGGGGCCAUAUAGGAUGGCACAACCCAAGCUGAAAGAGCUAAGGAAACAACUUAAGGAGUUGUUGGAUGCAGGGUUUAUCCAACCAUCCAAGACUCCCUAUGGCGCACCGAUUUUAUUUCAAAAGAACCAUGAUGGGUCCCUACAGAUGUGCAUCGAUUACCAAGCACUCAAUAAGGUAACAAUAUAGAAUAAGUACCCCAUUCCACUCAUUGUUGAUCUAUUUGAUCAACUUGGUAAAGCAAGGUAUUUCACUAAGUUGGACUUGAGAUCAGGCUACUACCAAGUGAGGAUUGUGGAAGGAGACAAACUGAAGACUACAUGUGUGACCCGAUAUGGCUCAUAUGAGUUCUUAGUGAUGCUCUUCGAUCUCACCAAUGUACCAACAAUGUUUUGGACACUCAUGAAUAAGAUCUUCCAUCCCUAUUUAGACUAGUUUGUGGUGGUAUACUAAGAUGACAUAGUCAUCUACAAUAGCAUCUUAGAGGAGCACGUGGAGCAUUUAAGGAAGGUCUUCAAGAUCUUAAGGUAAAACGAGUUAUAUGUAAAGAAGAAGAAAUGCUCAUUUGUUAAAGAGGAUGUGAGCUUCCUAGGGCAUCGCAUCAAAGAUGGCAAGCUGAUGAUGGAUGACAACAAGAUGAAGGUCAUCUAGGAAUGGGAUCCACCUACUAAGGUACCUCAACUAAAGUCUUUCCUUGGCUUGGCUAACUAUUACCAGUGGUUCAUCAAGGGUUACUCUACAAAGACAGCUUCACUCACUAAUCUUCUUAAGAAGAACAAGGCAUGGGUGUGAGACAAAAGGUGGCAACAAGCCUUUGAAGAUCUAAAAAGUGUUGUGAUUGAGGAGCCAAUGUUGGCAUUACCCAACCACAUGAAGGUUUUUAAGAUACACACAGAUGCCUCAAACUUUGCUAUUAGGGAAGUUCUGAUAAGAUAGACAUCUAAUCGCCUUCAAGAGUUGCAAGCUAAAUGACAUAGAGAGACGCUACAUGGUACAAGAAAAUGAUAUGACUGUCAUUGUCUAUUACUUGCACACCUGAAGACACUAUCUUCUAGGGUCUCACUUCAUAGUGAAAACCGACAAUGUUGUCAUUAGUUACUUCUAAACACAGAAAAGUCCUAAGUAAGCUAGGUGGCAAGACUUUCUGGUUGAGUUUGACGAUGCGCUGGAGUAUAAGACAAAAAGUACUAAUCAUGUGAAUGACGCCCUAAGCCGUAAUGUAGAGCUAGCAUUCAUGACGAGCCAGCCCCAAUGAGACAUAAUAGAUCUUCUAAGAGAGGGGUUGCAACAUGAUCUAGUGGCUAAGAGCCUUAUUACCUUGGCCCAUGAGGGAAAAACUAAGUGUUUUUAGGUAGAGGACGACCUACUCUACACUAAGGGGAGACUACUCUACGUGCUUAAGUGGGGGAACAUAAGGUAGAACUUGAUUAAGGAGUGCCAUGACACCAAGUGGGUUGGGCACCUUGGGCAACGACGCAUAAAGAGCACUACUCGAGUCAGCUUACUACUGAUCUUAGAUACAAGAUGAAGUUGAGGCAUAUGUGAGGACUUGUCUUGUGUGCUAACAAGACAAGGUAAAACAACAACAACCUAGAGGCUUGUUGGAGCCACUACCUAUAGCAGAGCGUCCAUGGGAGAGCAUCACCAUGGACUUCAUCAUCGGGCUACCUAAGUUGGAGGGCUAUGGCUCGAUCAUAGUGGUAGUGGAUAUGUUCUCUAAGUAUGUGACCUUCAUAGUAGCCUCUACUGACUGUACUGCAAAGGAGACAGCAAGGCUAUUCUUGAAACACAUGGUCAAAUACUGGGGGUCGCCUAAUUACAUCAUCAGUGAUCGCGAUUUGCAUUUCACUAGGAAGUUUUGGACAAAGCUCUUUAAGCUUAUGGGUUUGAAGCUUCACUUCUUCACAAGCUUUUCACCCGUAAACAGAUAGGCAGAUUGAGAGGGUGAACGCCUUAUUAGAGUUAUACUUAUCCUUCAUGAGUGUCAACCAAAAGGAAUGGACUAAGUUGCUAGAUGUAAUCCAAUUUUCAUACAACUUGCAAAGAAGUGAGACAACCAACAAGAGCCCGUUCAAGCUAGCCAUAGGGCAGCAACCAUUGACUCCUCACACACUACCAAUAGGCUAUACGAAGAGAAGUUCAGCGGCUUUGAAGUUCACUAAGGGGUGACACGAGCCAACUGACAUAAUAGCUCAUACUUGGAUAGGGCCGCUAGAAAGAUGAAGAAGUGGGCUGACAAAAAGCGACAUCACACUGAGUACAAGGUCGGAGACAUGGUCUUUGUCAAGCUCCUUCCUAAAAAAUUCAAGUCACUAAGGCCGGUACAUAAAGGCCUUAUGAUGAGGUAUAAAGGACAUUUCCCCAUACUUGGAAAGGUCGGCAAGGUGUCCUAUAGAGUUGAGUUACCACCGAGGUUGAAGAUUCAUAUCGUCUUCCACGUAAGUUACAUAAAAUCAUAUCACGAAGACAAGAAUUAUCCAAGCCAAGGGAUGUCCUAGAUGACACCUACAUCGAUUAUGACCUUCUAUGACAAGGAAGUAGAACACAUCAUUGCAGGCUGAGUCAUCAAGAGAUGAGGCGUGCCUCCUGCUACGGAGUACUUGGUGAAAUGGAAGGGACUACCAGAGAACGAGACUAGCUGGGAGCCAAUAGAUGCACUAUGGCAAUUUCAGGAGCACAUUAAGUGGUUCUAGGUGGAAGGUGCGACAAGGACGUUUACGGUUUAGGUAGGGGAGAGUGUCAUAGAAUGCUUCAAAUGAGCCUCCCCAGGGGUUUAUAUAGAGCCUAAGAAGCUUUUGGAGACUCCUACACUUAGUCAUUGGUGGGAAAAUGGUGGAAGGUUCUAAAGAUGUCUAAAGAUAUCCACACAUCUCUACACUAUGGUGGAAGGUAUGAGAGAAGUCCAAGGCUUUCUAGAAAAUUCUAGAGAUCUCUUGUAUAUUCUUGUACAUAGGCUUGUACAUAGAAUUGUGUAGGAAGUUUUAGAUUAUUCUUGAGUUGUAAGGAACCCUCCAAGAUUCCAAAGAGUUUCAUUGGUGCCUAUAAAUAGGUGAAGGCCUCAUUUGGCCAAGGCACCAAGCAAGUGAGUUCCAAAGCACUUGUAAAGCUUCUUUUAAGUAAUAAAAGCUUCCAUCCUUCAAGAUUUAUCUACUACGCCUUAUAAAGCUUUCAAGUUGUGAGCAUCUUAACCUAGCAAGCUGAGCAUUGGGAGCAAAACUGACUUAGCAAGAUCAAGGGUCUUGACUUGUCUAAGUGUCGCACGAGCUUAGGAAAAGACUAAGUUCAUGACACCUAGGACUAGUAGCAUGCACCCUAAGUAAUCCAAGGCUAGAAAUGAAAUGAUACAAGGAUUCCCAACACUUGACUUAAUUCCUUAGAAAUUGAAACUCAAUAAAAAACAUUAGUGUCAUUAACCUCAUUUUUUUUAUUACCAAUACUUAAUUAGGGGAAACCUUGAGCUAACAACCUCCUCAUUUUUUAUGAUGAUAAAACUGUACCAUCUAAAGAAAGCUUUCCUUAAUGUAUGCAUAUUAUAAGCAAUUUAAACAUUCAUCAUAAAAGAUGGAAAACAUAAACUCAAAUGGAGACAUGGAUAUAUAGAUAUAAGAGACAUCAUAAAGGUUGCAACAUGAUCGUAUAUCCGAAAUAGCAUCCAAAAGCAUGUCAUCCAAAAAAAAAUCAACCAUAAUAACCAUGUUCAAAUUGUCCCAAAAAGGAAAAAAAUAUAUAUAUGAAACAAAAAGUAUUAAAUAGUUUACUAAAUGUUAUGCCCUAGAUACCUAAAGAUAUCUCCCCCUUAGGCAACAUCGAAACAAUGAGGGAACUAUAUGGCUCAAGGUUGAGGUGGUGGAAACAAGGAACAUAGGACAGCUAUUGAAGAAGCUAAAAUUCUUCAUAAAUGAUUGAAUUUUAUUUCACCAUGAGAAACAAUACAAAGAGGGAUUUUUUUUUUUUUUUUUUUUUUUUUAUCAAGGGGAAGACCCCUUUCUCUUUACUACUUAUCCCUUUUAAUAAAAAUUCUUCCACAUUUUUCCACUUUAUUUUGCCAACAUUCUUUCAACCCCUUUUGCACAAAAAUGCCAAAGAUAGUAUUAGGAUAACCUUUUACAACCAUUGCUAACUUUUGACACAAGUUGCUAAAAAUUGUUGAAGAUUUGCUUUUAAUGUCAGGUAGGAUAGCAGAUUGGUUCUAAUUGAAGGUCAUUUCUUGUGGAGGACCUUACUUAUAAGUGAGAUGAUUGUUCCUAUCUUCAUGGUUUUAUGUUGUAUAGUUAUAGAGACUUUUUAGAGGCUAUCAGCUUUAGAGCAAAUUUAUGUUGUUUGUUAGGGAUUAAGUAUUUUAUUCAAAUUGGGUGAAUGGUACUACCUCUUUACUUGAGAUGGCUUUGAGAUUGGGUGGUUGAAUAGUAGUACUUUGGAAUGGUCUAGUUUUUGUUCGCUUUAGCUAUCAUUUUCUUAUGCUGUGUCUAUAGACGAGUGGAGACGUCAUUUGGAAAUUGGUCAAAUUGCCCGUGAAAUUGAUCAAAUUGUCAAGUUGUCAUCCUAAAAUUGACUAAACCUAGUUUGUAAAAAUGAGAAACGACCGUCACUAGCGACUAACAUCUUCUCAAGCUAAGUAUUAAUAGAUCCAAUCUGAGCAUAAAGGGCAUCUUAAUGUUGCAGGUUCAAUGCUCAUGAAGCAUAAUAUUUUGGAUACUUGGUGUGAGACACCUCAGCAUAAGUCUAAUCCAUAAGGAUAGUCUCCUCAGGAGGUUGAGAUGUGGGCAAUUGAAUGGUGGCAUCCAUGCCCUUGGUUUGCAUCUCCUGUUGAACAUCCUCACCCCCUAAUCCUUUAUGGUCACCCUCAGUCUCUAUCUAUAGAAUCUCUGCCUCUUACUCAACCCGGUCUUCAUUCAUAGCAGGACCCUUUCUUUUUCUUUCCAAUGAUCCAUUAGGCAAUUUCUCAAACAGCAUUCGGUCUGGAUUUUACGUUAUAGGUAUCAUAGGAUGAGGCCUGAAUGUUUUUUUCUCUUCUUAUGUCCACAUUGAAUGCUUUCAGGAUUUUUGUGAUCAGUCUUCUUCCGUUGGCCACUACUUUAGAAUUGCUUUUACAACAGUUUUUCAUGUGUUGAAAGAUGAUAAGGAAACCUUAGAAUGGAUCGGAGUCAAUAGAAAAUGCUACAUAAUAGGACACCUUGUCUCUAUGUCCACCCUUAGGUAGAAAAAUAUGUUUGAUCAUGUGGUGGUGCACCCUAGAGAUAAUGCUCAAGGCAUGGGCAUGGAGCUUUGAAGUCACUGUGUCGAUGGGUAAGUUACAUAUCCUCUAGAAAGCCCUACCUAGGUUAAAACUAGACACUAUAGGCCAUCCCUUCGUCUCAAAUAAACAAAGUCCCCCACAAAGGAUCUCCAAAAUAUCACAAAGCAUAUCAAUAUUUAGUUUAAUUCAACUCCUCUAACAAAUGUGCUAAUUGGCCUUCAUAUAUUUUAGGUUCAAGUAAAAUACCUGAACAAGGUUGGGGUAUGUAGGCUCUCUUGAUGAGAUGGUAUUGGUGAGUAUUUUUUUUUCUUCAAUACAAAACUAUUACAACACUUGGUUUUUUUUUUUUCUAAAAAAAAAAGAAAAAUAAAAAUAGUUUUAUAUUAUACUUAGUUUCAAGAAAAAUAAUAAUCAAAGCAAAAUGAAAAAAAAAUUCUCAUAUUGGUUUCUCGUGAAAAAUAUAAAAGCAAAUAAAAUACAAUUAAAAUUAAUUAAAAUCUUAUGUAUUUUUAAAUUAUUAAUUUUUAUAUAAAAAAUGAAAAAUAGUAUAAUGAAUUUAGAAGAAUAUAUAAAAAUAAUGUAUUAACUUUAAAUCUUUUUUUCUUUAUAUAUAUAUUUUCCCUUCAAUUUUCUAAUACCAACACAUAAUAAGGUUAAUGUCUUCUAGCCAACCAAUUGUAAGUCAAUUUUCAUAGAGCUUUUUUUUUUUUUUUUUUUUACAUGCCACCAAGUAGUUAUAUAAGCAUUUUUGCAUGUUAUUGUUAUCCAACAUACAAUAACUAUAACAUCCAAUUAUUAUGAACAUGAACAAUAAAAUUAGAUGCAACUAACUAUUUAGUGUAUAACAAGAAGUUGGUGAAGUAAUUCAUCCUAACAUGAUUCAACAAUUUUUGUUUAUUUUUCAAGAUUAAUUAUAACAUACCCAUUCUAUUAAAGUUGUUGAGAUAUUUGAGCAAAACUAAAAAUCAACAUUAAUUCAUUUUAUACCCACAAGAGAAAUAAGAUUUGUUUUUUUGUUUGAUAAUAAAGUAGUUGUAGUUAUUAAUGAUAAUUUUGAUCCUAAUUUAAUAGGUAUCCAAAAAAAAAGGAAAAAUGCAAGUAAACCAAUUCUUAUCUAACACAAUUAUUACCACCUUAAAAUCCUGAGGGGUAGCUCAGUUGAUCAGUUCGAGUCCCUUUAGGACCAUGAAAAGCUUACCCGAUGGUUCACCUUAAGAAAAGCAAAGCAUUUAUAUAAUUCAACUGGUAGUUGAUAAGUCUUAGAAAGGGUUUUGCCAUCAUUGGCUUCUCAGUAAAGGGCAAAUUUGGGUUGUGGCUGACAAUUAUUGAAUUUGUGAAGAAAUAUGUGAAGAAAGGAAACAAAAAGAGUUGAGGACAGAAUUCUUCAAUUAAAAAAUGGUUAGCCCAUGAACCCAUUCUUCAAACAGUAAGCCAAUGAGCCAAUGAGCCAAAAAGAAAGAAGAACAGCUGGUUUCAUCUUUUUAUCUUAAUGACUUUGACAACCCAUCUUUCUUUUAAAUACUUGUGACUUUGGAAUAUAAUUAAAAUGAAACUUUGGAAUGCCCACAUCUGAUUCACGGCCUUUUUACCUGUUUUCUUGUUUAACAUUUUUUUAAAUAUUAUAACAGAUGGAAAAACAUGAUUCUAACAGGCUGGAAAAUAGUGGAAGUUGGAACACCAACCAUAACCAAACUAUACCUUCCAUCUUUCUCCAACACUCGGAAUUAUUGAUACAAGUUGGUGGUUUUAUGAUUGUUUCUAUUGAGGGGACCCCUCUCCAUUUCCAAUUUCAAUGGAAAGGUUCUUCUUUCCCUACUUUUUUUUUUUGUUUUUCAAAUUCUUGUAGUUUUGUCUGUCUCUCUCAACAAAGCAAACUGCAAUCACUAAUUCAAAGAAAAGGAAUCCUAAAUGAAAAGAAAAGAAAGGAAAGGAAUGGUAAUUUAGGCUAUGAUGAUGCUCCUAUAUAAUGGCUGUAAGUCAAUAACAACACACUGGACCCGCCUCCUAUCUCAAAAGAUCACAAACCCAAAUAUCAUAUACUUCCAAAUUUCAAUUUGGUUCCCUGUUUAUAUCACAAUCUGUCCUAUAUCCUCUUAAUACAUCUAAAAUCUCUCUAUAUCAUAAAAAUAAUGAUGGAAAAAAAAAUUAAAAAGAAAGAAGGAAAAAAUGACAAAAAAAAAAAAACCUUGGUGCUGCUAUGGGUCCAUAGGAAUUGGCAGGACUGCACUUCUGGAUCCCCUUCCAUGGCCAAAAGAAAAGAAUGAUCUUCGGAAUCUGCUGCUGCAACCUUCACUAGGGCUGAAGUCACUGACAGGCCUGUUCUGUUGCAAAAUCUCUUGAAUUGCUAAAUACAGCUGCCUGUCGUUGGAUGAGUCCAUUGAAAAAGACCUCCUGAUGGGUUGGAUUGAGAACUGAUCAUCUUUGCCUCUAGUGUCAAUGCACUCAUCACCCAUGCUUGCAACAUGAUGAAACUUCCUUGCCUUUUUAGGCACAAUUCUCUGCUCUAGCUUCCUAGGUGAUGGACUAAUUGAUGGCGCAGAUAACUCUCUGGAAUUCAGUCUUUCUGGUGGCCUAAGCAGUGAUGAAUCAGCAGAACUAUCAUUUCCCAAUUCAAUUACUACAAAAUCUUCAUCCCCUCCUAUGUAAUUAUUGGCGUAGGGGCUUGGAUCUUGGGGGGAAGAGCUAGGAGCAAUGAUUUGGUGAACAGGAAACCGGGGUGUGGUUGAAAUGCUUGUUCUGCAAAGUGGGCAAUUAGCAUUGCUUUGAAGCCACACGUCUAUGCAAUCUAUAUGAAAUAUGUGACUGCAGUUUGGUAUGAUUCUUAGCUUCUCUUCUUCUUGAAACUCAUUCAAGCAAACCGCACACUCGCAAUGGCUUCUUUCUCCAAACUCUCUGCCACCUCCUUUCCUGAACUGGAAUAUUGGGAUUGAUCUGAUGACUGACUCGUCCAGGCCUCGACUCUCGAUUGCUGGGGAGUACACCAUUAAAGGGUCUUCCGGGUGCCGACUCCUUGAGAAAGAAAAUCGUCUCAGCAGAUCAAUCCGGUGCCAAUUGAGGCAGCAUUUGAUUACAAAGAUGUAGUAGCUCACCAGCAAGAAAGCAGUGGCCAGGAUUCCUAUUACGGCAAUGGCUAUAAUGGGGAAACUGGUGUCCGAGGAAUGAGAGGGAGAAGGAAGCACUGAGCUCGCCUGGCUUUUGAUGGGAGAAAAGGCUUGUGAUCCAUGGAUGGAGGAGUCUGUGCUCACAAGAUCCAUGAGAGAGGCUAUGAAAAACAUUUAGAAAUGAGUCUAUUCGGAUCUUCAAUUCACAGAAACAUGCAAAUGCUAGAAUAAAAUCGACAGACACUCAGAUAUAGACCCUACAGUUGUAAUGCAGCAUACCAUAAAUGUGAUUGAGUGAGUGAGGCUGAAACAGCAAAUGGGUCACUUCAAGAUCUCAACAAGACAGAAAACCCAUGUUGAAUUCACCAGGAGAGUAUUGAAAAGGGAAAAAUUAAGGACAUAUAGCUGUAUUGAAAGUUGAAACAAAUGCAGAAACAUAGAGAAGAGAGAGAGAGGGAGAAAACCCAGGAGGGUUGAAUGAGAGCGCUGCUGGGGAAGACAUCAAAACGCUUCAAAUUCAAUGAGAAUCUGUUGGGGACCUCUUUAAGAGGACUGCACAAAGCCUGAGCGUAGGGUACGUGGUUGGUUGGUGAAUUUCUCGGCUUCCAAAAGAGAAAUUUGGUGAGAAAAUUUUCAAGUCUCUUGAUUAUAGUAACGUAGCGUUUAUUUUAAUUUUAUGUAACCGAAACUAAUGGGCUGGUUCAAAAAAAUAAAAAAUAAAAAAAGGAACUUUCUAGGAUAGGCCAGCAGUCCACCGUUGGUCAUGUGGUUUCUUUUGCAUGUCCACAUCUUCCAACUAGUGGAGGUCCCUGUCACAACAGUAAGAAAACACCCAAUUGAAUAAAAGUAUGAACUUUUGGCUCCCAAUAUUACUUAUGCCCUCAUUCAAUACCUCAAAUAAAGCAGAGAUUUUGUGUCCCAACUUUUAUGAUUUCAUUUCAUCUUACUUCAAAUGCUAAUGACAAAAGUCCAAGUAUAUUCUGUAAUCACCCACACCCCAAUAGUUUUGAAUCACACUUGAAAUAGUUCCCAUGCUUUCUUAAUAAUUUAGAUAAUUAUUUACAGAAAAAAAAAUUCAGAACAGGAUGAUAAUCAUUUUGUGAUAGCAUGGAAGAAACUUUACUAGCCACUUUGGCCCCAUGAAGUUGAGUACUUGAUGCCAAUUAAUGGCAGGGUGGAAAAUAGAGAAAAGGGAUCAUAGUCAAAUCUAGAGUACAAGGCAUUGAAUCUUUGUUAAUAAUUAACAAAUGGGUAAAGCAUGGGUCACAGGGUCUACAGUUUGGAUUGCAAAAACCUCAGGCUUCUAUAAAAAGCUCAUCCAUUAUCAAUCAUCAAUCUGAAAGCCAGAAAGUCCAAGGCACAUGCAACCCACGACAGGGGUAAGAUUUCUGCAUCAUGUCCCUGAGUUGCAUUCACAUCAUAUGUUUCCCUCCGGGCCGUUCCAAUUUGAAAUCUCAUGGAAAUCUUCAAGAGCAAGGCUACAGAGUUUAAGAUAAUACUAGGGGUGGGUCCUGAUGGGAAAAGAGGUAGUGUAGGAUAGUCAAUAAAGGGCAUGUGUCUCUGGUGUGAAGUCAAAUCCAGUGUACCAUCCUCAAUGGAAAAUUUAGAAAUAGAACCGACACUCUACAGACUGCCGUGUUGACAGAUUAGAGAAAGACAAACCCACUUACACUUGCCUCAAAACCCAGUCCUGCCAUUUCAAAGGCAAAAAAAAAGGGUUUCUUUUUAUAGUCAAAGGUUGAGGCCUGGCCUGGCCUAGCAAAGAAACUUCACCUACUCUUUUCUUAUUUUUCAAAUUAAGGCCAUUCAACUUUUCCUGUUUGCAGGCUUGCUGCCAUAUCUUACUCCAAAAAAGGUGAAAACCCAAAAGAAAAAGAGUGUUUGCUUCAAUGGAAAACUCAUGUUUAAUAAAUUCACCGCACGAGUUUUGUUCCAGCUUUUCCUAUGAAAGCUGUGAUGCGUUUGGUAUGAAGUUGAUUUUGUUCCUAAAAAUUUUGAUCUUGGCGUGGAAGGCAACUUUUUCCUUUUCCCCCUUUUUCUUUUUGAAAAGUUCGGCAUUAGUUACCAAAUGUCCUUUUACUUGCAUGUAGGACAGCGGAAGCAUUACACAUCGCAGCAAAAUCCCAUUUACCCGAAUUUUCCACUAACUCUUUUUAUUUUUUACCAUCAUUUUUUAAUAGAAGUGAUGCACUCUUCAAAUUACAUGAAGCUUUUAAGAAGGUAAUAACCCGUUUCAAAGCGAACUUAACCUACAGAGUAUGUUUUAAAAAUAUUUAGGUAUUUGAUAAAAUUUAAAAAAUAUUUUUUAAAAUCUUUAAAAUGAUUUGUAAUAUUGAAAAUUUAUUUAUACUUUUUUUAAUAAAAAAACAUUUUAUAGGUAAUUUUUCUAAAAUACUUUUAGAGAAAAUGUCUUCCCUUCACUAUAAAUAUUAUAUACUAUCAAAUACACUUUAAAAAUCUGUUUAACAAUAAUUUUAUAAAGUGUUUUUAAUUUUAAAAAUAUUUUUAAAAACAAAUUAAAUUUUUGAUAAAAUUUAAAAAAUCUUUUUAAAAAUUUUGAAAAAUAUCUCGUAAUAUUAAAAAAUAUAUAUAUUUAUAAUGUUUUUUAUAUAAAUACUCAAAAUUCAUUUAAUAGUGAUUUUAGGAAAUGUUUUUAAUAUUUCUAAUACUUGAAAAUUUUUUAUCAUUUAAGUAUUAAAAAUAUUAAAAACACUUUAUAAAAUCACUUUCAAAUGGACUCUUAAUGAUUUUACUAAAAACACUUUUCAUAGAAAACAUUUAUAAAAAAUAAUUAUGAAAUACACUCUAAAUUAAGUAAAAGUUGUUUUUAACAUUACCACUAUUUAUUAAUAGUGCAUUUGUUUAAAAUAUUUAUAUGAAAAAUUCAUUAGGGUGGGAUAUAAAUAUAGAAGUGUUUUUCUUUAUAUAUUUUUUAUAAUAAAAAAUGAUUUUUGAAAUUAUAAAAUUUGAAUUUAAGAAUCAUUUGAUAAUAAUUUUUGUUAAAGCACCUUUAAUACGUGGUGCUUCUAUUGAUAGCGCUUUCAUUUCUAUGAAUGGCUAUAAAUUAUAUUUGAAUAAAUUUUUUAUAAUGUAUUAUAUAAUAAAAAAAAAGUCAUUUUUAAAAAAAUUAUACAUUAAAUGAUUAUUCAAAUAGUAUUUCCUAAAUUUUAUUAAACAUUUUUUUCAAAAAAAAAAAAAAAGUUUUCAAAUACUAGAAAACGUUUUUAAUCUCUCACACGAUCACAUCCAAACAAGUCCUAAUGCUACUCCUAGAAACACUCCAAAACAAAAGUCUUCCUCUAUUAAUGUUCAUAAAAUCCACAUAUAUUCUUCCAUCGUUUUUUCAAAAUUCAAAAUCAUUUCUAAAACAUCAAAUCAUGUUCUUUGGAUUGGCUGACUUGUUUUUUGAAAAUAGAAGGCUCAUUAUUGACGUCCGUUGACUUCAUAACCCAGUCUUGAUCUCUUGAUGGAGGGCAUAAAUGUAAAUUGGACGAAACCCUAGGGUGCGCUAGAGUGUAGAGGAUGAAAGGUUGGAAAAAGGAUGAGGUGGGGGUGUAAUAAAGAGGAGGGUUGGGAGAAUGGGACAUGUGUAGGUGAAGCAUUAAAUUCAAGACUAUGCUUACCAACAACAUAUAAAUAAAUAAAUAAAUAAAUAUAGGAACAGCACAUGGGGUGAGUAGGAGACAUCAGAAGAUGUGAACAACCCCUUGUCAGUCCAAUUUGCGUCUUUUAUCUACUCUAUUAUCUAUAUCGAUUUUCGUAUUUAUUUAUUUAUUUAUUUAUUUUUACCAUUUGAUUUUGCAUGGAUGUCGAAGGGUUUAUUGGCUGCCACGUGUAGGGUUAUGGUCAAGAUCACGUGGGGUGCCUACAUGGGAGUCACGUGAGUGCAUGAGGCAGGCUUGAAUUGCAGGAGGAGCAGGAGCAGAGCAGUGGCUGUUGUCUUAAGACUUUGCUCUCUUGGUGGAACUGCAGCUUAAGCAGCAUCCACGUGUUGUCACGUGCAAUGCGAGCCAUCCACACCACCAGUUUCUUUUUAGUGAUUUUCUAAAGUCAGUUAAGGUUGCAGUCAAUACCUUCAAAUGUUGACAGAGUUAGGGAUCUUUGUUAAAUGGAUUUUAUUAAGAUAUUAGUAAGUUAAUUAAUUGAGGGUCAACAUAACAGAUGGGUCGGGUUGGGUUGAAUCUGAAUUUAAAACGAUUUAAUUUAUGUUUAAUCAAAUUUAACAUUUAACUCGAAGCACUCAACUUAAGUUUAAUUGAAUCUUAGUUUUCAAAACAUUAUUUAAAUUUGGGUCAUUUGGAUUAAAGUCAAAUGGGUUAGAUUAAUCGGGUUAUAUGGUUCAAAAUCCACUUACCUUAUUUUUUAUACAUUAAUAUUAAAAUUUAAAUAAAAAAUAUUAGAAGAAAUUUCAAACUUGGGAUUAGUUGAUUGUAGCCAUGCAUUUGGAUGUUGGUAUUCUUGUUUCUUGUCUUGUUUCCAAAUACCCUUUCAAAUCGCUUUGUUAUUCAAUAGCAUCCUCCCGAUCAUUUAAAAAUUUAAAGAGCAUUGGUAUGAUGGAGGAAUUCAGAAAUUUUAGUUGAAUAAGUAAAAUUUUUCUCUCAUAAAACCAAAUAGCCUCUAUAGCUCAGUGGUAGAGCGUCAGUCUUGUAAACUGAAGGUCUGUAGUUCGAUCCUGCAUGGAGGCAACUUUUUAUAUUUCAUGAUCCAUUAUGCUCUAGUGAUUUAGUUUUCAUUAUAAUUUUAGAUUAAAAAAUUACAUCAACAUUUGAUAAGUUGGUUAUGACUUUGAUAUAAGGAUGAAACUAUCAAUAAUAUAUAUAAAUAUUUUGACACAAAAUAUCUAAUAUAUUAAAAAAUUAAAAAAAAACUCUAAAAAACAUUAUAAAAUUAUAUAUAUAAUUUAUCAUAUUUAAUAAUAAUAUCUUCUACCCUAAUAAAAAAUAUAAAUUUUAUAAGCAUACAUUUAUUAUUACAUUGUAUUAUAUAUUAUUUUACAAGAAUAUUAUGAUAACAUGUCUAAUUUUAAAAUAUAUUUAAUAUUAAAAUUAUCAUCAAUUUUAAUUUAAAUGUAUUUAAUGAUAUCAAAUAAUAUAUAUAUAUAUAAUUUUUUAAUAUUUAUAUAUUUUUAUAUUUAAUAAAUAUAUAAAUUAUGUAAAAAAAAAAGACCUAUUAAGAAGAUUAUGUUUUUAUAUUUGGAUCAAAAUUAAGUUUUUCCGAUAAAAUAUAUGAAACUAUUGAUAAAUUAUUGAUUGAAACGUGAAAAAAAAAAUUCAAAAAAUAGAUGAGAUAUUAGUAAAAUAUCCGAAAAUAUUGAUUGAUGAAUAUAUCAUUUCAAAUUUUGCAUCAACAUCCACAUAUGUUGGAUAUAUUGGCCAAAUAUAUUUAAACCUUGUUUCCAUGAGAAGUCUUUCCUUCAACAAUUUCAAAAGGUUAAUGAGGUGGUUUCCAAGAGAUGUGUGUAGGGGUCUCCAACGGGCGGGCCGGGCCAGCGGGCUUUUUGAAAUAAGCCAAAAUGGCUUUCAAAAAAGGGAAGGGAGAGGAUUUAAACCCCUUCCUUCAUGCUUAAAUUUCAAGGUUCUAACCAAUUGAACUACAUUCCUUUAAUGUUUAUUAAUUGAGUUAGUUAUAUAUAUAUAUAAAAAUAAAGUAUAUUAUUUUUUAAAGGGGCGGGCCUACGGGCUGGGCCGGGCCGAAAGCGGGCCACGGGCCACGGGCUUUUUGGAGACCCUUGGAUGUGUGCAAUCACAUUUGGUAUUAUAGGUGACAAAGUUUGAUAAAUGAGUAAUUAUUAGGUUAACUUAUAAAAUCCGAAUUUGAUUUAAAUUGAUUCAUUUAAUAAUCCCAUUUAUUUACCCAAUUAAAACUUUAAAUUAUUUAACUUAUAUUUAAUUUAAUUAAAAUUUGUUUUUAAAUAAAUAGAUCAAUUAAAACAUAAACAUAUUUGAUUGAAACAUUAAUAAUAUAGAUUUAAAUAAGACCUAAUUCAACCUAACGAUCAAAUAGAAAUAUCUAAUUAUUAAAUAAAUUAAACAUGUUACUUGCUUAAUAAUUAUGUGACAUUUGAAUUUAUGCUUUUGAUAUAAUUAUUAUUUAUAUCAGGUUUAUAUAAUGAAAUAUCUAGACUUUGACACCAGUCAACAUUGUCCACCAAUACAGAUUGCAACUCUUAUAUGCUACAUCACAUCAUGUUGAAGGAAGAGGAUGACGUUCAUUGGCAGCAGAGCCUCCAAUCAUAAGGAGCUUGAGCAAAUUCAAUCUCAACACUGAAAUUCACUAGAAAAAAAGUUUAUUAUUGAUACUUCAUUUGUGUAAAAGCAUUAUAUUUCUUGCAUCAAUCGUAAAGCAUGACAUUCCAGUAGGUACGGAAGAGAAAAUUUGUUAUGAAUUGAAAAAUCUGUCAAGCUUAAUUUGGAGGGCCCAAAAUUGACACGUUUAAGAGCUCUAUCAUUAGCCCAAUGAUAAGAGUCCAUUUCUUGAGUUUCAAGGAAGGCCCAAGUUUAACUUAGAGGGCCCAAUCUUGGUACCUUCUAAAAGGUGCAAACUUUGGCCCAAUUAUAAAAGCUUAUCCUUGCUUCCUAAGCAUCAAUGAUAUAUUUGAUCGAAGUAUUCACAUAACUAUCACGAAAUGAAAUGAAAUGAAAAUGUAUAAGUAAAUGAUGAUUUUGAGUUAUUUACUGACAAUAAAGAAUUAGGUGGUGUUUGUUUUUUUUUUUUUGGCUUUUUACUAAAAGCAAUUUGUUUUCAGAAUUUAGGUUAUUUAUUUUUCUAUUUUUUCAUGACUUAUUAUAAACUUUUUACUAAAUAAGAAAAUCCAAAAUAUAUAGUUUUUUCUAAAUAGAAAAAAUAACAUAUUGGUUUUCUUUUUUUUUUACUUUUUAAUAUUUAAUAGAAAUAAAAUAUUAUAAAAACAAACAACCUAAUAUUUAACACUAUUAAGUAUUAAGGUUUUAUUUAGAAUUAAGUAAAAAAACAAACACUACCUUAAAAUGAAAAGUAUGUAUAAUGACCUUAUACAAAAAAAGUCUCAUUAUUUUCUUCCAAAGAACUCAUACUUUUGUUUUUCAACUAUUACUUUGUUUUUAUUUUUUAAAUAAUAUUUCAAGUUUUUUUUAAUAAUACCUUUCUCUUUAUUAGAUAAUUUUAAUGACUUUAAAAGUAUUUUAAUAUAUUAAUUUAUUAUAUAAUUUUAAUGAUUUAAAAAUAUUUAAAUGUUGAAAUAUUUAUUUUCAAGUCUAAUUUUAAUUAUUUAUUUUUUGAAGUAUUUAAAUAUAUAAUAAAUGUGGGAUUAUGUAAAUCUAGUUGUAAUUAUUUAUUUCAUUCUAUUCAUGUUUUUAGUUGAAUUUGCUCAAAAUUUACACCUCUUUAUUUAAAGAUCAUGGAUUAGUUAGGUGUCUUGAGAUUUUUUUUCUCUCAAGACACUACUUGUUACACUAGAAAAUAAUUUGUGGCUAUAUUUUUUAGGCAAAAAGAAUUAUAUGUUAAAACUUCCUUUAUUGACUAGUUUAUCAUAGGGUGUAGAGGAAAGUUUGUGAUGUCUUUUUAUGUCAACUUUGGGAGAAAAAUAUCACUUUAGCAUUUUCCUUAGAAAAUUUUCAUACAUAAUUGAUUUUGGAACUAUGGAGGAGCAUAAGUAGGGAUAGAUAAUUCGAUUUUGGAAAAAUUAUAAUAGCUUUUCAACUUGGUGUUAAUGAUAUAUUGUUUAUUUCUUAUUUUUUUUCCAUUUUAAUAUAUAAUUGGGGAUUUUAAACUUGUAGAACAAGGCUUUUUCAAUUGAAUUGACACGUACAUAUGAAAGUUCUCUUUGGUUGCUAAUCACAUUUUUUUUUCUUUUGCUUUUUGUUUUUAUCAUAAUGAAUAUUGAACUCGAAAUUCAGUUUUUAAAAUCUUAUGAUGUUUUAAAGUUUAUAAAUAUUAUUGAUUUUUAUAAAUGAUGUUAUUCAUAUCUUGGUAAAGACAAUAUUUUCAUAUCGGUCAAGAUGAUUAAUAACAUAUAAGUUCAUAAAGAAAAACCUAUUGAUUAAUGGAUAUUUAAUGAUUUUUAUUAGGAAUGUUUUUUAAUUAGUUUCAAUACUCAUCUUUUAGAGCAUACAUAUAGGGUUUUAGAUGCUACAUUGGUUUUCAGCUUGUGAUUUAAAUUAUUGAAGCAAAAAAUGAGGGUUUUGCUUUAUGGAACUAUCUAAAGGGAGGUGAAUUAGGCGGUCUUCCUUUUUAAAAUCCAAAAAUUAGAUUUUUAAUACUUAUAUUAGUUAUACAUGUGUUCAAUAAUUAAAACAAAGAACAAGUCCAUAAUUUACAUGUGAUGUGCAUGGAAAAACACCUACAAAUUCUCUCAAAUACUUUACAAAUGAAAAAAAAAUCAAGGAUCGAUCAAUCACAGAGCAACUUCACUAAAUAUGAAAACAUGACUAUACAAUUUUACUUGGAUGAGGUGCUACCUUCUCUUAAGGGUUUUUACACUAGCCAACAAUUACACUCACCUUCACUCUCACCAUGCACCUCUAUUGUGCUCCAUAGUAAACACUUUAAUGACUGUAGCAAGAUUGCGAUAAAUUACUGCGAUUAAUUUGAGAGUGUUGAUAAUGAACAAAAAAUAAUGAUAAUUAACUAGAGAGCAUAUGAUUUUGUAAAAACACCAAAAAGAGGCAUAGUUAUAAGUGAAAACUUUAAUGGAUUGGAUUGAAUAUAUAAUUGAAGUAUGAAUGAAAAAUUACCAAAACAAUGUUCAAAACCGUGCUAAUCAAAGCACAAUCACUUGAGUACUCUCAUGGGGCACUUGAAUGCUCCUUUUAAUCACCGUAAUGCUGAAAUUAAUAAUUUGUCUCAAAUUGUUUUUCCAAAACAUAAAGCAAAAUAUUAUAAAUUUAUAUAAUCAAACCCAAUUUCAUCUUAAAGCUAGCCUACUUAGUCUUAAUUCAUGUCCAAAAAUACUCAUACUUGUCAAAGAAUGAAUAUGGUAUAAACAAAUUCUUUAUUUUCAAUUAUAUUCAAUUAUUGAAAGAAUAAAUCGGUUUACAUACAUUUUGAACAAAGGUAUAUACACAUAGACUAAAUCAAGGAAAUGAGGAAAUCAAUCACAAUCAAAUCAAAAUCAAAUGAUAGGUUGAUAUCUAGGAGAAGGUUAAGUUAGAACCAACUCAUGUAUUCAAUAUUCCCCCUUAAGAUGGCAUAUGGAGAUCAUGAAUAUCAAACCUAGAAAGUAAGGGAUAUGAAAUAUCUAUACCAAGGGAUUUUAUGAAAUAUCAACCAAUUGUUGUUGUGAUUAAACAAAUUGAAUAAGAAUAAUUUCAUUUCGAAUCUUUUCAUAGAUCAAGUGACAAUCAAUUUCAACGUGUUUAUUCUGUUCAUGGAAAAUUAGAUUAAUAGCAAUGUAUAGAGUUGUAUUAUUGUCACAAUAUAGAUGCAUUGACCAAGGAUGAUGAACUCCAAAAUCUAUAAGUAAAUAUUGCAACCAAUGCAAGUAGUAAUCAUUAAAUAAUAUUUCACUUUUCUUCAUGAGUGUUAUAUCAUUGAUUGCUUUUUAGAUCUUCAAGAGAUUGAUAGGCCACCAAGUAAAAUACAAUACCCUAUAAUUGAACAUCAAGAUUAUGCACAAUAGGCAUGGAGGAAGGCAAAAGAAUUCCUUGACCUAGACGAUUUUUUAAAUAGUAUAACACUCAUGUACUUGUGAGAUAAUUGAGACUACAUUGGCUUGUCAAGAAUUUGAACAUAAUUAGCAAUAUUAAGCCCUAUCAUUAUGAGUCAAAGUAACUUCCCAAUCAAAUGCCUAUAAUAAGAAGCAUCCAACAAAGGUUCUCUAUCUAAUUUACUCAAUUCCAAAUUUUGUUUCCUAGGAGUUUUUAAAGUUACAUGUUCCAAGAAAACCAAAAUCUUUUAGUACUUCUAGAGCAUGUUUUCAAUAACUUAAAUAAAUCUCAUUCUUAAAAUAUGUCAUUUCAAUGAUGAUGAAGUACUUUAAUUUUCCAAUCUCUUAGUUAGUUUGAAAAUGCUAUAUAGGUUUUCCUUGACCACCUUAAUUCCUUUAAGAUCAUUCAUUGUAAUAAUUAUAUCAUAAAUGUAAACAAGAAUGAUUGUGAAAUAGUUAUUUGAGGCUUGAGCAAAUAAGAAGUAAUAUGUACGUCUUGGCUUGCUUGUAAACCAUAAACAUCAAUGUGAUAGAUAAUUUGGCAAACCAUCAACGUGAAGCUUGCUCAAGGCCAUAAAGGGAUUUUUUAACUUUGCAAAUCAUAUUUUUGGUUCUAGAUUUCCUACAAACUUGGUGGAAGCUGCAUGUAUACCUCUUUAUCUAAGUCUUCAUAAAGAAAAACAUCGUUGAUGUCAAGUUGGUGAAGAUGUCAAAUUCUAAUUAUACAAUAAUUAGGGGUGACAAUGUGUCUUAUCGUGUUGAGGUGAGAAAUAGUGAAAAUUUACUUAAUCCGACUAUGACCCGUUUGAUAAUCGUGUCAAAAUAACCUAACAUGAAUACAAUUAGUUUAUUUCAUGUAACAUGACCCUUUUAACAUGUUUAAUAAAUAUAUUAACUUGGAUUAUGUAUUAAUUGACAUGAAUAACUCAUUAACUUGAUUUCAACCCCUUAAACUCAUUAACACAAUUCCAACCCAAUAAACUCGUUAAUAUGAUUUAACUCAUUAAACUUGUUAAUAGGAUUAUAACCUCUUUAACCUAUUUAAAAUUUUAAAUUUAUAAAUAAUAAAAUACUUCUAGAAAGUUUAAUUUUUAAAAUUUGAACUAUAAUACAUGUAUGCACCAAUUUCAUGAAGUCCUGAAAAAUUAGCAAAAUUAUAGAAAAAUAAUAUAAACAAAAAUUUGUAUUAAAAUUAAUAAGUAUGGGCUACAAUAUUAGUCAUAGUACUGCUUAUUUCUGAAUGACUUUAUUAAAAAGCGAAGAAUACAUGUGUAGUUCUUAUGUGAUUUCUUAAACUUGUAAGGCGAUUUUAUAAAGUUUUUUUUUUCUUUGUGAAACCUCUUUUUCUAUGUGAAAUUGUUUUGCCGAUUUGAAAUCUUCAUUAAAGGAAGUUACUAUUAUUUAUAAUUGAAAUUAGAGAAUGAAAUGUGGAAUCCCCAUGAUUUAGUUGCUUAAUUCAAGGAAUUUGAUUAAUUGAUUUUGGUAACUUGUCUCAUAAAAUUUUCUAACAAGAAUAUUUAUUUUUAAUCUCUUUUAUUUCAAUUGGAAUAUUUGUUUCCUUUGUAAAUUUGUCAAUAGAAUAUUUAUUUAUUUAUUUAAUUCUCUUUUGACUACAAUGAGAAGAUUUGAUUUUGUUUGUAAGACUAAAUUUUAUAACCUUUCAAAUUUGGCCAAGUGACACCUUUUGAAUAUAUGUCACAUGUCAAAUGUGUGUGACUCAUUAGUUGUUGAACCUAAAUUUUCUUGAAUUAGAAAGCUAUACUUUUGAAGACUAAUUUAGUGAUAAUUUAAUUCAUUAAAUUUUUUUGGUGUCUACAGUAUAUUUAUAAUAUGAAAAGUAAAUUAAAAUUUUAAUUUUUUUACUUGUUUAUUAUUUUAUUUAUUAUUUAAUGAUAAAUAUUUUUAUUCUUUAUUGAAAUAUAUAAAAUUUUAAUUAAUAUUUUAAUUUUUUUAAUUUCUAUAUAUAAAAUAUAUAGAUUUAUAUGGUCUAAUUGAGUCAUUAAAAUAAAUAGGGUAAAUAACUCACACAUAAGUGAUGGAUCAUUCUAACAUGAUUAAAUUAACAAGUUAGAUGAAUUGAGUAGUCAAAUACAAACAUGAUUUGUUUAUUAAAUAAGUUAUAUGAAUUGAUACGAUUAUGACAUCAACUCAAUUAAACUUAACUCAAAUAAGCUUUGUCUUUUAUUUUAAGUUGUCUAGUUGUUCACACAAAUUUUCUCAAAAUAAAGAAAUUAUAUAUAAAAUUGUAAAUUUGAUUAUUUGAGGGGACCAUUUUCAAUACUCUUUUUUAAGUAAUCUGGUGUUUAAUUUUGAAUCAAAGGGGCUUUCAUUAACAAAUAAUAGACUGUAGUUUUCAUAUAAGAAGAAAUCUCAAGCCUUUUUUUCUUGAAGGAAUCUUUAAAUUUUCUUUGAUACUUUAAAAAAUCAAUCUUCUUUGAUUUUUUAAGAAAUCUUUGAAUUUUCUUAAAGUCUUCAAAAAAAAAAAAAAAAAAAAAACUGAGUUUAAGGAAUUUUUUUAAUAACUCUCCAAAUUUCUUUGAUAUUCCAAAGUGUCCUUUAGAAGGGGACAAAUCCUCUAUUUACAGGAUUGAGAGUUUUAUUUUAAUAUUAUCUCUUAAUUUUUAAGAAAUAACUCUCUUAUUUAUGAUAAUUACUAUUUAUUUUAUUUAUCAUAAUUAGUUGCCUAUGAUAAUUAUCAUAAUUAAUUUUUCUAGAGAUAAAUAAUUAUAUAUAUUUAAUUAAUCAUGAUAACUAUAAUAUUUAUUUAAUUUUUUAUUAAAUUAUUUUACAUAACAUAUCAAUAUAUAUUAUUAGUCAAUUAUUAACACCGAAAAUUAAUGAGUUGGCAUAAAAUUUAUCUCUCUAUAAUAGUAUCAAAGCGAGCCUUAAUAAUAACAUUGCUUAUAGUCAAUUUCACAUGCCAACUUUUUACUGGGCAUUGGCGAUUUCAAUUUUGAUAGUCCGGUUAGAAAAAGUAGGUAAAGAUUAUUUGAUGUGGUAGGUCAUUUCUUUCAUAAAGACGAUGGCGGUGAAUUCAUGAGACAGGUGAUAAAGGAGAGAUUCUUUCUUUUGGCUUUGGAAUUUUAAUGAGGUCCUCGAUCCUCAUCCAAAAUACACCUCUCCAAUUAUAAAAAUCUUAUUAAAAAAAAAAAGAUUUGACAUGUGCCUUUCGAACUGCUGGUUUUCUGUUCCAAAAAUGAGAAUGGUUUCAAGUGGAUGAAGGAAGGUGAAGAACCCUUGGUUUUGUUAAGCGAAAAGCCACAUGAUUAAAUAAACAUAAGGCGGCAAAGGCUGAAAAUUUAAAAUUAUACUAAGGAACCCACCCCACAGGGCGACUACACUUUUGGUGAAGCCACGAGAAUGAAAGAUAUCGAAGGUGACACCAAGACAUUAAGCAGCACCAAGGUUUCGAUAUAUUAUAAGAUGGGAUCUUAUGAAAGACGAUCUCUAAUCUCUCUCCAAUCUCUUCUUUAACCUUUUCUUACUUAAAUCCAUUUCCAUGGUAGGGCACAUGUCCAGCUGACCCUACCCCCUCACCUACCUAUACUGCUAUACCCUUUUGUAUAAUUUGAUAUGGAUUGGAAGCCACCCCAACAUCUUUCUAAUUGCUCGUAAAUGUUGAGGUGCCUUUCCAUUUUGAGGCUGCCCUAAUGUGUGGCUGAAGUACGUAGGAAAAAAAAAUUGUGAUACAUGCACUGACGAAUCAAAUCCCAAUGUCAAAUUAUUAGACUCACCUGGUUCUUAAAUUAUUGUGAAUGCCGCUGGCCAUGGAUAAAUGGAAUUAGUGCGUGGCUUAAUGAAAAUUUAUUUUGAAAGGGAUAUUAAUUUGAGAGAAUUUUGGCUGAUACUUGGAGUUGAACGUAAGCAUAUAUGACCUCAUUUCGGGUGUGAUAUUGUGCUUAUAACGAACCUUUCGUUCUUUCCAAUUCCAGUGGGUAUUAAAUAAUUAAAGAAUUCAUGGUUCGAAGGCGAAAGGUAGAAGACCAAAAAGGGAUUACAAAGCCAUCGGCUUGACCAUCCAGAUGCAAUGGAUACAAACUUUGGACUCUAUCGAAAGUUCUUUGGGCACGUGCCCAAGUGUCCUACCCAUAUGAUAAGUUACACGUGGCUAAUUGCGGACCGGUUGCUCGUGCUAAACAGGGUACUUUUUCUACGCAUAUAAGAUGUUUCACUAGUGGGGCUUCACCAUGCAAACUCAUGGAUGAAGACCCUGAGGCCAAGAUGAAGGAACAGAAAGAAGGCGGAGGAGAGGUUCGGUAUCGAGGCGUUCGGAGGCGGCCAUGGGGGAAGUUUGCUGCGGAGAUACGUGACUCGACUAGGCAUGGAGCGCGCGUCUGGCUCGGGACUUUCAAUUCUGCGGAGGAGGCUGCAAGAGCAUAUGACCGAGCUGCUUAUGCCAUGAGGGGUUCCUUGGCGAUUCUCAACUUCCCUAAUGAGUAUCAUACACCCGGCACGGCUAGCUCUUCAGCUUCAUCCUCAAUGCCCGAAGGUGAUCAGCAGGGAAAACAAGUCAUUGAAUUGGAGUACUUGGAUGAUAAGCUGCUAGAGGAUCUUCUCGACUCUGAAGACAAAAAGAACAAGAAAACCUGAAGUUUCUGCUGCCUCGAAUCCCCUGAAAUCUAGUGCUUCAUCGAAAAAAAAUCCCCUCGCUCCUGAUUAACAACAUUUUUAUUUUAGUCAAUGAAUGUGUUCUCGGAUCAUUAUAAGUAUUUCUGCCGAAGUCCAUUGAUUUUUGGAGACUGAAAAAUGUCAGAAAAAUUGGUGCGAACAGGUUUACUCCUUUCUAAAUUAUGCAAUUGAAGUAUUUGGAUUAGUGCGCAGUGUAAACAUCAAGGAAAGCAUGAUCCACUAUUUUAAGGAGCCUAAGUGCUUUCCCCUUUACUCUUUUAGGAUGUCUUUUCAGUGAAGAAAGUUGGGAGACCACCACUUACCCUUUUGAUUGGUAUAUAACUGCCAACUAAUAACUGGACUAACAUUUGGCCCGUCUGGCCCUACUUCUUUGACUUUGUUGUUAAUUUAUAACUUUAUGUGAAGUGGGGGCUGUUUGGGAAUGUGUGAAGCAAGGAUUUGAGCCGACUUCGCCUAAUCUGAUUCUCCAUAAGUGACUUCAUUUUAUCAUAUUGGUGUUUUUUUUCUUCUUCUUUUUAAAUGGCUGGGGAGGAGGGGAUUUGGGAGGGAUGCAAUGCCAUGGUUGCAUGCUGGAUUAUCCUUCCAAAUGAAACAUCCAUUUGGUUUCUAGUAACUAAUUGCAAACAAUUAAAGAGAAUAAAAUUUUAAGAUGAUUAAACAAUAAGUACCUAUGUCCAUGAAAAGGAGAGAAGUUCACUCAUGGGUGUUCAUGAAAGACAUCACAAAGAACCAUCAAUAUGAGAAGAAUCCUGAUACAAUUAACUUUCAUGCAUAAGAAAAGACGCUCAAAAAAGAAUAAUGCUUACAAGGAAAGAAUCUCACUACGAUCAACUGAAAAAAUAUUCCAAUUUAAUUGGAAAUCCUUACAUGGGAAGAAUAUCAAUAAAAUCAACUAAAAAAAUAUUUUAAUUUUAUAUCAAAAUAUUUGUGAUUUAACCCGUAUCAUUUCAUCAUGACUUCUUAUAAAUUUUGUUCCUUUUUAUCAACACCACCCCUUGAGUUGGAGCAUAAAUAUUUAUUAAGCUAACUUGAACAAGAUCUUGAGAAAUUUUGUCGCAGGAUUUGUUUGCACUUUUUUUUUUCAAAUAAAGUCAUAAUUAACUUUAAUAUGUUUAAUCAUUUCAUGAAAUACUAGAUUUUAAGCAAUGUUGAUAGCAUACUUAUGCCUGAAAGCUUUAUCCCAAAUCACAUGAGUACAUGAAGUGAUUGCAUCAUUAAUGGUAGUAUUAUUACUUUAUAUUCAACUUCUCCACUUGAUAGGAUGCAUGAAAGCAUUGUGCUUUCUUCUGUUUCAAGUAAUAAAGAUUAUCACCAAGAAAGGUGCAAUUAAUACCUAGUAACAGAGUACCUAGUGGUAGCAUGCACCUAUCCACUGAACUUGUACUCGACUCUAUGAGUGUACGUUACAUAGUCCUUUUUUCGAAGUCUAAAUGUCCCUUGAUAAAACCUUCUAAUAUUUGAGGUUUUGGUAACAUUCAUGUAUCAAUGAACAAAUUAAUUUACUAGCUAAACUUUAAAAUUAGGCAAUGUUUUUCAAUGGGUGAUCAAGAUCUUGGAAUUUUCAAUGUUGUUUGAAUAGCUUCCACACACAAGCAUAUUUUCUCCUAUUUAGGAAUAAUCCCUUUUUUGAAGGUGUGAUCUUUAUGCUCAAAAAAUAAAGAUACUCAAAAAUUUAAUAUUGACCUUCUCGUGAAGGAAAAGCUUUAUAACUAAUUUUUUUUGUGCAUUAUAUAUAUCCUCAAUAUAGACUUUAAAAAAAAAAGAAGUAACUCCCUCUACAAAGAGUGAAGAGUCAAUUAAACUUUUUUUUUUUUAAAAAAAAGGAACCAAUUACUCGUAAAAGUAAUGAUUAUUUUUACAUACCAAACUUGAGGAGAUUACUUAAGAUCACAAAAGUUUUUAUUAAAUUGCAAGCUAGAUGCAUUUGAAACGAUCGUUGAUGUCUUAGCAACACCUUAUGUAACUCAUCAAUCUUUAUGUAAAAAUGCAUUUUUAACACCCAUAUAAAAUAAUGAUCAAUCCUAAUUUAAUAGAAACAAAUGGUAAUACAUGAAUAUCAUUCAUAUUAAUGAGAAAAGUAAAUAUUGAUUUAUAAUCAACUUCUUAAGUUUGUGUCAAUGCCUUAAUCAUUAGUUUAACUUUGUCAUUCAAUGAUACCAUCAUUACGACAUUUAAUUAACUUAGAUUUGCGUAAAUCCCUUAAUCACUAGUCUAGCUUUAUGUCAUUCAAUGGUACCAUCAUUAUGGUAUUUAAUUGAUCUUAUACCCCCAAUUUGUAUACCCCAUGUUUUUCUUAAUUUACCAUACAUCACUUAACAAUGUUCCAUGCAUGGAUUUUGUUAAGUGCCUUAAGUUCCUUUUGCAUAGCCUUUCUCCAAAUUGGAUGAGGAUUGGCUUCAUUAAUGUCAUUAGACUCAUGAUAUAUGGAACUCAAACAAUUGUUAAGUGAUUUUGUAUAUAUAUAAAAAAAAAAUUGUAAUUAAUGUGGUAGGCAUAAAAAUCUCACAAAUGAGGAUUGAUUAAUUGUUAUAAUUGAGCAACAUGCUUGAGGCUUAGUCACAAUACUAGAACUUGAAGUCAGACAUUCUCUUCAAAUAAGGACGUAUAUACAUUAUAUUGGAUCUCCAUUAAACAAGUAAAGAACUAUUUAGUAGACAAUGAAACCUCAUUGAUCAAUGGUGGUAGAGAGACACAUGAUGACCAGACUAUUCCCCUGGAAAUGAGAAUAAAAAAUAUCAUUAGCCGCAAAAAUCUCAAAAAAAUUUAGAUAAUGGGAUAUAAAGAGUUUAUGAAUUUUACAAUCAUAACUCUUAUACUGGUUUAAGUGGUAGAGUAAUCAAGAACACAAAACGAGUUUGAUGAGUGGUUGAGAUAUGAACAAAGCAAAGAUUUCCAAAGACACCAAAAUCAGAAAUCUCAAUUUUUGGGCUAAGGAUUUCAAGAAGAAAUUUAAAAUUAACUACAUGACUAGAAAAUUUGUUCAUCAAGGAAAUAGAAGUAACGAUAUCAUAACAUCAUAAUUAAUCAAUAUUUUUAAUAACAUGCAUUUGGAACAUGAUAUACCGGCUUUCUAAUAAUCAAUGAUUUUUGGUUCAACCACACCAUUUUGUUUUGGGAUGCCAAUACAACAAGUUUAACGAANNNNNNNNNNNNNNNNNNNNNNNNNNNNNNNNNNNNNNNNNNNNNNNNNNNNNNNNNNNNNNNNNNNNNNNNNNNNNNNNNNNNNNNNNNNNNNNNNNNNAUGUAAGUGCCAAAUUAGGUAGUGUCGACAAUGAAAUGGAAAUUUUGGAAUAUAGAAACAACCUCAUUUUUAUGUUCUAAUAAGUAAACCUAUGUAGCAUAAGAAUAGUCAUUAAAAAAAAAGGUAACAAAAUGUUGAUUUCCAUCCUAUGGAUCAAUUAGGACACAACCCCAAGGUAAACUAAUUUGAAAGUUGCAACAAAAAUGGAAAGAGAUGAAAAAAUAAUAGAGGAAUUUAAGGUUGUUUCAAAAUUUCAAGACAUGCUAAGAAACACAUGAGAUUAUAGAUGAUUAGGUAACAACCUUGGUUAAGUAUAUUCAACAUAUAUAUCCCACGAGGAUAAAUAUCUUCACUAAACUUUUCCUAUUAUUCAAUCCCCUAAUACCAUACAAGUGAAAAAUUAAUGUCACGGUCAAAAAUUUUAAUAAGCUUCCAAAGAGAUAAUAAUUUUGGGGAAAAAAACAACCUAAGAAACCUAUGAAUUGAGAUAAUUUAGGAAAAAACUAAAUGUUCGUUAGCUCUAGAAGGGAAUUGAAGCUCAUCAUCAAUAAAGAUUGUUGCUAUCUCGAAUAAUAUCAAGUAAACCAUUAAGAUCGCUAUUAAUGGUAUGAUUAGCAGCACCAAUUAUCGACAAAAAAAUUAUUAAAAAUAUAAGAAAUGAGAGCUUUAAGAUUAUCUAAUUGAUUUGUAAACCUAGGUAAGUGAAUCAGUAUUACGUUUUGUUAAGGAAGCUUAGAUCCAAUUGGUAUCAUUCACCAAGUUAUUGGAUUAAAUUACACUAUCAAACUUUGGCUUUAAAUGAGAAUGAAGAAUCUAACCACAAUCCUUAUUGGGAUUAGAUAUGUUAUUGCAAUAAUGUUUACAAUCGGAUGAGUGCUAAUUUCUAUUGAAAUCAUGAAGCAAUCUCUGAUCAUUGGUCUUCUUUGUAGAAACAUGAGCAUUGAAUUUAAAAUUAAUAAUUGUUACUUGGGAUUCAACCUUCAUAAUCAUUGCCUGGGUUUCCUAAUCACUUUCAAGAAUUACUUAUAUAGUGAAGGCACUCGAAACUAAUCAAAUUUGUCCUCUUAUAAAGUUGUCAUAUUCAAGCUUCAGAAUAGCCAAUAAUUGAAAAACUUAUCAUACUCCGCAAUUUGUUGAAGAAUAUUUGGGUCUAUUGAAGGGGACAAUAUAGGGAAUAUUUGUCCCAUAUGCUCAAAAUGUUCAAUUAACAAAGUGUUCUGUAUGUUUAGGGAUUUGUUAGCUUUAAUUACACAAAACAUUAGCAGUUUUAGAGAAAAUUAAUUUUUUUUUGCAAUCUUAGGUUCCAUGAAAUUAAAAAGCCAAUAACAAGUCAAUAUGGCUUGAGACCCAGUCAUCAUAUUCAAAGUCAUCCAACUUAGAAGCAUUCAUUUUGCCACUAACAUGUGCUAAUUUCCAUUUUCUAUCUUUCAAGAGAAAAAGACUGCUCUUAACCAUGGCAAAUAAUUGAACCCAUUAAGAAGAUUGAGGAAAGUAUCAUAUGAGGGUUGUCAUUUUCCUCCAUGACAAAGAAAAAGCAACAGAGAAAAACUCAUAAUAUUAGAAAGAGAAUGAAAGAAAUUGAGUCAUAGAUACACACAGAAGAAUCCAAAAAUAAAGCAAUAAUACAACCACAAAUAUGAGAAGAAGCUCAAUUACAAAGAAAGGAACUCAAUACAAUCAACUAAAAAGCGUUCCGAAGUUCAUACGAAAAUAUUCAUAAUGUGAAGAUCAUUUCAUGAUUCCUACAAUUUCUUCCUUCUACCAGUCCACUCCAUACAAGGUUUGAUCAACAACUUCUUCAUUGAUUUUCUGGUCUCUCUCCGGUGUAUCAUAGAGCAUUUUUGACAUGUUUCUGCAAGAUACACUUGUUAACUUUAAGCGACAUAAGUGCAAAAAAAUAAGAUCAUGUUGUAUUGCCUGUGCUUCCACUCUGCCUUGUUUAGUACUAUUAUGGAGCAGUACUUCCAUAUAGAACCAGUGAUCUCCAGUUCAUUAUGUUGCCUUCUUUAAACUAACUUUAAUUAUCUAUACAUAUAAAACAAAGUGGUCCCAUCAAGGGGCUAAAUCAAGAAUCAAGUGGGGCGAACAGGAAACAGUGGCAUCAAUUUUUAAGUCCAUAAGCUUUAAUAAAAGGAAUAAAACCAAGGAUAUGAAUAUGUUAUUUUUUCAUUUGUUCAUGCACUGGAAGAUCUUUCCUCUUCAAGCAUUGAACCAGCAUCCUUCUGUGCAAGUUGCUGUCGGAACCUUCUAUAAUUGUCAGAAGUCUGUUUCUGAAAUAUACAGAUAAAACUUUUAGCAAGUCUUGACAUUGCUCAUCACUAGGACAUUGUACUAGGAUACCAAUUCAUCUAAUUAGGGUUAAGUUGGCAUCUCGUACACUAUUUUUUAUUUUUCCUUCAUCUUUUGUUCCCAUUUGCAGUGGAAGUGGCACUUAGAAUAUCUGAUCAUGAAGAAUUAGCUUUCGGUGAGAUGAUACUAGGUCAAUUGCCAUUAUCUUUUUGAGUUACUGUGCGAGCAAUCUUGAAAAUAUUUUGGGAUAAAUAGAAUUUGUGCUUAUCAUAAACAUGCUAAACAUCCAAAUCAAGUGCUUUUACUAUUGAUAUCAAAUCAGUAAUUGAUUUUAACCUUUAUGCUUAUCUUUCAGAUUCUCAAUUAUGUAUCUUGAAUAAUGAUAUUAAGCAGAAAUCAUGAAUUGAAUUGCUUUAAUUAACUGUGCCUUAUCAAGCUUGUCAGCAGUGCUAUUGCUACCGCGAAUCAAAUUCGCUGUGCUUCCCGCCUUCUCCAAAUAAGCCACAAGCCCAAUUAUAUCCGCCCUCCUCCCAUCUCCAAGGGAUCAAAAAAUAAAAUGACUUCAAUCAAUUUUCAAGUUUUCCAUCUUGAUCAGUAGACCACCCGGCAUGAAUGUUACCCUCAGUUUAGGAAUAGGAAUUCCUUUUACUAAUCAUUUGGCACUAAAAACUAUGACCCCUAGCAAUUCAUUCCCUCCAUUAGAUAUCUGGGGGCAUCUUGGCUCAGCCAAAAAUGAUAAGUCAUUGCAUUUCACAUUGCAUUCAUUUGUAUUAAUGAGCUAAUUUUUUUUCACAGAAUGUGAUGUGAAUCGAAUUACUUCCAACCAUGUGUCUCUAUAAGGGUUUAACAAAUGUAAUUUGCAUUGUCUGUACACUUUUUUUUCGGUUUCUUUUCUUUUUUAUGCAUGAUUCAUUAGUCCACGGAUCUUCUAUGCAAAGUGUGCAGGCCAAACACCUCCUUCAAUGCAUUAUUCUAGAAGUUAAGACUCAGUUUACUCCUUAAUUGAUCUGUUCCAUUUACUUCAAAUCAUUUGAUUACAUUAAAUGAAUCUUGAAAUUCAAAAAUGCAUCAAAGUUAAAAGACCUUCCAAUGCAUUAAGAAAUCAUCUGAUACAAAUAUAUGUGAACCUGCAACAACAAUAAUGUCAAAAUGGAAAACUUAGGUAGAAAAUAUUAGAACGGAAACUUACGACGAACUCAAUUUUUGGCGCCUUUCUUCUUCUCAUCUUCUGAUCCAAGAAGCUCUUCCAACACCGUGUCAUCCAAACACUCGAACUCAAUGACUUGCUUUUCUUGCCCAGAAGAGGAACCUCCCAUCUCUAAACUCCUACAAGGCCCAGAAGAUGACGAGGAAGACGAUGAGGAUGGUGAUGGUGGGGGGCGAUGGGAGCCCAUGAUUUCAGAAUAGUACUCAUUAGGAAAGUUAAGAAUGGCAAGAUGACCCCUUAAGUUAAAGGCCGCUCGAUCAUAGGCGCGAGCUGCAUCCUCCGCCCUGUCAAAUGUGCCUAGCCAUAGACGAGCACCUUGCCUAGACGGAUCCCUAAUCUCGGCUGCAAACUUCCCCCAUGGCCUCCUCCUCACCCCUCGGUAUCGAACUUCUUCCUUUUCCUUCCCUUCCUGCUCCUGCUUCUCAUUCCCUUUCGAAUGAUCUUCCAUGCUAAACGUGUCGAUUUGCUAGGCGCAAUUUUUUUGGUUUCAAAUGUGCUGGUUUACGAGAGGCAUGGAUGCUUAUGUAUAUAUAUGGUUGCCACAGUCAGGUCUGACGUCACCGCUCAAUGUAUGUUCCACAGCGUGGGUUGACGAGCUUUCUGAGGGGGUUUCCUCGAAUUCAAAGCAAGUAUAAAAAUUCGAUUCUCCGACCUUUCCAAUGAGGAUCGAACAGGCCUUUUAUUAGAACCGUAUGAUAACUCCACACUGUUUUCAAAUAGUCAAUGUGAUCUAGAUUCUUCGUUAAUUUUUUCCACCUGACUGAUUGUUUACAAUUUUAUUUUUCACCGUCCCAAAUUUAAACCAUUUACGCGAUUCCCUGGAUUGCAUUUUUCUUUAAUGUUGACUUUACGAGGCAAUAGGACCCCCCAGCAACCCCACUAGGGCGACUUCAUGGGAACCAGAUUACUUUUGGAUCCAGAUAUGGUCCAGAAGAAAUAAGACAAAUCAAUUAAUGUCCACUAAAGUUUUGAUGGAACCCUUAGUCCGUGUUUCCUGUGGAUGUAUGUAUUGUAUGCACCUCAAUUUUCACCAAUCCCUGCUACGAGUCCCUUUAAUUUUGACGUUAUAAAUGUUUUUCCUGACAUUAGCAGAGUGUUUUUCUGCCGUCUUUGAGGACCUUCCACGGCCCAUAAACUAAUAAGGAUCGUCCAGUGAAUUUAGUCUUCCCCAGUUAAUUAUCCUGCGAGGGAAACUUGGGCAGUAAGUUGCCUACAUGAGUGGCUCCCGCCUACAUGAGUCAAGGGACCAUACGUCAGGACGACAACCAGUGUGGUCACACCAAAGUGGGUUGCCUGGACUCCAGGGUGGUCGCUUCAAAGUUGUCAAAUGAAGGCUAGCUUGGCAAGUUUUGGAAAACAAUUAUUGAAAAACAUUUUUCAUGAAUAACAGUUUCUAUGAACAGAUUUUAAGAAAGUUUAUUUUGUGAUUUUUAGGAAUAUUUUUAAUUUAAAUUUUUAUAUUUUUAAUUUUUUAUUAAUUUAUUGAUUAUUUAAUAUUAGCUUAAUUAAUGGAUUUUUCUUGGUCCCAAAUUAUUAAUUUAUCAAGAUUUAAUCGCAUCCAUAAUUAGUCUAAUUUCUUUUGGAGUGAGUGUGACAAAGUGCAAAUUUCUAGAGUUUUAUUAAUGUUAUUCAAUGUCAUAAUUUAACUAAUUAUAUUAAUUAUUUAUUAAUCAAAAUAAAUCAUUCACUUGAAAUAUGAUAAUUUAAAUUAAAAGUUUCAAUUAUUUAUUAAUUAGCAAAGUAUGAACUUUUCUUCUUGUUUUAUUAUUGUUAUUCCAUGUAUAUAAUUUAAUUAACUGUUUCCAAUAUUAAUCAAUAAAAAUAGAAUAUAAGCAUGAGAAGAAUUAGUAAAAUUCAUUGAUUUGGAAUUAGAUAGCUAGAGGAAGAACUUCAUCAUCUUCCCAUUACUUAAAUUUGUAUAAAUUCUAAAUAUUUAAACCCCCCCCCCCCCCCCCCCCCCCAAAAAAAAAAAAAAUGGUAAAGAAAGACUCCCCAAGCUUUCUUGGUUGGUGUUACCCUAAAAUUUGUACAAUAAGAUGAACCAUUUGGCUUAAAGCUUGGUGCGAAACCCCUUAUCAAUUGAAAAUAUCAAUGAAGUUGUUGAAUGGUUUUAGAGGACUAUUCUUAUGCAGAGUGGCAUAAGAAGCGAGGAGAUGAAGAGCGGAGAGACGUUAACAUCGGAUGCUGCUACGAAGGUGGGAAUACGGUUAAUUAAUUAGAUUUUGUGAUGGCUUUGAGUUUGAAGGAGUUAGUUUAAUGGGUAUUAUUAGUGAACUGAUAAUUGGAUUUGAUGUAAAGAAGGUUGGUCCAUUGGAUUAGCAAUUGGUUUGGCCUUUUGGGGGCCCCAUUUCCAAAUGCAUUGCCUUUUACAAGCAUUCAACAUCGCUGGACGUAACCAGGCUUGGUUCACCUAAAAGUAUCGCAUGGAUUGAAUUGACUAAGUUUUCAUUGUAGACUAGCCUUGAUUUUCCCUUGACCUGCCCACCAAAUCCUGAUGCCCACGCGAGGGAAUACCUCAAUUUUCUAAUAAUUUAUGCAGUUUCUCUUCAAAGCUCGUGUGAUCACUUGGGUCGGUAAAAUAAUGCAUUCCUCUACUUUUUCUCCCUUCCUAGAUGCAUGUUAUACCAUUAAUUCAAAUGUGAACAUGGGCUUGGCUUUGAAACUUGGUUCAAGGCCCAACAUGUUGACCCACAAUUGAGGUGUAAUUGAAUUUGUACACUUUUCGACUUUGAUACCAUUUGUCAUUACCAUUGACAUUGGGUCAUUGUUGAUUUUGAGUCCACAACUUUUAAGGUUGUUAUUACAAUUUUAAAUUGCGCCCACCCAAUUUAUAUGCAUUAUCCCUUAUAAAUACCGAUAACCUCUCUUUCUUCGAUAAUAUAAAAUGUCACAUAUAUUAUAUAUCUCAAUGUUUUCUUUUACUUUUUUUUUUUUUAUCGAUCGACAUUCUCUCUCAGAUGAUAUGAGAUGUCACAUAUAUUAUAUGUUUCAAUGUUUCUUUUACUUUUUCUCUUUUUCCUCAUGAUUGACAUUGUCUUUCUCAAAUGAUAUGAGUUGUCACAUAUAUUUUAUGUCUCAAUGUUUUCUUUAACUUUUUUUCUCUCUUCUUUAAUGAUCGACGUUCCUUUUCUCAGAUGAUAUGAAAUGUCAUAUAUAUUAUAUGGCUUAAUGUUUUCUUUUACUUAUUCUUUCUUUAUUAAUAAUCGACAUUUUAAGCAAUAUGUGAAUAUAAAGCAUUAAAAUUAUCUCCAUCGUUUUUGGAUGUGGUAUAAAUACACAAUUCUUAUUUUUGUUUUAAAUAUUUCUAUUGCUAUCUAUUGAAAUUUUAUGCAUGAAGCUACCAAGUUAAUUAUACAUAUAUCUUAAGAUUUUUUUUUUUUUUUUUUAUAGGAUAUAUUGUCCAUGAAUAUUUUCUGCAAUGGUAUCUUGUUUGAUUACUAUAAGAAAUAAUAUAUAUAUAUAUAUAUAUAUAUAUAUAUAUAUAUAUAUAUAUAUAUAUAUAUAUUAUAUUUCAAUGUUUCAUAUUUGCUUAAAAUAAAAAUUAUAUUUUAUCACAAUAUUUGGUAUUAAAAAAAAUGAAAUCUCUCUCAUUUAUUAUUACAAAAAAAUUAUAAUUUAUAAUUUUCUAAAUAAGUUUUAUUUAUUUGCUAACUAUAUUCAUGAUUAAAAGAUUUAAAAUUUAUAAAUAAAAAAUAUUAUGUCAUGUCAUUAAAUAAAUAAAAAUAUAUGUAUAUAUUAAAAUUAUGUUUUAUUGUAGCUUUUAAUAUUUUUUUUUUUAUUCUUUUCUUUUUUGAACUACAAUUUUAAUUUUUUUUAAUCAAAAUUUUUUAAUUUACAAAACGAGUAACAUAAAACUUGCCUUUGAACUUUAUUGGAAUGUUAUAUACUACCAUUUGGCUUUCAAGACAUUAGAAAAGGCAUAAGUGUCCCUUUUAUUUUUCCGAAAGGCAUAUUAGACUAUAGUAGGAAGUGUUGUAUAGAGGCAACUAAAAGUUGCCUUUAACUUUAUGAAGUCAUAUACUCCUCUUUGGCUUUGAUGACAUCAACUAGCAAAUUGGAUUUUGUUUCCUUUGCAACAUUUUUCCAUCCAUUAGCCAGUUUUUUUAUACUGUUUGGUGCUUGCCAACAUGGCACACACUAUGGUUCUUAAAAAGUAUUUUUUUUUUUAAGAUACUACGAAAUAAAAUACACGAUUGAAAGAUGAGUCACAAUAAUUUUCAAAACUAAAUUUUUUAAUAUUGUUAAGAAAAUUUGACCACCAAAUGAUUGAUUUUAAAUUACAAAUACUUUUGUUAGCUAAGAAAUUUGUUGUUCUAUUUGUUUCCCUAUAAAUAUGACAACAAUCAUAAAUAUUUUCAUUUUAAGAUAAUUUUCAAAUAUCUUCCAUUAAUAAUAUAAUAGAAUUAGGAAUUUUUUUUUUAGUUAUAACAAUCUAUAAUUAUUUAAGAGUCUUCCUCAAUCUCUAGGUUUAAGAACUUAUUGUUCUUAACAACUAACAUGUCAUCUCUUAAAAUAAUACAUUCUGCAAUAAUUAUUGAAAUAUGAUAUAAUAUAUAUAUCUACUUACAACCAUUUUUGUAGUACCAUUAGAAUUUUUAAUUACCCAUUCUAAAGUAUUUUUAUUCUCUAUUCUUAAACCAUCAAAAUUUAAUUUAAAUCUUUCAUUAAUUGGAUAAAUCCAAUGAAUCUAACAAGUUAAAGGAUUAUGAAUCCGACAAAACAGUUGAUAAUAAAUUAAUAAUGCCAUUAAUAUGAUUUUAAUGUGAAACACAAUUAUCACAUUUAAUACAGUUAGUCCUUGUAUGAUUAAUGUUUUGGAAGCUAAAAUCAAUCUUUUGACUAUAAUAAGAGUUUCUACUAUUUCUAUUUUUGGAUGAUUUUAUAUUUUUCUUAUUGUUUUAGUUUAAUACAAAAAAUAAAAAUAAAAUUACAUUAGUAGAAUUUUUUUAACUUACUCAAAAACCUAUUUUAGUUGAAUGAUUUUUUUAAAAAAAAUAUAAAUAUUUUGUUAAAAGGGAUAAAAUAACCUUACCUUGUGAAAAAGACCUCUUCACCCAAGAUUACUUGUUCAUAAUCCUUUUAAGACGAAAAUGCCCCCUUCCUAAAAAAUAUUUCAUCUUAAACUUAUUUUUCUUUUUAUUGCCCUUUGUUCCAUCCUUCCGGCUUGGGAGAGAAAUUCAUUCUUCUUUUGCGAAGAAAAAUUCCUAUUGCGAUUUUUCAUUUCAAGUGGAAAAAAAAAUUCUUAUUUCAUUUUAAAGAAAUUGUACAUUUUCAAUCUUUCUCUUUGUUCCUAGUUGAGGGUUUUUUUUGUAAUUUUAUCUUAACACUACAAAUUUAAAGGUGAGAUUAAAUCUUAAUGGUUAUUAGUUAAAUCACAUAUCUAACUUUGUUUUUGUCAGGACCUAUAAUAUGAUUGGAACCACCAUCCAAACUUCAUUAGGUGGGAUACUCCCCACCCUCCCCCUCCCCCCGCGAAAUCCUUGGAUUUUAGUUUUGACUUGGAUUUCAAUUGCCCGUAUCAAUUUUUCUUUAUUUAUUAAUUUAUUAAUUUUCAACUUUAACAAAAGCCUUGAAUCAUAUUUAAAUUCAAAUAACUUAAUCCUAAUUAAGUUCUUUUUAAAUAAAAAUUAAUCAUUGAAAAGUUCAUGUGACUAUUAUAAUUGAGAAUUUAUCCCAAGUUGGGUUUUUUGCAAAUAAAAUUUUAUUAUAGGACAUCAUGAUGCAACAUAACAUAAGGUUGUUACUUAAGUUUGUUUUGACCUUGUAAUAUGUUAAAAUGAAAAUGAAGCCAUUGUAACAGGAGAGAAUGAUGAAGCUGUGGAGAGAGCUUAACAAAGCUUGGGUUGGAGAGACUUCACAGGAAGAGAGAGAGAGAAAUAAAGGGUAAAAUUAUCAAAAGAGAAAAGAAAAAAAAAAAAAAAAAAGAAGGUUAUGUCUUCAAAUAAUCAAUAAGAGAUGUCAUUUUUCUAAUUUUCAAAGUUCUUUUGGUCCUUCUCUACAAAUAUCCCUAUAAAAAUAUUAUAAUAUCAAGUUAAUUUGUCAAUACCAAAAUUUAUAUUUUAUAUUAGGGCGACUAAAUAACAUAUAGAAAGAAUUUUAAAUGAGUAAAUCAAAUCAAUUUUGAAACCAAAACUUAAUAAUUACCAAACUUGUAAUCUUAGUCAUUAAAAGUGUACGAUGAAAUCUAAAUUAUUAAGCAAUGAAACAAAAAAUUAAGAUUAAAAUACAAAACGUUAAAAUCAAGAUACAAACUAUUAAAAUGUAAGUGGGAUAUGAGAUGAUAUUAUAAAAAAUAGUGUGAUCCAACAAAAAGUCUAGUACAUCAUUAUCUUCACUUCCAACCAUGUUUAAAAGGUCACAAGUUCUAGCGGUUUCCAAGGACAAUGUUAAAAAUAAUAAAAAUAAAUCCAAUUAAAUAUUAAUUAAUUUAUUUGAAUUUGAGUCCGACAAAAUAGUUGGUAAUAAGUUAAUAAUGCCAUUAAUAUGAUUUUAAUGUGAAACACAAUUAUCACAUUUAAUACCCGUUAGUCCUUGUAUGAUUAACUUUUUAGAAAUUAAUAUCAAUCUUUUGAUUAUAAUAAGAGUUUCUACUAUUUAUAUUUUUGGAUGAUUUUAUAUUUUUCUUAUUGUUUUAGUUUAAUACAAAAAAAUAAAAAUAAAAUUACAUUAGUAGAAUUUUUUUUAACUUAUUCAAAAAACCUAUUGUAAGGUGAAUGGUUUUUUUAUUUUUUUUUUAAAUAUAAAUAUUUUCUUAAAAGGGAUAAAAUAACCUUACCUUGUGAAAAAAGGCCUCUUCACCCAAAUUUACUUGUGCAUAAUCCUUUUCAGACGAAAAUGCCCCCUUCCUAAAAAAUAUUUCAUCUUAAACUUAUUUUUCAUUUUUAUAACCCUUUGUUCCAUCCUUAUGAUUUGGGAGAGGAAGUCAUUCUUCUCUUGUGAAGAAAAAAUUCCUACUGCCAUUUUUCAUUUCAAGUGAAGAAAAAUAUUUAUAUUUCAUUUUAAACAAAUUGUACAUUUUCAAUCUCUCUUUGUUCCUAGUUGAGGUUUUUUUUUUUUUUUUUUUUUUUUGUAAUUUUAUCUUAAUUGUACAAAUUCGAAGAUGAGAUUAAAUCUAUAAUGGUUAUUGGUUAAAUCACUUAUCUAACUUUGUUCUUGACAGAUCGUAUAAUAUGAUUGGAACCACCAUCCUAACUUUAUUAGGUGGGAUCCCUUUUUUUUUUUCCCCAAACCCUUGGAUUUUAGUUUUGACUUAUAUUUCAAUUGUCUGUAUCACUUUUUCUUUAUUUAUUAAUUUUCAACAAGUUCUUUAACAAAAGCCUUGAAUCAUAUUUAAAUUCAAAUAACUUAAUCCCCAUUAAGUUCUUUUUAAAUGAAACUUAAUCAUGUGAAAGUUCAUGUGACUAUUAUAAUUGAGAAUUUAUUCUUAGUUGGGUUUUUUGUAAAUAAAAUUUAGUUAUAGGACUGUGAUGAUCCGUUCUCAACCGUAUAAAUAUUGUUCGUUUUGAAUUCAAAAUAACUUUUACGGCUUUAAAACAUGUUUACAAGAUUAAGAGGAGUCCAUAUUUAUAUAGCUUCACGAACUUUCCCCCCUAUUCGAUGUGGGAUGUCACAAGGACAUCAUGAUGCAACGUAUAACAUAAGAUUGUUUCUUAAGUUUGUCUAACCUUGUAAUGUGUUAAAAUGAAGAUGAAGCCAUUAUAACAGAAGAGAAUGAUGAAGUUGUAGAGAGAGCUUAACAAAGCUUGGGUUGGAGAGACUUCAUAGGAAGAGAGAGAGAGAGAGAGAGAGAAAUAAAGGGUAAAAUUAUCAAAAAAGAAAAAAGAAAAAAAAGAGGGUGAUGUCUCCAAAUAAUCAAUAAGAGAUGUCAUUUUUCUAAUUUCAAAGUUCUUCUGGCCCUUCUCUACAAAUAUCCCUAUAAAAACAUUAUAAUAUCAAGUUAAUUUGUUGAUACCAAAAUUUAUAUAUUAUAUUAGGAUGACUAAAUAACAUAUAGAAAGAAUUUUAAAUGAGUAAAUCAAAUCAAUUUUGAAAUCAAAACUUAAUACCUACCAAACUUGUAAUCUUAGUCAUUUAAAGUGUUCCAUGAAAUCUAAAUUAUUAAGCAGUGAAACAAAAAAUAUAAGAUUAAAAUACAAAACGUUGAAAUCAAGAUUCAAACUAUUAAAACGUAAGUGGAGACGUAAGAUGAUGUCAUAAAAAAUAGUGGGAUCCAACAAAAAGUCUAUUAAUCAUUAUCUUCACUUCCAAUCAUGUUUAAAAGGUCACAAGUUCUAGCGGCUUUCAAGGACGAUGUUAAAAAUAAUAAAAAUAAAUCCAAUUAAAUAUUAAUUAAUUUAUUUGAACAAUAGAUAGGACCAAAAUAAUAUUCUAAAAGGAAUCAUAGGGAAGUCCUUGGACAACCUACGACAUUGAACAAAGGUACAGUGAGACAAUGCACUUAGCCCUUCCUUGUCAUUGCGAUGAAUAUAAAAAGACACCCUGAUUGAGGGUGCCCCACUAAGCCAAGAGUGAUUCUUUUGUAUUGUAUAACGUGAAUAUUUUUGAACUUUGAAUGACCCUUCCUAUAGUCAUCAUUGUCAAAACUAGAAAAUCAGAAAGAUGCGAUGUACGAAGGCACCAUUGAAUAAGAGGCUUAAUUCUCUUUGGCAAUUAGGAUAAAGUUUCAAAAUAGAAAAAUUAAACAAAUGUACAGUGUACGGACACUUGGGCAUUGCCUAUUUGUUUUGUUCUUCUAGAGUUGUAUAUGGUAAAGGUCAUAUUGGGUUGGUUCUAUUUGGUUAUUGAAGUCGGCUAGAAUAUUAGAUUUGGUUUCAAUCUAAUCCCAUAUGAUAUUAGAAUACCAGCCCAUACAGAAUUUUUGACCAAAUAUAAUAUUUCUUUUAAAUAUAAAUAUAGUAAUUAAUUUUAGUCUAAGAUUAAUUAUGUAGUUUCCUAAAGAGACCACUUCCUAAACGGUAGCUAUGUGGAAGUUGGGCCAGGUCCUGCCGAGAAGGUUUCCACGAGCUGAGCCCAAAACUGAGUAGCUGUGAUGGGAUCAUUCUAGCAUUCAGCCUGAAACUUGUAACAUAACGGAUCGAGAGGCCUGAACUCCAAGACCAUGGUUCGUCAGCCCAUUAACUUCAACAGCACGCAUUUUAGAGGACUGGGCUUGCAAGGGGUGAGGUUUCCGGGCCGCGACCCCAAAUAUGAACAGCCUCAGAAGUGAUAUUGCUUACUGGCACGUGAAGAGCGCAAGCGUAACUAGAAGAUUUGUAAUGCCGCUUUAAUUGUUUGAUUAUAGAAUCCCACGCAUUACGCAUGGAAAGUGUAAAAGAUAAAAGAUGUAGAAUUUUUUCUUAGAGAAAAGUUCGUUUGGAUAUAGUUAUUGUUUUUUUUUUAAAUAAUAAUUGUUUUUUUUAUAAAUUAUAGAUAAUCUUAGAAAUUUAUCUUUAAAAAAAUAGUUUUUAAAAAUAUUUAAGGAGAAUAAAAGUGAUAAAAAAAAACUUUACAAUUUCAAAUUUUUAAAAAAUGAAAAUUAUUUUUAAGAAUAUAAGUUAAUCUCCUGCAUUUAAAUCUUAGGUGGUUUUUGUUUUUUUUACUUUUCGCUGAAAACAAUUUGUUUUCAAAAUUUAGGUCAUUUGUUUUUUCUAUUUUUUCAUGAUUUAUUAUAAAUUUUUUACUAAAUAAAAAAAAUCAAAAUAUGUAACUUUUUCUAAAUAAAAAAAAUAACGUAUUGAUUUUUCUUUACUUUUUAAUACUUAAUAGAUAUAAAAUACUACAAAAACAAAAAAUCUAAUAUUUAACACUAUUAAGCAUUAAAGUUCUAUUUAGAAUUAAGUAAAAAAACAAACACCACCUUAUAUUUUAUAUAAAAGUUACUUAUAUUUUGGUUUUUGGAAAUAAAAAAUAUAAAGCAUAUCCAAACAUGAGCUUAGCUAUUUUAAAUCAUAUCAAAAUAAUAAUCCCAAUAAGGUAAAUGGACUUUUAUACGGAGAAUAAUCUUUAAGGUUUUCAUUUUUAUUGGAUUUUUUUUUUGUGGUGUUUUUUCAAUCCAUCUUCUCAAUUAAUUCCUUAAAAUUAUUUUACUGUUUUUUUUUUUUUCAGUUUCUAAAUAUUUGAUUUUUCCAAAAUGCUUAAAUGGAAGACACUAAUUUUUCAAGAUAUUUGGUAUUACAAUUUUCCCUGUUCUCCCUAUUAUCUAUCAGAUUCAUGGCCCUUUUGUUUUUUCAUUGGUUUUCAAUUUAAUUUUCCAAAUAUUACAUUGUUGUGUUUUGAAUUUGUGAAACCAAUUUUAUAUAUAUAUAUAGUAUGUAAGUCUACUUUGGGUAACAUGUACAGAGAGGUUUUCAUGUGUUUGAAACCUUUUACCUCAAAAAUUAAUUAUUUUUAAUUUUAUAAUAAAUCUUUUUUUAUUUUUUAUUUUAUUUAGGAAAGCCUAUAUUUAAACUACAUGUUUGCAACGCAACACCAUACAUACUCCUAGUGGAACUUACCUUAGUGCUUGAGGGGGAUGCAGAUCUUCUUCUAAACCUAACUAAUAAGCAUAAAAUUGUUCACUAAUUAGCAUAUCUAGUAAAUCAUACAAAUUGGCAAUAUUUCAUGUUUUUCAUGUUUUGUCAAUAAAAGGCGUCUUGACCAUUUUGUGAGUUUUGUAAUAAAUAAAAAAAAAAAAAAAAAAAGGGCAAAAGGUGACUAAAAUGAGGCACUUUGGAAAGGUUAAUAACCUAAAAGGAAGAUGAAUUAAUACCCCCUUAUUCCUCUUCAAAAACCAUUGAGAAAAUGCAAGAAAUGCUCUUAGUUGUAUGCUAGGCUAACAGCCUAGCAACCAUAAUACCCUUCUUUGCAAUUGUAAGCAUUUUUUUUUUUUUUUUGAAGGCCAAACAACGUUGCAAACUUCCCAAAUCCCUUCUUUAUUUUUUAUUUUUUUAUUUUUGUUUUUAGAAGGAGAAUGAAUUUGAUGACAAACUCCUUGUCAAUCUUAUCCAAACCACGAUCGAACAGAACUCCUUGUCAAUCUUAUCCAAACCGUGUUCCACCUCAAAAACAUGUGUAGGACUUAAGGCAGCAACUGGCAAGCAUGACUGAUAGGGCCAAGUGCCCUUGUCUCUACAAUCCAUUAAGUUAACCAAGGGCAGUGAACCAUCAUUCUUUUCAAAAGCUUCAUUCCGUGUUGAAAAUGUGAGACUGAAGCAUGGUGCCCCCAAAAAUAACGAUCUAUUUACUAGCAGCAUGCCUGGACCCAUUAAAAAUACUCUACUUUAGGAAUAGAAAAAAUUACAUCUUUAUCCAAUAAUUUUAUAACAAUUCAGACGUUUCAGUCUAUAAAUAAUUGUACAUAGUUGCCAACGUUUAGCUAGUUUCAAAUGAAUAGCCUAGGUUCAUGCACCAGUUUGGCUGGUGGAGGAAAGGGAUUCGAGACAUUGAACCCUCUUUUUAGUGUGCCAAAUAUUCCACAAAAAUCACUACCUUCUCUUUGUGUUUGUUCACUUUUAGUUUAUAUUUAAUAAAUCUAUGUUUUCGAGUAGAGGUUGGGUUCAGGUGCGACCCACGUCACCUCUCGGACGGUCUUGAAAAAGGAGACCGGACCACGUAAUUUCAAAUGUAGUGACCAUCUCACUUUUACCUCCAUCCUUGAAGAUGGUUUCCCAAAUCAAUAUUAAUCUUUUGUUUACGACAAUAUCGAUCACUUUAUGUCUAUAUCGUUGUUAAUUUACCUUUUUUUUUUAGCCACAUUAUUUGAAAAUUGAUGCAAACUUUACCAACAUCUUGGUACCAUUUUAAAAUAUUAGAGUUAUUUGAUUAAAAAAAUAAAAUAAUCUCGAUAACUUGUUUAUAAAAUAAAUAUCUUUUAACAUUUAGACUAUUCUCACGCAUGCUUUAAAAUUGUAAAGAUAUUCAUAAAGUGGAACUUUAGACUUAAUCAAUAUCGAUCACUUUAUGUCUCUAUUGUUGUUAUAUUUUUUUUUUACAACAUUAUUUGAAAAUUGAUGCAAACUUUACCAACAUCCUAAUACCAUUUUAAAAUAUUAGAGUUAUUUGAUUAAAAAAAUAAAAUAAUCCCGACAACUUGUUUAUAAAAUAAAUAUCUUUUAAUAUUUAGACUAUUUUCACCAUGCUUUAAAAUCAUAAAGAUAUUUAUAUUCAUAAAGUGGAACUUUAGACUUAAACAUGAUAAUAGUUUUUUUACAAUAUUAUAAUUAUUUUAUCGUUUUAAUUAAGCCCUUUAUCAUACAUAUAAAUGUAAAUUAAUGCUAAAUUUUUAAAGCAACGUAUAACCUUUUACAUCUUUUUUUAAGAUGGUGCGAAAAUCCUAUGAAAAAUAAUAAAAGUCGAUGCAUAAGAAGAUUGUUUUGAUAAUUCAAUAGAAAAAUUCUUUUAAAAUGAUAUUAAAAAAUACCCAUAGAGCCUUUAUUAAAAAAAUCAAUUAUUUUCAUAAUAAAAAUUAUAAUUUUUUAUUAUGUAUUAUUAUUUUUAAGUAUCUUUAUUACAAAUACUUUUUUUGAGUUUAUGAGAGGAAUCAACAGGUUGGUACAAGCUUAGGCGUCCUCGUACAUGUUCCCGCUGUGCAAGGUUUUUGUCUUGUUUCGAGCUAGUCGGAAUUUACGUGUUUGAUAACGUUUUGUCCUAUUUUUGUAACGCUUUAAAGGGCGGCCCACCGUUGGAACAGUUCAAGCCAUCCAAAUCAGCCCGGAGGGUUAUGGCGACGUGGCAUGACGCCUACCACCUUAGUUCACAUGAACCCUAUGAUCGUACUACCCUCACAUGACAUCUGUGAUUCUUCACCUCCAAACCCUCUUUAACUUGGUAAUGUAUUCAAAGCUUCAUCAAAUCAUAGCGAUUAGCGACCCUCUUCCACCCUAAUUUUAUAAUAAAAAAUAAAUCUUAGUGGACAUUAAAGUAGUAUUUUGUGGGGGGAAAGAAAAACUCUAUGGGCGUAUCCACUAAAUACGAGCCAAGUAUAAGAGUUAUCACCAUGGAAUCAAAUUAUGAAGCAUUGACAUUUUAAUUGUAUUCAGAUUUGAGGAGGGCACCGCGGCACCAGCUGGCCCAGUGUAGUCUGCUAGCCUACCCGCCAUAAUGACCAAAUUAAUAAAGUAAAAAGGAUUACAGGGAUAUUCCCAACUUUAUUCUGGGUCUGAGCUGGAACUUGGGAGUUAUCACGAUCAACGGGAAAGAUGGUGGGUAGGGGACGAGGAUUGAGGGCUCCAUAUUCACAUCAGUGAAAAACGAAAUGUAUUGAGACAAGUCUUCUAAGGAUUUUCUAGCGUAUUAUAUGGUUUAAAUGAUUAUAAAUCUGUAGUUACUGGUAAAGAGUAGAGAGUGAAGACGAAAGACGUUGAGUGAAAAGGAAGGAGGAGAGGGGAUGGGGCCAUCUUACCGUGUCGGGGAGGAUCCAUAAAAGGACUACGUUCCCUGAAUCUGUAGGCAUCAUGCCUCGCCUAACGGGUUAGUCAAAAUACAGUGAUGUGUGUGAGUUGGGGGCCUCACUCCUCAUUUCUUUCCUUCUUUUCACCCCCACCCCCACUUUUUUUUUUUUUUUUUCGAAUUUUUCUUUGUCCUUUUCUCUCACUUGCGCACGCGGGAGAAGGACCACAAACUAGACAAUUCCUCUGCUCACGUGACCCCGAGUUUUUAAAUAUUUGCCUAUUUGGAAAAUAGUCAUGAAUCAUGAUCGUUAACAAACAAUCUUCACUUUAUUUAUUUAAGAUCUAUUUUUUGGAGCUCUAGUUUAGUUUAUUAUUAUUAUUAUUAUUAUUAUUAUUAUUAUUAUUAUUAUUUAGUAACUCCUCUUAUAUUAAUGAAAAAGAGAGGAGGAAUCCAAACUUGUUUAUUCUUCCUCUUUUAAGGUGUUUGUUUUUUUUAUUUUAUUUUUAUGCUUCAUAUGUCUUCAAUUUCUUAGCAUUUGUCUUAUAUUUCUUCUUAUCCGAUUCAUUAUUGCAUCCUUGGUCAAUCUUUCACGAGGAGUGCCUACUUUUUUCCUUUUUAUUAUUUAAUUCACUUUAUCUUUAUAUUUUCCUUUUACACUUUAUUUCCAAUUCAAAACGUGUCAAAAAAAAAAAUUGGUAACAAAAAAAAAAAAAAAAAUCAAUUGUAAUGAUUCUUAUAUAAUUUUAUUUAAUUUUUAUUAAACAAUAAAGAAAUUAAAAAUAUAUAAAUUUUUAAAUAAUUAUUAUAGUCUUUCAUUUUUGUGUAUAAUUUCUUUUGCAAGAAAUAGUGUAGGCUUUCCACGGUCUAAAGGAAAUGGAAUAUCAAAUGAGAAGGUAAUAAUAAUAAAGUGAGUUAUAGAUACUAAUCAAACUAAUCCACUAAUGAAUUAUUUAUUUUUAUUUCACAUGGACAAAUCCUAAAAGUUGGAGUUCUAAUUUACUUUUAUGUUAAGCUUUUUUAAGUAAAAAUCUUUUAUUAUUAUAAUUUAUAGACAAAAAGAAACCCAUUAAUGUGAUGGAUAAAAAAUUUCAAUUUAAAAAAAAAAAAAUUAAAGUUGCUAAAUUUUUGUAUUUAUUAUUUCAAACUCAUUUAAAUAAUUUAAAAAUAUGUCUUCAAUUAAUUUUAAUGAAACAAAGCAUGAUUUUUUUUUAAUUUUUUUUUCUUUACCAAAUAAAGCAUUAUUAUAAUACGUUGAUUAAAUUUUCAUCAUGUCUCUCAAGAUUUGGAUUAAAUAUACUUAGUUGUCAUAAAUUUGAAAUUUUAUUUAAUGUAUUUUUUAUUUUAAAUUAAAAAGAUGAAUGCAAAUAAAAAAAAUAUGUAUAUUUUAUAAAAUUUUAAAUUAAACGAAGGAUACGUGUAUUUAACCAAGGUGAAUGAAAUUAAUCCAAAUACUUUUUGGUAACUUGCAAAAUAUCUUGACGAAAUCAUUAUGGCAGGCAUCGUACAAGCUCAACCCUUGUCGCCUUGCUAGAAAUAGAGAAACAAAAAGACCCCCAAAUUGGGUUGCAUCCUAAAUAUGAAGAAGUGGUAACAAAGGAAGAAAAAAUGCUGUGUUAUUGAAUAGUUAAUACAUUGAACAUGAUAUGUUACAUAGAGAGCCAGAUUAAUCCUAGUGGAAUUCCACUGUCACGAUGGUAACCUAGGGUUAUGUUUGGUUAUUGAAAAUACCAAGAAAAGAAAAAAAAAUAUAAAGGAAAAUAAUUUUUUCAUUUUUGAUUGUCUUAUAAAAGAUAUAAAAAAAAAACAAAUAUAAUUAAAACUAAUUAAAAAUUUAGGUAUUUUUAAAUUAUUUAAUUUUUAUAUUAAUGAGCGAAAAUAAAUAAAAUAAGUUUAAAAUAACAAAAAAAAUAAUUUACCGAUUUUUAAUCUAUAUUUUAUUUUACUUUUUCUUUGUAUUUUUUUUUUCUUAUAUUUUCCCUCAAAUUUUCUGAAUCAAACAUAGCAAAAAAGGAGCUACCCCUUUCGAAAGAAACUCCCAAGAAUUUCAAAGAAACCUGCUGAGAUAAUGAAUGAGGGAUCACUGUCGGUAAACAGUAUCCAUUCUUUUGGGAGGACUUUCAAACUGAGAAGUUGUUUUCAUGACUUGGAAACAAAAUUUUGAGCUCUAAGGGGGUCUGUAUUUGGGCCCUAAAAUUCAAUCCAUCAAUCUGAAAAAUGCUUAGGAUAAUGAUUUGAUUUAGCCACAAUCACUAAACAAAUUCCAGAGGAAAAUUUCGCUACUCAUAGGUGGCUGAUUCUCAUAAAAAGACAUCGUGGUAGGGUGUCUCAAGUGCAGGCUCACCAUCAACUUGCUGCCCUUUUUAGAUUAUUGUAAAAUGAUUUCACAUGAAGCCCAAUGCAAAACUUUGAAAGAAAAGGUUGGUGGAGACGUGAAGAAUAUGUAACCCAUAGGCCAUAACUAGUACCGAAGAUUAUUGAACAAACAUUCAAGGUUUUUGUAUAGACGAAACUGAAAAGAAUGUGUACCAGACUCAGGCGUUCAGAUCAGAUGAUGCCGUAAUGUGGAUUGUGGAGGAGCAUUGUGCAGACAGAUAAUGAGAUUCUGAAAGCGAGGCCACUGAUGGGCCCUUGGAAGGGGGGCGUGCCUUCAAAAUUAUAUAUAUAUAUAUAUAUAUGUCAUUGAAAAUUGGAAGCAACUUUUCUUCUUAAGUUAUUUUAAUCGAAGAAGAAACAAAAAGUUAAAAACAUACAUUAUUCUUCCUUCUUACGAGGUUUCCGGGUCUAAAUUACUAUGGUCUCUGCAACUGGCGUCGUUUUCUCUCCCCUCUCUCUAUUUUCCCUUUAUUUUUUCACUUUUAGAAAGAAGCAUCCCAUCAAGAAUCUACUACAACCCUACGCUUCCAUUUUGAUUUAGAAAGUUAAAAAUAAGUUUAAGUUAAAAAAAAAUAUUUUCUUAUAUAAUUAUUUAAACUUAUUUCUUUUCCUUUUUAUAUAAAGAAACAAAUAUUUUGCAAAUAAAUAAAUUUCUAAUUAUUUUCAUUAACAUAAUAAUAAUAUUUUUCAUAUGACUUUAAUCACAAUUUUUUUUACCACUUGUCCAAGGCGGUGAGAGGUGAUAAAAUGUAUUAAAAAAACGAUUAAAUUGCAUUAGGUAUAGAAGUUUUGUGCUUCAAUUAUCACUUAUAAAAAUAAAAUAAAAAUAGUCAAAUUUGAGUGUGCAAGUUGGUAUUCGUAUGUAGAAGGAAUUGGGGGAUUUGGGGGUCCUAACAAAUUUGAUAUGAUUGAUGGAAGGAAAUGAUUAUUAUAGGAUAAAGUCCGAAUGAAACGCUGACGAGGGGGGAAAAACAACAGUGGCAAUGCACUAUCCACAGAUCCAUGAUUGAUUUAUGUUAGCAAUAAUGAAUUAUUUUGACUUUGAUAACCUUGGUUAAGAGAAUUUGGUCUUGUUAUUAUCAUUUUUUCAAAAAAAAAAAGUGUAGGUAACUAGGUAGUUGAUUUAUUAGAAUUUAGAAAUGAGGAUCCCCUCCUCCUGCAAGAGCCGUGACAGACAUGCCUGCUUUCUUGCCAGAUUAUACCAAUGUGCCCAAAUAAUCCCCCAUCUAUCAUCUCUGCACCCUGGAACACGUCACUCCCUCCUUUGAGCAAUAAAAUAUCUCUUUUAUUUUCUUUUGAACCACUCUUCUAUUUCUUUGUACCAGACUGGACCCAUUUAAAUUCUUCGCUACGCUGUUCCCAAGGACUACGAGAAUCAAAAUAGCAAAAUUCUUGAAUCAUUUUAAUGGGUUCAGAAACCACAUGUUUCUCUAGAUCAUAAGAGGAAAAUCUUUUUGGAUGGUGUUUGUGUUGUGUUGUGUUCAAUAUUAAAUACUCAAUUAAAUAAGCUAAAUCAAAUAUCACAUGAAAAAUAAUCAAAUUAAAAAUAGGGAGAAUUAUGUUUUGAGGGUAGAUGGACCCCAAAUUAACAAAAGGUUCAUGUAACUCUUCAAAUUGAGCCCAGACCCAAUGAAAAUAUGGAAAUUGAGUUGAAGUAUAUCAUCAUUCAGUAUUUCCAAAAAUGUCCUUUGUUGAUUUUGAGAAAAAAAUUAAUAUUUUUGAAAAAUAUUUUUAUGUAAUUUAAUAUUUUUUUAAAUACUUUUAUUUAAUUUAAUAUUUUUAAAAAAUAAAUUUAUUUAAUUUAAUAUUUUAAAAAAUAUUUAAUUUAAUAUAUUUUUUAAAUACUUUAAUUUAAUUUAAUAUUUUUGAAAAAAAUUUUAAUUUAAUAUUUUUGAAAAAAAAAUUAUUUAAUUUAAUAUUUUUUAAAACUAUUUUUAUUUAAUUUAGUAUUUUUGAAAAAAAAUUAUUUAACUUAAUUUUAUAAAAUAUUUUAUAUGUGUUCUUAAAGGGUAUAUUUGUCCGUUACUAUUUCAUAUCCUUCAACUCAAUUUAAAGAGUUAUAUGGACCUUUUGUUAAUUUGGGGACCCAUCUACCCUCAAAAGAUAAUUCUCCCUUAAAAAUAUAAAUUUAAAUAUGACAUAAUUAUUAAAUAUGUUAGAUCUUGUAUGAGUUUAUAAGAUUUAUGUUUCAAAAUAACAUGUUUAUAAUUCAUCUAUUGAUUUAUAAUCAAAUUUUAAAUAAAUUAAAGUUAUUCAAGUUAAUAAAUAUGAUUUAUGUUAUAAAGACUAACUAAAAAAUAAUUUAUUAAUUAAACGGAUCCUGGUCAAUAAAAAUUUGAUUUAAAUACGAUCAUACUUAAUCAAAACUUAGGUCAAAUUGUAUUGAUAAAUUACAUCAAAACCUUGUUGUGUUCAAUAUUUUAUAUUAAACUAUUUUUUAAUAAAAUUAUUUUUAUAAAUAUAAUAUUACAUCAUUUGGAGAAACAAAAUAGUAUUAUAUUGAUUUUACAUAUAAAGCAACCAGUUAACCCCUCAUUAUUUUGAUCCAUUUCACAUCCAUAUCAUUCUCAUAAUUUUUUUAUAAUAUAUUAACAUGAUGGACGGUAAUUGAGGGUAGAAAAAAAAGAUGAGAAGAAUAAAAUAAUGUGAAUCCUCUCUAAAUGUUACAUCUUCUGACAAAUGAAGUCUAUAGAAAUGUGUAAAAAAAAAAAAAACACUUAAUUGUGAGGUUCACUUGAUUUAGCAAAAAAUUAAUAUUUUAUUUGUUGUGUGAUUUAAAAAUAAUAUUUUAUUUUUAAAAAUAAAAAAUUAUUUUUAAAGUUUUUUAACACUAUUUUACUAUUGUUCUUUGAAAUAAUUUUUAAAAUUAAAAUGAAAUAACUAAUAAUUUUUAGAUAAUAAAUUAAAGUUGUUUUUAUUAGAUUUUAAAAAUAAAAGAAAAAUAUAAAACCAUUUGAUCAAAUUUUUUUAAACUUAUUUUUAAAAGGUUUUUUUUUUUUUUUUUUUUUUUCUAUCCUAAGUUAAAAGAUAAAAAAUAAUUUUUAAAGAUAGGUUACGAGCAAAUGCCACAAACUUUUUUCUUCUCUUUCCCUUGUUCGGAUAGAAGUGAAAAAUAUCCUCCCAUGGAUCGACAUUACGUGAGCCAUCACCAUUCCCCAACUGCAAUUCAACCGCCAAAGCUGAGGUGUCAUUAUUAGUUUGAACAAAAGUCAGCAUUGUCCACGUGGUGACAAGCGGAACUGACCCAACUUGCAAGGCAAAAAAAUAAAUAAAAUAAAAUGAAAAAAUCAGAUCACCAUUAUGACGUCAGUCCAAUUGCUGACCUGGCCGCCGUCCCCCAUUUGACCCACGUGUUCAUUUAACCCAUUCGCCGUAUGCCGUGGCUCCCCACCCAUAUGGCCAUAUCUGCCAUUUAUUUUAUCCGUUGCCUCCAUUCGGUUUUUGGAUUUUACCCAUUCGCCCUCGUCUAUUCCCAUUUCCGUAUUUGCCCACCAAGGAAAUUCAAUUCCCAUGCUUUUGUUUUACAUUCAAAUCCUCCCCCCUCUAUAUAAAGGAGGGAGUAGGGCUUGAAAGUUUCUCAAGCCAACAUGGACUGUUGAGAGUGAAAGACAGAGGAGCCACAAACAAAUAUCACUCACUCAAACCAAAGCCAAAACCAAUACCGAAUUCAAUUCAAAUGACUUCUUUCUCUCUCAUCAAUUCCCUGAAUUCCGAUUCCGAUUUCAAUUUGUUAUCGGAUUCUUUUUCCUGGGAAAACUCCCUACCUUUCAAUGAAAACGACUCCCAGGAGAUGCUCCUCCUGGGCAUGCUGGCCAGCUCCACUCAGGAAACCUCAGAAACAGUUUCUUUGAAUCGAGUGAAGGAGGAAGAAGUGACUUCCCAGGAAAAUCCCGAGAAGGAGAAGUCAUACAGAGGCGUUAGGAGGCGGCCAUGGGGGAAAUUCGCAGCAGAAAUAAGGGACUCGACCAGGCAUGGCAUAAGGGUGUGGCUGGGAACAUUUGACAGUGCAGAGGCAGCUGCUCUGGCCUAUGAUCAAGCUGCUUUUGCGAUGCGGGGCCCUGCGGCAGUCCUCAAUUUCCCGGUGGAAAGAGUGAAGGAAUCGAUGCAGGAGAUCAAGUGCAUCUUGGAGGAGGGGGGCUCACCAGUGGUGGCCCUCAAGAAGAGGCACUCUAUGCGGAGAAAAAGUCCUUGCAAGAAACAUAAAAGUGAAGAGGUGAGGUUAGAAAAUGUGGUAGUGCUGGAGGAUUUGGGUACUGAAUACUUGGAACAGCUCCUCACUUUCUCUGAGACCUCUAGUCCUUGAUCAUCAUCAUCCAUCACCUGGAUAGCUUCUUCUCUUUGCUCUGUUUCUUACUUUUCUCUCUCUCUCUCUCUCUCUCUCUCUUUUUUUUUUAUGUAAUUUUUCUUAAUGUAUUUUUGGAGAUGGCGGGGGUGUAGUGGUGGCAAUUAUCCAUCUAGAAUUUUUCAAAAGAUAUGUUCUUUUGUUUCUUUGUAUAAAGUUGAAAAGUGGGGAUCAAUUGUGAUGGUGCUCUAUGUUCAUCCACCCAAUUUAUAUAAUCAAGGUGAUUAAUGUUUUUUGAUAUCAACAAUUUGUGAAUGACAUAGAGAGAGAGAGAGAGAGAGACCUUAUUUUCUACACUCAUUACGGUGGUUUCCAUUUGGGGAAGGAAAAGGAAAUGGCUAAGAAUGUUACCAAAAGAAGUGGGGUGGCUUUCAUAUGCGUGGUGGCAUACUUGCAUACAAACUUUUCAAUUGUGUUCUGCAUGCCACUCGGGUCAAUUUCAUUUCUUUUACUCCUAGUAGCCUAAUUGGAUUUCCUUUUUCUCAUGAGACAUCAAAUAAAUUUCAUUUUUUUAUAUUUAAAUAGUUAGGUAAGUUUGAUAGUGAGUUAUAUUUUAUACAUUAAUUCAUCUUUUAGAAUGUUGUCUACAAUAUAAACAGUGUAAUUAAUUUCAUCAUUACAGAACAGUCAUCUUAUAAAAUAACAUAAAAAUUAUUGGAUCACUUGUAUGGCACCACUGAUUUGGACUUGGUAUGGCUCUGUUUGGCUUCAUAGAAAAAAUUUGGACCCAAUUUGAAUGUCUUGCAUAAAAAGAGAUACGUCCCACUUUGAAUGAUAUUGAAGAAAAAAAUUUCUGAUGAAGAAUAUAUUGUUGGCAGGGUCAUGCAGGCCAAUAGGGAAACGAUAAAUUCAGAAGAAUGAGUCCAAACCAGUGGGCUUGAAAAUUAAGAAGAGAAUUGCUGUAUAAAACAAUCAUUUCUUAAUCGAGUUCACUUUCUGAAUAAUCGUCACUUUGAGAAUGCAUACUUAGGAAGAUGAUGAUCCUUAAUGGGAAUAAUCAAAGGCAUCAAAAAAUUGUUCUGGAACAAUUCUUGAUUGUCUCCAGUAAAAUUCAAAGUCAAAAGUCAAAAGUCCAGUCGGUCAACACCAAACCAGGCCAGUCCAAAAGACAUUAAUUUGCAAUCUAGAAUCUAUGAUGAGGUGGCGAAAUCAAACCUUGGCUUUUCACCAGGGAAUGGUACUCUGAAUUUGGUCAGUUCACUGUUUCGAGUGAAUAGGGUGUAGUAAUUAGUAAAUCAUAUUUUAGAUUUGUGUCACAAGUUACAAGGGAUAUGGGCUGACGUUCAAUUUUGGCGACAAUUUGUGGGCCCGUAUAUUUGUUGAGAUGUGGAAAUUGGGUGUGUGCUUUUUUCUGCUACCACAUAAAUAUAUUUCUUUGAAUUGAAGAGUGUUUCAGACCAUUUUUUUUCAAGUCACAAAUGGACAACUGAUUGAGAUUGUAUUGGUGAGAGUAGGAGUUUAUUUUGGGCUGGUUGAGCGAAGUUGAAAGUCGAGUUGGACCUAACCCUUGAAUUCAGCAGACUACAGUCCGAUCCUGUAUUUUGGAUUUAGGGAACCUUCUUUCCCAGAAGCUUCGUCUGGGUUUUAAAGUCUAAAUGUGGCUACUCUUAAACAUUGGAGAAAGGAUGAGCGUUCACAAGCAAAUGGGUAAUUGUGGAUGGUUCAAGGACCUGGCCAGCUGGUCUUCAAGUUUGGAUGCCGGUUUGGGCCUGAGAGAGUCUUUGCAAAGUGACUUCACUUCAGCCUAUGAGAUCAAGAUAUCAUGGUGAUGUCCGAUCACUUAGGUUUCAUUUUCACCUCGGAUUACCGUUACCAUGUUCAUGAAUAAAAAUAAAUAAAUAAAUGAAGCCUUAUAGAGAAAUUAAUGAAGUGAGCUAUACAAGCAACUGGGCCAGGAGCCUACAAGGCAGAAAUUCCCUGCCCUAGACUAGGCCGAAUAAAUUAGAUGAAUGAAUUGGGGAAACCUGGGCCAGCCACACAUCCUCCUGAAGGCUGAUGUCGAACUCGCUUACGAGGAAUGGACAUGGGAGAUUGGGCUGGGACCAAAUAACCAAUUGACAGCCCUAUCCUUGUGGCAAGACGUCAGUAAAAUGGUUCAUUCUGAUUUUACGCUGCCAUUCAAUUUAAUUUUAAUUUUUGUUUAAAGCGAUGUACAAAUUGAAUGGUGUCUAGUCACUUAAAGAGUGGUUCAUAAUACACUUAAUUUAAACAAAAAAGAAAUUAUUAGAUAGGGGAUUCUCCAAUAAAAACCACCCCAUCUUGUCAGCAAGUCCGGAAACUUCCUUCACUUAGGGCGUAUUUGUUUUUUUAACUUUAAUAUUAAAGAAAGUUGGUUAAACCUUAUGACACUUUUAUAUUAUUUUAUGAAUUUUUUUUAAUUUUUAUUUUAAUGGAAUUUUAACUUUAAUACAAGUUGGAGUAAUUCUUAUCUUAAAAACAAAUCAAAAUUACUUUAAUUUUAUAUAGAAAUAAACUUACAGUAAAUUUACCAUGAAAAUUUCUAAGUCAAAUACACCAUAAGUGCUAGUAUUUUAUAAUAUUUAGAAACAUGUUAAAUUAUUAUUAUUAUUUUUUAAAAUUAUUAGUUUUCAUAUUAGUUUUAGGGAAACUUGUGCUUUAGGUCUUUUAUUUGCAAAUAAUAUGGUUUUCAAAUCCUAAGAAUAGAAAAUAUGAGAAUCAACUGUUAAUGUGGAAAAUAAUAUCAAUUUUGUGCAAUCUCUAUUGACUCAUUUUUUUGUGCCUAGAUUGCCUUCACCCACUUCCAUGUCAACAACCACAUUAAUAGAUUGUUUUUUUUUUAUAAAACAAAUAAUUAUUAUGUUUAAAAUUUUGGGGAAACUCUCUAUCUCUCUUACUUCUUCACUACAUCCGAGACCCAUCUUCCUUAAACGUUUGCCUCUCAUUUUGCCCUAACCCCAAAUCUCAUAAAUUUCUCAUUUUCUUGCCUCAUUUGAAAUAUGAAGAUGACCGAUUCUCAAACAUCUCUGUCUCUCUCUUCACGUUUUGACCAGUCUAAUUGGAAACCCAUUUUCCAAAAACCUUCUUUCUUUCAUUUUGCCCUAACCCCACUAUCUCCCUCUUCAAGACCUAAUCACCCAAACUCGAUAUCUAUCUUCCCAAAACCUUCAAGCAAACUGAACUAGACCCAUAUCUUCUUUUUUCAUCAUCAAAGGUGAAAUUUUUUUAAGGCUUUUGGAAACCGAAUUGGAGCUUUCCCUUCUUCUGGGAUUAAUCAUUCGCAAGUGAGUUUUCCAUUUAAGGCUUUGUUUGGCUGUUGAAAUCUUGGGAUCAAAGGUCUUUUAUUUUCAGGUUUCUUGUAUUUUGCUUUAUUUUCUUGUAUAUAACAAUAAUCAUUGUAACAUAUGCUAGUAGUUACCCUUGGUGCAACUUUACAUUUCCAAAUACCCUAAAGUCCAAAGCUUUUAAUUCCCUUUUCAAAGCUUUCAACUUUGAAAGCAGACUAAACCAUAAGAACUAUGAAACUUAUAUCUCUAUCACCACUAAUUAAGCAUGUCUAUGAAUCCUUCCACUUUAAGUCACUUAUUCUCAAACCAAGAAGGGCUCCUCUCAUUCUCACCCCACCUCAUCUAAAUGAGGGAAAUGAUCAAUUGCAGCCAUGCUUUGCACCAAAUUAGAGAAGUGAUCCUCCCAAUCAUCCAUUACCAAAAAUUGAUCAUGCUGAUGAGAUCAUAAGAGUCUAUUCGGAACUCCCAGUUUACUUGCCUCUUAUCUCAGGAUCCUCCAUUACCCCCUGUCUUUCCAACAUCAAAUCAACUUGCAAACAAUUCCUUUGUAGAUAAAAUGUUUUUAAUAUUGCAAAAGGGGACUUAUCAUAAUGGUUGAAUCGAUUUAUUUGAUAUAAUCACUCAAAUUCAAGCUUAAAAUUGAUCAUAAUAAAAUGUUUUUAAUAUUGUUAAAAGGAGAUUAUAAUGGUUUUAUUUGAUAUCAUUACUAAAAUUCAAGCUUUCAAACAUGCUCUACAAAGAAGUUCUAAAAGACUACAAGAAAGAGUUUCCACUAAAGAAAAACAAUGAAACCAUUUCUACUAAAGACAAACAAUGAAACCACAGAUGCUUUGUGAAAUAUGUACCCGCACAAUCCAACAAACUUUAGAAAUUCACAAACACUACCUAGAAUUUUUGCUGACCAGCAAAAAAUUUAUGCAAUUUAAUUCUUAUUGUUAUUAUUAUUUUCAAUGUGAACAAAUAUGAUUGAAUUAUGAAGUAUUUGGCCAGAAGAGGAUCUUGCCUAAUUAUAGUCAUUAAACAACCAUUUAUACCAUAGCCUCUAGACUUUAAAAAGUUUAUAAAACUCAAGGGCUUCCACCCAAUUUCUAGAUAUCUCCAUAACAUUCUUCUGACUAUUAGAAAGCAAUUACCACUUUAAUUUUUCAUUUCAUGAGUGUUCAAUUCAGAAAAAGACCAGGAUCGAACUUGCGAUCAUGCAGUCGAAAAUCCACCUGUGCAUGAAACUAUUGCCUCACGAUUGCAAACUCAAGUUGGAGUCCAGUAACAACUCUAGGUUUGCUGAUGUGCUCCAUUUGAAAUAAAGGAACUAAAGAAUACUUUAUAAAGAUUAAUUACCUUCAUAUUUUAGGUUGGGGUUAAGGCAAAAUGUGAUAGAUUGAGAGGAAGAAAAUAUAUCUUGUUCAGGAAGCCAAUAUUUUGGAGUUCACCUUUCCAUUCGAGUCCACUCUGCUAUAGCAAAAUCAGAGUCACAACUAUGCCUCUUUAAGCUAUCCUUUAAUUGGAUGAAUUGCAGAUUUGGUUGCUGAGAAAGUGGAUAAGAAAGAAAAAUGCAUACUGUAGCUUGAGAUUAAGAGUUUGUUUUCUAAAAUGAGAGAAAGGGAAAGAGAAAAAAUGCAUAUUGUAGCUUGAGAUUAAGGGUUUGUUUUCUAAAAUGAGAGAAAGGGGAAGAGAAAUGUUCGACAACUUUGAGAUGACAAAUUUUUAGAUUUGGAAAAUUUGAGAUGAGUCUCAGGUUUUUUUUUUUUUUUUUUUGUCUUUGUCUUUGUUUUUUUUUUUUUUUUUUGUUUUUUUCCCAAAAACAACCUGUUAAUGUGGUUGUUGACAUAGAAGUGGGUGAGGGCAAAAUGGGCAUAGAAAAAAGAGUCAACACAAAGUGCACAAAACCCAUAUUAUUUUCCACAUUAAUGACUGAUUCUCAUAUUUCUUGUUCUUGGGAUUUGAAAACCAUAUUAUUUGCAAAUGGACCUCCCAAAGCACAGGUUUCCCUUAGUUUUAUGUCUCCAUCUACAUUUUACAUAUAAAUAGAUUAUUUUAUAAAAUUUGUUUUGUAGAUAUAUUAGUUAAUAAUUAUAUAAUUAAUGAUAUAGAAAACAUAUAAAAAUCAUAUUUAAAAAAGAUAAUUACAUAUUCCUCAACAAUCCAUCCCAAGAAUUCGAGGUUGAGUUGAAAACAUGUAGAGUCUUUGAUGUUAUUAUAAUCAUAUCCAACACAUAUGAUUAUUGUUUAUGAGAUAUUAUUAGAAAGUUUGUCUUAAAAUAAUUGAUUUAUUACCCACCUUUAGCAAAUGCCCAUUUUUGCGUCUUUCAAAAUUUUCAUUUUUUUUUUGUUUAAAAGAAGUAUUGUAAAGAAUGAUGAAAUAAGAAAUUUGUUGAGAAAGUGUGAGUAAAUAAUUUUACAUAAAAAGAGAUUUAAUACUUGAUAAAUAAAAUAAUAAAAUCAUGAUUUCUAGUUGUAUAGGGCCGGGUGGAUGGAGUGGCUAAGAUGUAAUUCUUGAAAUAGAGGAGACAACAUCAAUGUAUAAAAGUUUAACAGAGAAGGAAAGUGUGUUUGAAUGACUUUAUUUUCUUCAUUUAAAGUUUUGACGAUGAGUGUUUAUACAAGAUAAAUUUUCAAAUGAUAGGACUCCUAUUUACAUGGAGUUUGUGAUAUACUAUGAUUAUACAAAUUUAAAAUUCAAACAGAUUCAUGAGUUGAUAGGAGUCUGCUCAAUACGCCCCUUCAAAAUGGUGGGAGAUAGCACACCAAUCUUGACUCGAAGGGCCUAAACUCGUGCAGAAGAUGAGGGCUUUGUUAGAGCAUCGACAAGUUGAUCCGUGGUUGACAUAUGGGACACCUUGAGCUCACCUGAUUAAACCUUGUUUCAAACAAAAUGAAAAUCAAUCGCCGAUGUGUUUCAUGGAGAGUGAAACAUGGGAUUUGCACAAAGAUAUGUUGCACCCACGUUAUCACAAGAGAUAGGAGGUGGUGAUAAAUUUGAAACACUAAGUUUUGAGAGAAGAGAAUUAACCCAAAGAACCUUUGAGGCUGUAGAGGCCACGACGUGAUAUUUCGCUUCAGUGGAAGAGCGUGCUAUGAACUUUUGUUUCCUCGAUGACCAAUACACAAGAUUGUGACCAAGAAAAACAAUGGGAGCAUUGGUGGAGGAUCUGACAUAAGGAUUCCUUGCCCAUUCAACAUUCGAAUAUGCAUGUAGAUUGAUGGGCGAUUUCUUAUGCAAGAACAGACCAUGCACCAUUGUGCCGACUAAGUAUCUAAGCAAUCUUUUAACACAAGACCAAUGUGUUGAUGUUGGAUGGUGCAUAAAUUGAGAUAAUUUAUUCAUCAAGAAGGUGAUGUCAGGGCUAGUAAGAGAGAAGUAUUGAAGGCUUCCAACAAUUGACAUAUAUUUAGUGGGACCAGGAAAAGAGGUGUCAUCACACAGAUUUGGAACAUUGUUGAGGAACAUCAAUGAUUGAACUGGUUUGGUAGCCACCAUUUGUGUUUUCUUAAGAAGCUCUCGAAUGUACUUGAGAUAAAAAUAAUCCUUUGGAAGUAUGUAUCAUUUCAACACCAAGAAUAAAAGAUGAAGUCCUGAGAUCCUUAAUGGAGAAUUUGACUGCUAAUUGAGAGAUCACGCGAGCACGAAAAACAUUAUUGUUACUUGUUAAAAUAAGAUCAUCAAUAUAAAUAAGUAGGUAAACAAUGAGACCACUCUUUUUAAAAAUGAAGAGGGAUGUCUCGGUUUAGGAGUUGACGAAGGCUAUUGAGAGGAGAAAUUGGCAAAGUUCAUGAUACCAUGAUCGUGGAGCUUGUUUAAAGCCAUAAAAAGCCUUACAAAGUUGGCAAAUGUGAUGAUGUGUGUAUUCGUGAACCCAGGAGGUUGAAUCAUGUAAACAUCUUCAUGAAGUGUCCUAUGCUAGAAUGCAUUAUUAAUGUCCAAUUCAUGAGUUGAUAGGAGUCUGCUCAAUACAAUGUGGGAGUGUGAUUUCAAAAUUAGGGUAAUUUCGAAAUGGAUUUUGUAUUCACAAGUUGAAUUUCAAAAUUAUUUUGAAAUGGUCUUUUAACUUUAAGCAGUUGUGUUCAAAAGGUCAUAACUUCUUCGUUUCAAUUUUGAUUUACACAUUGUUUAAAACAUUGGACUCUUUACUUCCCGAGCUUCAAAACGAUAUAUAGUAUGCUCAAAAAUGACAUCAGGAUUGGUUCAAAUUUCAUCUUGAUAUUAGAGUACAUGUUGUGAUUAGAUUUUGAGUUCCAAAUUUCCAUGUAAACUUGAUUGCAUUUGCUUCAAACCUCCUUCAUUAUGGUUGCUUGCCCUCUAUCUCACUUUGCAACAUUUGUUACUAGUAUUUUAUGUCCAUGACUUACUCAUUUCAACCUUUCUUGGAUUCUUCAUGGUUCACAAAUUAUGGAUUCUUCAUGGUUCACAAAUUGAGUCUUUCAAUUAUGCAUGUUUAACUCCUAUUUCCUUGGUUGAUAAUGACUUUUACACUUAUCAUUUUCUUUUAUUCUUUAAACCUGAAUUUAGACUUACAAAAAAAAGUUAGAUCCAUAACUAGGGUCUUAGCAUCAAUUUGAGUUAAGUUGGAUGAUUUGAAAAUUUUAUAUUACAUAAAUCAUAUCAUACAUGUGCCAUUGGAGUGCACAUUUUGGCUCUAAUCAUGUUCCAACCCAUUGUUUUACUCUUGCAUGAAGUAUGUGGCCAUUGAUUUUAAUUUUAUUUGCGAUUAGGUUCAAAAUGGUGCUUUUGUGUUGCUCAUGUGUCAUCAGAAGAUCAACUAAUGGAUUCUCUAACAAAACUACUACAUCAUAGUCAUUUUUUUUUUUCUUAAGACCAAGAUUGAGAUCUCCAAUCGGAGCCAACUCCAUCUUGGGGGCAUGUUAGUGAAAGAUAAAAUUUAUCUUUAAUUUAAAUAUUAAUAUUUAUCAGUUAUUAGUUUUAAUUAGAGUAAAAGAUAGAGUUUAAAUUGGAGUAGGAGAUAAACUUGUGUUUGAACUAGAAUAGAAGAUAAAGUAUAAAGAUUUAUGUUUGAAUUAGAAUAAAAUAUAAAGUUUGAAUUAGAGUAGAAGAUAAACUUGUUCUUUAUUUGUAUAUAAAUAUUCAUCAAUUCUUGAGAAGAAGAUUAUUUCAUAGUUUUUCUAUCUUCUUUUUUCUUCAUACAUAUCUGCAAGAAAUUGAAGAUUUCAAGUAAAAUAUUUUCUGUUUUAAAUAGUGAAAAAAGCUAGAAAUUCACUUUGUUAUCUCUUGGGGUAAAUUGACAAGGUUUAACGUUAAGAAGGUGAAUUAUUUUUUCAGAAAAACUGAAGUAGCUAGGAUAUCUGGCCAGUUGUGAUCGAUAAAAAAGUUGUAAAAUCUCUCAUAUACUAAACAGGUUUUGGAUGUUGGUAUGGUAAAUCCAUCUGCAGUCAUUCGUCAUCUCAUCUAGUGAGAUGUUUGGGAGGUGGUGACCGCCGGAUUGGGUUUCAUUUGGUUAAAUCUGUCAGUGGGUUGGCUACUACCCGAGCCUCUUGCUUUGGGGGAGGUGGGUUCUAGAUAUAAUGUUCAAACCAUUUUAGUUAUCAUAUGCAUGACAUGUAAGCAUAAUCUCUUUAUCACUUCUUCAAUGGGAGUUCAUGGUUAGGAAUUGACUUCUUUUCUUCUGGGAUGCUUGGCAUGUAAUGGACAAAGUUACUUUUAUAUCGAUCGAAUUUCUAGUAUUAUAGUGAAGACUUACCCUUUUGACAUUUUAUAUCGAAUUAUAGAAGAUGAAAGGGACAUACAUGCAAUCGACUGACGCUUUAGUGAAUAUGCUGAAAAUAUGCUGAUGCUGUGGAGAUCGUAUGAGGACAGAGGAAAAAGAUAGAAAUGGAUAUAUAAUUAGACCUAGGUUUUUAUUAAAUGAGAUGGGGAACAUAGAGUGAGGGAAAAUCAAAAUUUUUGGCUGCAGUUCACAUUGGUGAUAUUUUGGAUUGACAAAGACUAACGACUUUUCUAUUUUUCUUUUCGGCCUGACUGGAUAGUUGGACAUGGACAAUACAGAAUCCACAGAAGGAUUGUUGGGACCGCUGAAAAUUAGCUAGAAGAAGCUGAGGAAGUAGUCUACGUAGUCAAAUACCAAACACAAAGAAAGAAAGAAAUGGAUAUCAUGGAUGCCUAGAGUUAUACUCCUAAUACCGUCACAGGUAUUUUUCUUUCCUCCUUUUUUUUUCUACGAUAAUUAGAGCAUUUCUCCUCCUCCUCCUCCUCCUCCCCCCACCCCACCACCAAAAAAUAAAAAAAUAAAUUAUUGCAAGUAACACUUCAAAUAUUAAUUUAUACAUUCUAAAGUAUAUAUUCAUGAAAUAACUUGAGUAUCAUACAUUAGUUCUCAAAAAAAAAAAAAAAAAAAAAAAAAAAUUACUGGAAGAGAAAAGUUUAAGAAAACAUAAAAAUAUUCAACUACUAUUUUAAAGAGAAAAUUUAAUUUUUACACUAUAAAUUUGAAGAGAACUUUUACAUGCAUCUUAUAUAAACUACCAUUUUUUGCUAAAAGGCUUAAAUUUGUCAAAAAUACCCCUUAGGUGCUUAACGUUCUGGUCAUAAUAUAAUUGGCAUCUUUUCUCAAACAUAAGGCCUGUGUGUGGGAACAAGAUUUAAUGUUAAUGAGCUUCGCCACCGACAUUUAGUUCCAGAAAUCAUUAUUUUAAUAGAGUGGGCUCAAUUUACAACUUUAAUUAAACUCUAACCAACUGCAUUGUGAAAUGAAUAUGUUUCUUUCGUGGUGAAUCCAAUGAGUUGGGAGUCAAACUUUGCUUCAUUGUGUAUAGAUGAAAUGUUAAGACUCCAUGUAACCUCAAACAUUUCCGCAAUNNNNNNNNNNNNNNNNNNNNNNNNNNNNNNNNNNNNNNNNNNNNNNNNNNNNNNNNNNNNNNNNNNNNNNNNNNNNNNNNNNNNNNNNNNNNNNNNNNNNUUCUUUCGUGGUGAAUCCAAUGAGUUGGAGUCAAACUUGCUUCAUUGUGUAUAGAUGAAAUGUUAAGACUCCAUGUAACUCAAACAUUUCCGCAAUGAGCGGGAGUUCUAAAUUUAAUAAUUGAAAUUGUCAGUGGAACCAGUGGACAAGAGUUGGUUUGUGGUUGACAAACUUAUCCGUUUGAUCUUUACUUGAACAGUUCCAGUGUGUGGAUGGGUACUGAUGAAGUGUGCGCAUUUAUUUUGAGAAGCCUGCUUGUUCGCAUAGAUUUUAACGACAUGAACAUUGUGGUAAGGUUAGAGAGUAAUGCGAAUGUAGGAGCUUAUAUUAGAAAUGACACAAACACGUAAAUAGAAGUAAUCUAUAUAUGAUAUUACUCAUGGACUACAAGCAAAGAAGUACAAUACAUGGAGUAAGUGAUGAAAUGAGCAUUCCUCACUACUACUGCUUGACUGAUGGAACAUGAUGCACGAGAUAGCAUAAGUAGUAGUAGGAAGCAGCUCUUAUUUGUGGCGUCGGUAUACAUCAUACUAGGUAGAUGGUUCAAUUGGCAUGGAUGGGUGGUGGAGCCUUGAAGUGCUUGUGAUGGGGAGCCCACGGCUUCUUCUCAGGAGUUGGUGGCUUCUUGUAUGGAGUUGAUGGAGGUGUUUCUACUGGAGGGUGGCCAGGGUAGUGACCCUGGGGUGGUGAAGGUUCUUUUGUCGGUGGUGGCCUCACUAUUAUUGGCGGUAGAGUUGGUGGCUUGGGCGUUGGCGGUGGUCUCACUACUCUUGGGGGUAGAGUUGGUGUCUUGUGUUUUGGUGGUGGAGGUGGCUUAACAGGAGUUGGUGGCUUGUAUUCUGGGGGUGGUUUCUCCACCGGAGGUGGCUUAUAAACUGGAGUUGGUGGCUUGUAUUCUGGGGGUGGCUUCUCCACUGGUGGUGGCCUGUAAACAGGGGUUGGUGGCUUAUAUUCUGGGGGAGGCUUCUCCACUGGAGGCGACUUAUAAACAGGGGUUGGUGGCUUGUAUUCCGGGGGUGGCUUCUCUACGGGAGGUGGCCUGUAAACAGGGGUUGGUGGCUUCUCCACCGGAGGUGGCUUAUAAACGGGGGUUGGUGGCUUGUAUUCUGGGGGUGGUUUCCCCAGUGGUGGAGACUUGUAAACAGGAAGAGGUGGUUUGUGCUCAUAUGGGGGUGGCUUGUGGUCAUUAGCAAGUGAGGGAGUGGUGAGGACCACCAAUCCAAGGAACAACACGAGUGAGCAAGCAGAAGACAUGUUUGGGCUCUGGUGAUGCACAAGUAGAAGAAAUGGGAACCAUUUAUAAUGCUUCGAGACCUUGGUUAGCACCAAAAUAUGUCAAAAUCUUGAUUACUUCAUUUCAUACAUAGAUUUAAAAUUAUUUCAAUCAACCAUGAUCCUUAAUUUUCUGGGUGGUCCAUAAAUGUAAUGGGGUCAAUUUGGGACCUAACAAGCUGAGAAGUUUGACAAUGCUGCAAGGCUUCAUCCGAAAGUCCGGGGAAGAAUAUUAGGAGUUACACUCCGUUUCCUUUUUUGGGUGCAUUUUUCUCCUUUAACAUUCUAUUCCCUUUUACAUUAGCAUUUGAUCUUAGCUCAUUUCAAGUACAAGUUUCUUGAACCCUAUACCAUUGUCAAAGUUGAGUAACCAUCUCUACUUUGCUCAAGAAACAUAAAAGACAAUGACAAUAAAGAAAAAGGAGAGAGACCAUACGUGACUUGGUUUAUAGGUGGCUUUGUGUUGACAUUUGAGUAUGGAAGCCGACAUGCAUCUUAGCUUCGAUUUUAAUUAAAUUUGUACAUUAGUGUCUGUGUCAUUCAUUUUGGUAUAAAAGGUCUCUUGAUUUCGUAAGUUUGGUAAGAACCGUUGAAAAUAGCAGUAGCAGCACAUGGUCCACUUUCUUUCACAAAAUAAUUUUAAAAGUUUAGAAGCAUAGGAGGUAACAUUAGUGGCCUUGUGGCUCAGCCACGAGUACUAUGUGGUGCUCGAGAAAUUGAGUUUAAUUUCCUUCCGAUAGUUCAUGAUAAGGUCCGUCACUGUCCUGAGACAGAUUGCGUUUUUUCUUUUUUCCUUUUUUAGUGUUUUAUUGACUAGCUAGGUGUGACUUUUCCUACUUUAAGGCACGAGGCAGAAAAGAAACUGGGAUUUAGUGCUUAAGAAGGCAAAUUUAAUUCGAUUUGGAUCUAAAAUUUGCCAGCAACAUGAGAUUUUCCAGCCUAUCGUUGCUCCACAUAUAGACAAGGCACUUGUAGAAGUGGCUUGUUUGUAGCCAUUCCCGAUAUUUGGACUCACUUGAUUCACCGGACACUUUGAUAAAAUUUAAUAUUUAUUAUUUAAUAAUUUAAAUUGAUUUAAAAUUAAAUUAUACCGAAGUUGUGAUUUAAAAAUUAUUAUUUAAUUCUUACUUUUAAAUAUGAAGAUUAUUUGAUAAAAAUAAUUUAAAAUUUAUUAUAAAUUAUCAAAUUAACAUAUUUAUCCUUAUAAAUUAUAAUUAAAACAGAAAAGGUCAAAUGAUUUGAGUAUCCAUAGAUGUGGUAAAAUAAUAAAAAAGAUUAUAAAAACAAUUAUGAUAAAUAAAGAUAAAAAGUAAAAUGAAUAUGUGAAUUUAAAGAAUAAAUUAAUUAUUUUUAUUUAUUACUUAAAAUUAUUUUUGACUUUAAAUUAUAUUAUUAAAUUAUUUUACCAAACAUACUUAAUUUAGUUAAUAAUUUAAAUUUAAUUUAAGUUAUUAAAUUGAUUCACCAAAUACCCACUUAAUCAAAGACUGAAGUAUACAUUAUUUGGCCAAAUGCAGCUAUUGAAAUUUAACUUUUUCCAAACUUAUUCAUUUUGUGGAAAUAUUUUUAGAAAUGAUUUUAAAAAUGCACUAUUCUGUGUGUUGAUUUUAUAUUUUGGCAUUAAUCCAACAUAGAAAACGGUUCUUAUUUUCGCUGUUAAAUAGGUACCAGAUCCUUAAUUAGUGCCGUGAAUCCGGCAGCUUCCAAUGAGUAAUUUGGACUUGGGUAUUGACAAUGUGUGGCCAUGCUUCUACUAUUUUAUUAUUCUUGAAACAUAUAUGAUAUAUUGGACUUUAUACAGGGAAAAAAAAAAAAAAAAGUCUUCACCAAAAAUGAUUCCUCCUAAAAAAUAGACUCCACAAACUAGGUUUAACAGGAAAAUGAUUCUAAUCUAGUAGUUUCCAGCCACAUGAGCAUUUACGUAACAAUAGUAUAGUUGAUAACGACUUUUAUUUUAUUUAUUUUUAAAUAGUUAAAGGGAUAAUUUUUGAGCUUAAAUUUUAUUUUUUUAUUUAGAAACAUUUUACUUUAUUUUUUAAUCAUAAUUCUAUUAUAUUAAUGUUUUAUUUUCUAUUUUUUAAUAUAUAAGGAGAUACUAAAUUUAUGUGAUUAUUUUUUAAAAAUUUAGUAUAUGAAAUUAAAUAAUUGGAUAUAUAUACAUAUAUCAUAUAAUGUUUUUUAAGUGUGAUUUUUGAACUUUUUAGUCAUUUUAUAAGUUUAAGCUUUUGAUUUUUUUUUUUAAACUUUGGUAUUUUUUAUUUUAUAUAAAACUAUUUUGAUUUAAUUUUAUUAAAAAAUAUUGGUAUUAUAAAUUAUUGUAUUAAUUAUUUUUUUAUAUUAUAAUGUAACUGGUAUAUACUAAAAAAUGUAUGCAAGUUCAAUUUAAGUUUCAAAUUAAAAAAUUUCAUUUAAAUAUUUAAUAACUUGUUCAUAAUAAAAAAUUAAACAACAUAAUACAAAUGAAAAGAAACAUAAAAGAAAAAGGAAAAAAUGGUCCUCUCUGUGUGUCACAUUACUAGGUCAUCCUCUUUUUCUAUGACCCUUACAAUAGAAUGGCAUAUUUGUCAAAUCUACUUAUGAAAGUUGGAAUGUUUCUACAUGUGUAGGGUCCAUUGGAACUAAUGGAGGAAAGGCUUAACGUCUAUGUAAAUCACAACGUUGCCUAGGUGGGCAUAGAUCUAGUUGUGUAACAUGAGAUGGUGUGAGAGUACAAUAUAUGCAUUGUAGUCUCUAUGGGAAGAGAGAUAGGUAAUGGUAGGGUGGUAGACGGUAGGGUGAUCUCUAAUAUAAUGACAUUUGAUGUGGUGGCUUCUAAGAGAGGAGAUAUAAGAGAUGGUAGAAUGACAUUUGGUGUAAUGGUCUCUAGUGCAAUGACAUGUGAUAUGGUGACCUAUAAAGAAGAGAUAUAGGUGAUGGUGAAGUGGUAUGUGGUGUAGUGACCUUUGAGAUAGAAAAUAGAGGUAAUGGUAGGUUGGCAGGUGGAGUGGUCUUUGGUGUAGUGACAUCAAUUAUAAAUGUCUCCAAGGGAGGAAAUAAAGGUGAUGGUAGGUAGUAAAUGUUGAGGUGGUCUUUGAUAUGUUAUGCUCUAAGAGAGAAGGUAUAGGUAAUGAUAAUAGGGAAUUUGACAUAGUGGUGUUGGAAAUAAAAAGUGAAAGUGACCGUAGAGGUGAAAGGGCAAGUGUAAAAGCCUCAAGUACGAAUGGAGUAAUUAAUGUGGAUGGUGCUAACAUAGUCUUAGGUGGAUACACAAAUAGUCAUAGUCAUCAACUAGCUUGCCCACCAUCUGUCUUUCUGCUAGUGAUAGGUUACAUCUUAAUAGUAAUGGCCAACAUAAGUGGUGUGGAUCCGAUUUUUUUACGUGUGUCCCCACUCAAUCGACAAGACUUAUUUUUUAUUAGUGAAAAAUUAAUUUUGGAAAAGUUGGAGUCACCACUUAUUUUAUUUUAUUUUAAAAAGGAAAGUAAAACAAGAAAGAGAACUCUAAAGAAGUGACUUCAUAGUUUUGGAAAAGUUAGUCUUAAAAAAUCCAAGUCUUGGUCCGGAGAUCAGGUUACUUAUUGGGAAGAUACCUCUAAGAGGUAAUACCCCUCUAAACCCUAAAGAAGUCUCUAAUGACUAAGUUGAGGAGAAUGUGGUAAUUAAUUAAUUGAUUGAGGGUACCUAGGUAGACUAAGGUGAUUUCAGAAUUAACAUACCAAGCUAGAAAGUCCAAUCAUGAUCAUAAAAGAGAGUCAAAGUAUGUACCUGAACUGCUUCUCAAACGCUAUCAUAAAACAUCAAAGUUAGUAUAGAAAUAUAACACAUAAUAUUUGUUUUAUCCAAGCAAAUAAAGCAUACAUCUAAGCACCCAAGAAUCACAUCAAGUAUGGAUAUAGUCAUCAAUAGCAUACGUGUCCAUAGAACUAUCGAAAGUAAAUGUGGAGGAGCGUAUCUGGACAACAUAGAUAACUUAUAAUGUGCUUCCACAAGACAUGGGGGUUAGAUAAAAGUUAUAAUAAUAAUUAGUAAAUGAAAGAAUUCUAGCAUGUUUGGUAUCUAAAUAACAUAGCAAAAAUGAACAAGAGUACACGAAAACAUCAAUUAUCACACGAGUCAUAUUGGCUAGUAUUUAAUCAAUAAACCAACAAUAAAUGACUAUAAACAUAUAAAAUGACAUAUUCAAAGAGACCCAAACAUAAAGAGCCUAGAACACAAGCUUACACUAAAUUUAGAAAACUAAAACAUGGAAUUUUAAAAGCAUAAAUUAGCAAACAAAUUGAUGGAAACUAAAUUUAGAUAACUUAAGAAUAUUUUUCUUAUCCUUCAAUUUAAAUCAGUAAGCCAACAAUAAAAAAUUAUAGAAACAUGGAAUAUCAAGAUCAAUGGGAUACCUAAACUAUAAUUUUUAAAAGAAAAUAAACUAAGCAUAAUAUCUACAAAGCAACUAAACUAACAUUUUUUUAAAAAUAAAUUAAACAUGACAUUAAUGGAGUAACCAAACUAAAUUAAAGUAAACUAAAAACAUUUAUGAAUUUUCAAACAUGGAAUCAGCUUUCUUAGUAAAUUAAAAUUAUUAAAAUAAAAUCUAAGCUUAAAAAUGAAUUAAAUACUAACUAAAGCAAAUCUAAAACCAAAUAUUUAACACAUAGGAUCAAUUAUAUUAACAAACUAAAAUUUUAUAAGAACACUUAAACCUAAAGUUGAAUUAAAAACUAACCAAUUUUUAAAACUAGAUCUUUAACCCAUAGGAUCAAUUAUAUUAACAAAUAAAUAAUAAAUAAUAAAUAAAUAAAACUCAAACCUAAAGAUGAACUAGAAAUGUACCAAAGUAAAUUCAAAACAAGAUCUUUAACACAUUAGAUCAAUUAUAUUGACUAACUAAAAAAAAAAAAAAAAAACACUCAAACCUGAAACGAUGUAUUAGAAACUAACCAAAGCAAAUUUAAAAUAGAGUCUUUAACACAUAGGAUCAAUUAUAAUCACUAACUUAAAUUACAAUUUUUGAAACAUGAACUAAUUAGUGUUGGAUUAAUUAAACUAAUUAACUAAAAAAAACUAUAAACUAGAAUACGGUGAAUCAAGAAUUCAAAUCAACAAACAUAAAAUAUGGGUACAAUGAAAUGAAAAUCUAUUAAACUAAUAAGACGGAAAUAUGACAAACUCAUGAACCCACAUUUUGAUCAACUAGGAAAUAGAAAUUAAUAGACCUGUAGCAUGGAUACAAUGAAAUGAGAUCAGUUAAAUUUAUUUGCCGAAAUUCUAAAAAACACAUACACUCAAAUAAGAUCUAAAUCUAAGACCAAGCAAAACUCAAACUUUCUCAAUCUAAUGCAAUGAAUCAAAACUAAAAUUAAAUAGAAAUCAAACCAUUUUUUUUUUAUCUAAUAUAAUAAAUCAAAGCUAAAACUAAACAAAAUCGAAUUUUCUUAAUUUAAUAUGAUGAGUCAAAGCUAAAAUUGAACAAAGUUCAAACCUUUAUAUAAUGGAUCAAAGUUAAAUCUAAAUGAAAUCCAUACUUCCACAAUUUGAUAUAACAAAUCAAAAAUAAAACUAGAUAAAAAAAAAGUCAAAGCCUUUCAACUUGACAUAGUGAAUCCAAACUGAAACGAAACAAAAUUUUAACUUUUCCAAUGAAACCCAAUAUAGAAAAAAUUAGCUUACCUUCUUUAGAAUAUAUGUAUGGGCCAUAAAGAAGUCACCUUGGUGCAUGUGUUCCUCACUUUGACGCCAAUGGACGACUUUCUAUGGUAGCAAAUGGAGAUCCUUUUUGGUGGUAACUUGCGUGUGGAAACCUAUGGUACAACCAAUGUCAUCUUUUAUUGUGCGUGUGGACCAAUUUCUUCUCGAGAACUCAUGUGUGUUGUGCUCAAAAUAUGUUGCCUGUGAGAAUCUAUUGGUAUACCCCACAUAUGGUUUCCUUGAGAGAAUCUGUGGUUGUGUGUGGGCGUUUUCUUCAUGACAGCAUGUGGAUGUUCCCAUCUAUGGUAGAUUGGUUGUGAUGCUUUAGUGCAUGGUCUCCAUAGGAAUAGUGUGUUAUGGAAAUUUGGUUUUUUUAUUGGUGCAUGUUGUCUAGACUUUCCCAUAUGCGUGGACUGUGUGUUCAUGCUUUUCUUUUCGGAUGGUCGCCUGUGUUAAUGUGUGGCGGUGUCUACAAUGAAAGAUACAACCCUUUCUCUCCUUCUGCGUGAUAGAAAAGUCAAUCCCCCAUGGUGCGACUAUGUUCCCUCGUCCUUUUUGAAAAAUUUUGGUGUUUUCCCCCCAAAAAAUCCCCUCCAAAAAUCUAAUUAUAAAUGUCUGCUUUGGCCUAAUGUGUGUGCUACUUUUUUUUUCCUUCUUUUUAUGGUUGUGCGUGCUUUUCUUGAUACGUGGCUUAUUUCUUAAGGAUAUGAUUCGCUCCCAAUUGGUGUCUCAGCUGAUUCAUGUCCUUUCAAUGGUCCCUGACAGUGGUGCCAUUUGAUUCGUGUCCAGCUGGUGUCCCUUGAUUGUGGUCCUCAGAAGGGAGUAAUCAAUAAAAUUUAUAACCUAUUACACCAUGUAUUAGGAUAGCCUUAGCUAGCAUAGCAUAGUGGCUCUAGGGUCGUUUAUUGGGAUGAGUUUUCACUUCACAAUUGAUAUUAAUUCAAGAGCUGAAUUGGUGCCUUUUCAUUUCAAGGUUAGCUUUAAAAGAAAACAUAAUCUUUGGUGGAAAAAGGUUUGGUUUUAAACUAACCAAAAAUAGUAACUGAUUUUACUUACAAAGAAAAGUGUUCUUUGGAGUUUAGAUCACUAGGCUCAGGUUCCUCAUACAAAAAGGAGAGUUCCGAUCAUUUGUUUCUUUUCCUCGCAUUAGAGAAUUAACAUAUAGUUAAUUCUCUAACCGGUGCGGUACAUAUGCUUCCCAUUAAUGGGUUCAAACACUAAAUACCUCUCACUGAUGCACCUUGCAAUGGCUCGUGCCUCUCACCUAGCAUUUAUCAUUCAAGGUGAUCUUUAACCUUGGAUUACCCAUCAAAAGCUCGCAAGAGAUAACUAAAGGAUGUCUCCUUAGAGUCCAAAAGCUUACCAAGUGUUGGUUAUUCUAGAAAAUCCUACCUUCAAACCACCUCCCAAAGGCUCGCAAGAGAUAAACAAGUGCAUCUCAAUGGAUGAAGAUCACUUGCCUUACCAAGUUUUGGCCCAGAUGAUUUAAUGACAUUUUAAGUUAACUAAAAAGAUAAAAACCAUUAACGGGUCACACUUUCUCUUCAUUAAAAACUAAAACAACAAAACUUCCAAUUUAUGCAUGAGGAAACUUACCUGGCUUUCUUCACUUCAAGAGAUGAAGAGCCUAGCCACUCAUCAUUUGAGGAAAAAUCCUCAGAGUUUGAUUUGCUAGAAAUAAAAAUAAUGAGAAAACAAAAAUAUAUAUAUGAAAAACAGAGCAAGUUCUCUGUAAUAUAUUUUUCUUCCUUAUACAAAAGGUUGUCUCUAAGAACAAGUUCCCGAGAUCUAUCUGAUUGUAAAUAAAAUUACAACUAUAUAUAAGAGGUUAUUCACCCCUUUGUUCUUUCUUAAAGACUAAGGAAUCCUAUGAUAGGUGGGUUACAAGGAGAGUUUGGGGAUUUAGACAUCAAAUAUCUAAAGCAAAAUAUCUCAAGAUGUUAGUCGGAAAUAUCAGGAAGCUUCAGGAGAACACCGCGACACUGUAUACUGAGAGAAAAACUCUCCGGGUAAGCUCUAUCAAAGGAUCCAGACAUGUCUGACUGGGAAAGUUGAAACGUCCUUCUCUCCCAUCCGGAUGUGAGAUAUCCGGAGAAAGUGAAAUGUCGGUCGGACAGAAUUCUUUCCCCGGGUGGAAUGAGUUGUGUUGCGCGUCGCAAGGGGGACCGUCUGCGUGUACAAGUUGUAGGGACCCCUCUCCCGGAUGACACCGAGCGCGUAAGGCUAUCCGGAUCAACUCCAUUCGGAUUCCCCAAGAGGACAUGUGGCGUGCUCCCCUAUCAGGACUCCCUUAGGGAGAAGCACACGACACUCGUGAACAUCAUACCCGGACGAUAGCAUGUCCUAUCCGGAUGUGUUGUCCGGAUCAUUGACUAAAGUGAGCAAGCCUUGCUACGUCAUUCGGACAGCUUGCCACAUACCAUGUUCCGUCGCCAUCUGAUGGUGUGUCCGAACGCCUUGUCCGGACAUCUUUUGCUCCUUGCAUUCCGGAUUUGCUUAUGACAAAGGACUUCAAAGCUUCGGUUCUUCAUGUUUCUGAGCUUUCCAUUGCUUUGCCAUGGAUUCCAAAGAACUCUCCUUAAUCACGGAUUGCUUUGGUGAUCAAAAAGUUAUCAAAACACAAAAACUUAACAUAGUUUGAUUAGAAUUGAUUGCAAGGGUUCUUAAUAUGUUAAUUGGGUUAAAAGGUGAUAACUACUACUCAAAAGUGUUUAUAAGAAUUAAUUACAAGCUAUGAAAUAACACUUUUUGAGUAGUAAUCAGGAUACAUCCUAGUUUUUCAUGGAAUUGAUAGUGGGUUGUUGUGCAUGAAUGCCACCAUUUCAACUAUGCUGUUGUUAUUUUUAAAAAAAAUAUGGAUUAUGCGCGAGUGGCAAUUCUCCACUAUGGAAAGUGGAUUGCUCCUUCAACCCAUGCAUGGCUACGUAUUCCUAUGUCUUUCUACUUGUGUUUGAUCCUCCAAAAAAAAUUUCGGUUUAGUGCUAGUAGAUUUUAAGUGGUGGAUCCCCAUUUUUUGAAAAUGAAGUGGCAGCCUCCCAUUUCAAGACAAAAUGGUAGCCUGCCUUUAAUCUUUGGAGAAAAAUCUGUGCAUGACCUUUUUUUUUCCCAAAAAAUCCGUGCAUGGUGUCCUUUAAUAUUUGGAGAAAAAUCUAUGUUGGAUCUUUUCUUUUCUAGAAACAUUUGUGUGGUCUUUUUUGUUAGCCCAAGGGUUCUUCUAAUCAAGUUUUGAUGAUAACAAACCAUGGUUAAGUGACUAAUUGGUUUAAUGAUUAAGAAUCUCAAACAUAAAAUCGAAAAUUCAUCAAAGGACCAAAUGGAUACAAGAUCGAGACGCUUGGAAGACUUGUAAUCAUAGGAAACUAAUGUAAGAUGAAUGCAUGAGUGCACUUAGGAUUUUCACACGUUUCAUGCAACUUAGAAAACCCAGUUUAUUCUUUAAAACUUCAUCCCAGUUUAUUCUUUUUAUGGUUGUGUGUGCUUUCCUUGAUACGUGGCUUAUUUAUUAAGGAUACAUCCCAGUUUUUCAUGGAAUUGACAGUGGGUUGUUGUGUGUGAAUGCCACCAUUUCAACUGUGCUGUUGUUAUUUAAAAAAAAAAAAAAUGGAUUGUGCGCGAGUGGCAAUUCUCCACUAUGGAAAGUGGAUUGCUCCUUCAACCCAUGCAUGGCUACGUAUUCCUAUGUCUUUCUGCUUGUGUGUGAUCCUCCAAAAAAAAUUUUGGUUUAGUGCUAGUAGAUUUUAAGUGGUGGAUCCCCUUUUUUUGAAAACUAAGUGGCAGCCUCCCAUUUCAAAACGAAGUGGUAGCCUGCCUUUAGUCUUUGGAGAAAAAUCUGUGCAUGACUUUUUUUUUCCCAAAAAAUCCAUGCAUGGUGUCCUUUAAUAUUUGGAGAAAAAUCUAUGUGGGAUCUUUUAUUUUCUAGAAAAAUUUGUGUGGUCUUUUUUGUUAGCCCAAGGGUUCUCCUAAUCAGGUUUUGAUGAUAACAAAUCAUGGUUAAGUGACUAAUUGGUUUAAUGAUUAAGAAUCUCAAACAUAAACUCGAAAAUUCAUCAAAUGACCAAAUGGAUACAAGAUCGAGACGCUUGGAAGACUUGUGAUCAUAGGAAACUAAUGUAAGAUGAAUGCAUGAGUGCACUUAGGAUUUUCACACGUUUCAUGCAAUUUAGAAAACCCAGUUUAUUCUUUAAAACUUCAAUUUCAUUAAAACCCGAGUUUUUAACUAAUGUACCUUAGGCAAAAUGUUUUAUAAUUGGCUUAAUAAUUCACCUAAAUACAUUUUCUAAGUGUUAGAAAAGAAAGGAAUUAAAAAAAGGUUUUCGGGGCAAAAAAGGCUCAACCGGUCGAGGCUAUGGUCAACCGGCUCAACCGGUUGAGGAACCAAUCGAUCGGUUGUGCUUGUCCGAUCGAAGACCAAUCGAGGGAUGCCAAAAAAUUUCUCUCUCUCCUAGUGGCCUUCUCUUCCCGGUCGAGGUUCGGUCUAGGCAACGGUAACAUGUCAAGCAUUAAAUGCUCCGACGACUAGUGAAUCGGUCGACCCCUAGCCCGAUCGGACGAGGUUGCCUUUUGCUGUUUUUGACUCCCGAGCUUAGAAACCUAUAAAUUGAGAGCUCCACUUCAUUUAUUGAUAAAAGAGAACACUUGCAUUCAAUAGUCUACCUACCUUUUCUUGAUCAAAAAGCUCUCAUUUCCUUCAUAGUGCAUUAAAUCAUCACUUGCAUAUCCUUUAGUGCACUAUUGUGUGUCAUCCUAGCUUUGUUUUGUAUUUGAGCUAUCCUUAAGCUAGGUUGAGGGAUUAUUUCUUAUAAAAAUCUGAGUGUUAAAGCCUUCAAGAGAUUUGAAUCUUGAAGAGAUUGUGUAAGAGCCCAUUGGAGCCGGAGUCCAAGUGUAAGAAGAUUGGAAGCUUGGUUGAAGCUUCAAGUUAGUGGAACCCUCACUCGGUUAGGAGGUUGAGGAGAGUGGACGUAGGUAAGGAAGUGUCGAACCAUUAUAAACCCGAGUUUGAAUUCUCUAACUCUAUCUCUUUAUUUUGCUUAUAUUGUGUUUGAAUUUGUUGUGAUUGAAAAGAUUUUAAAAACCUAAUUCACCCUCCCCCCUUUUGGGUUUUUUUUUCUUAAUUAAGCAUAACCUUUGUUUUCUAAUUUUCUUUUUAGGAAAAUCCAUGCGUGGUAUGUCCAAACUCUCCAAGUGGCAGUCUGCCUUCUUCUAAAAAAUUUGUUUCUAUUUCUUUAUUCGACUACCUUCCAUGUCUUCCUAAUGAGUGCUUGUGCUCAAUGGUCAAUCCCUGGUGGUUGCCUCCUUUUCCCAUAUAUACGUGUUGCAAAAUCAACAUCCCACUAUAUGUGGGUUGCCUCUAUGGCAAGUUCACAUUUCCCACAUGAAACCUAUGAGUUUCCACCAAAAAUUGCCAUGAAAAAGUCUUUAUAUGCAUCUCAUGCAAUAAAAAGUCAAGCCAAUACUCAUCUUAUCUCGAAAAAUAAGUAACCAAAAUCAAGAUCAUGCCUAAGUGAACUAUGCCAAAAGAAGUGUCCAAGUGACCUAUUAUGAAAAAAGUGCCUAAGUGACCUAAGGUGAAUGUGUGUAAGCUGGAAGGUGUCUAGGAUGUUUAGGACAAUGCCUAAGCCUAAAAUAGGGUUGCCAAGGGUCACAAUGGGGUUAGAUAAAUCUCUCAAUCAGAGUCUCCAAGGUGGCUCAUAAAAGAUAAGCUACACGAGUAAUGAUGGGCCACCAGGGAAUUAUUGUAAAGCACCAAACGAACACAUAAUAGGACAUGUGUUAGAAUGAAAAAAUGGAGGGUUUACAAGUGGUCUCAUGGAUGAGCUUGAUAAUUUAAAUGACUCACAUAAUGAACGUAUGUGAUGUUUCUCUCCAAUAACAAGCAAAACAUCACUAGCAAUAUGAUGAAUGUCUCCUAAAUCACUUGAAGUAGUCCUAGCAAAUCAAUUAGAAAAAUCACACAUAUUGCUCUAAUGUAAUAUUAUAUACAUCUGUCAAUGAAUGGGAGAACUAAUGACACAACCAUCAUGUUGAUAUCUCGAACCCUCUAAUCUCAUAUGUAGGUGGGAUCACACUUAGAAACUCAUAACACAGUAAUGACCAAUCUAAGUCAAAAUGUGUUGGUGAUCGGAGGCCCAUGAAUAUGAAGUUCUAGGAUGAUAAUGACAUCUUAUAAAGUAAUGAUCAUCUCCUUAAUAGAUAGGUGAAAUGUGUGUGUCUUAGGACACCAUCUCUCAACAAGACUUGUGAUCAAUCCCCAGUCUAGUGUAACAUGCCUAUUAUGACAUCCAUCGUAAAAUCUAGACUAGAUAAUAUAAGGACAAAUGUGAGGGUUCAUCUCCCUUUCCCACAUAAAUUUAAAAAAUUAUUAUUGACAAGUUAAGACCAAACUAAGUUGCAAAAUAUAAAUAAGUCCAUUAGAUAACAAAUUUAUGUUUUCUCAUUUUCUCAUUUUUAAAGAGAUAUUAUGUGCUUCCAUGUACAUACAUGCUAAAGUCAAUUAUACGAGACUUAUAUCCAUCUUGUAGAACCAAAUCGAACCUAUCUAAUAGAUCCAGAUUAGAAGUAUGUCCUCUAUACUCCAUAUUUAUAACACAUUUAUAAAGAUAAAUGCUAAAAAAAUGUUAAAGAUAUAAAUUUAAUGAACCAUACUUUAUGAUUUUAAUUCUCAAUUAUUGUUCAUAUUUAUAAGAGAAAAGUUAAAAAAAUUGAUAGAGUUUUCCCUCUAUCAUGGACAUUAUCCCAAAUAAAAAUAAAUUGAUUAUGCAAAUUACAUUAAUAUUUGUAACCAAAUGAUCAAUAACUAUCUUGUAUCAAUUUAGUAAAUAAAUUUAAGUAUAUCUUUUCAUUUAUGACUAACAAAUAACUCAUACUUGUCCAAUAAAAGCCACACCUAAUUUCUAAAAUUUUGUCUUCACCUCAAGUGAGUGUUACAUUGAGAAAGAAAAAAUAUGAAAGAAAAAAUGAACACCUUUUUCUUUUAAUAAAAAAAGGCCAUAACGAAACAUUAAAUCUCACUGUUACACCUAUCUUCAAUGGAAACAUGAGGAUGUGAAUGGUGGCGGUGAUAUUCUUUGCUUGAAGCUCAUAAACAAAUAUUCCUUACUAAGCCUAUGCCAUUUAGUAUUUCAAUAGUGGACCCCCCCCCCCCCCCCCCCCCCCUCCUUGCAUUUCAGAUUUAGCAAACUUAGAACCAAAUAACAAAGUGCAUUUGAACCCAUAAAGAAGUAAUGAGACUCUCCUAUAUUGGCAAUAGAAGAAAUUUUUGGAGGUAUAGGAGAUUCACGGAUGAAGAAGUUGGGCCCCAAUUGAGAUAAGACCCAAGAAAAGAUGGGGUAGAGAGGGAUGGUUGGAAAUUGUAAAGUAAGAUUUUCAAAAUGUAGUUGAUGACUAAGAUUUUGACAAUUUAAAAAAGGUUUAAAAAUGUAGUUAGCAAUCGGGGUUUUGUAACAUUUAAAAAAUAAAAUAAAAUCUCAGGCCACAUGGUAGCCCAUGUGAUUCAGAAGCUUGAGAAUUAUUUUAUAAGAAGACUUAAUUUGUGAUUUUUUUAUAACUAUAUUAUUUUUUUUCUUAACACACGAAAAAAAUUAUGAAAUAAGACAAUUUUCCUAAGAAAGCAUGUAAGUGACUCUUGGUUAUUUUAUUUAACUUCUUCUAGUUUGGAGAGGAUUAAUACCUUUGCUUUUACUCACUUGCUUGGAUAUGUACACGUUGUUCAUGUCACUUUUCAUUUAAUUUUCUGAUUAAGGGAAUUGGAACCGUACGUAACUGUCUUUAUUCCCUCUGAAACUUGGACUUGGAGUUGGACUUUCAAUCUCAUCAGUCGUGUUUCCAUAAAAAAGAAGAUGGAUUAACCAAUUUUCCUAUGCCUACUAAUCAUACACAAAACUCCACUUCCAAAUAAAAAGGAAUGGGAUAUCACUUGUUAAUAGUGGCUAAAGACUAUUAAUAACCAUGCAAAGAAAUGUCACAUUUUUUGUUCUACGCAAAUUUUAUUCAUCAACUACUAGAACCAUUUCAUACAAUAGUAGCUUUUCGAUCCUUUGAUAAAUGGACACUUGAUGUGAUAACACCAACUACACCUAUAUAUUCAAGCAAUCAUGCGUAUAUAAUAGUGGAUAUGGAUUACUUCUCUAAAUGGGCAAAAGUUUUGUCAUUCAAGGAAAGUGAACGAGGAAACACAAGUUUACUUUCAUCGGAACUAAUAUUAUAUAUUGAUAUGACUUCCCAUUAUUACUUACGAUGGAAUAUGCUUCCAUAAAAUGGCCUAGAUGAACAAACUAUCCAAGAAGUUUGGGAUCAAAUAAUAUAUAUAUAGUUCAUGUGUGAUUCUUUGGUUGACAACCUUGUUAAGGGGUGAGUGAAGCACUUUGGGCAUACCACAUACUACAUGCUAGACUUCCACCCAAGCUACCCUAUAUUCCUUAUGAACAAAGUAGAAGUUGUCAUCUCUCUUGAAUACCAAAUCCUUUCACCUAAUAAUGCUAUCUAAAAAGGUCUUAAAAAGGAUAAAAAUGCGCAUAUUUGAAUUUUUGAAUUAGGAGUGCUACUUAAAAAGAAGCUAGAUAUACAAUAAUAGAAUGUUAUCAAGCAUAUCUCUUCAAAGUUUUUGACCAAAAAAUAUAUGAUUUCUCAUUUUAGGUAGGAGACUUAGUACUCACUAUUCAAAAACCAAUUAUCAUUACUCAUAAAAACUAAUAGAAAGUUUGGGCCAAAGUAGGAUGGACCUUAUAUUAUGCAACAAUUAUGCCUAUAAAAUUGUUGCAAAAGAGGUUUUAGAAUCAAAUCAAUGAAUGAAAAAUUAUUAAAGCAUUACUAUGCUUGAAGGCUAGUCAUUUUCCCUUAAAGUGCAAUAUUAAGUUGCAUAGUACUAUGUGGAUCCGCAUUUUUCACAUGCGUUCCCACUCAUUGUCGAGACUCACUUUUUAGAAGUGAAAAAUUAGUUUUAUUAAAGUCGAAGUUGCCACUGGGGAUUUGAACCCUAACAAAAGGUUCAAUUUAAGGAUAAAAAUAUCGAUAAUCACAUAUAUAUAUAUUGGUACUUUGAUUUUAUGAAUAUAUUGAAGAAAUAUGGACAAAUAUUUUGACACAAAAUAUGUACAAAAUAAAAAUUAUAUAAAAAGUAAAAAUAAAUAUUUUAAAAUUAUUUUUUUAAAUAUAUAUAUAUAUAAUUUGACAUAUUUGAUAAUAAUAUAUAAGGGUCUCCAAAAAGCCCGUGGCCCGCUUUAGGCCCGGUCCGACCCGACAGGCUAAAGCCCGGCCCAAGCCCGCCGGGCCCAAGCUCGGCCCGAGCCCGUUUAUGGGUGGGCCGGGCCGCGAGCCCGUAGGCCUGCUCCUUUAAAAAAAAACUACAAAAAUAAAAAGUAUUAAAAAAAAUAUUCAUUUCAAAAUUUUAUUCAUUGAAUGUAUAAUUACAUUUGAAAAUGUGGGAAAAGUUUACAUCACUACAAAAUAAAUACAUCCCAACUAGGUUGGCACCUAUUUAUUUGUCAAUCAUCUGUAUUUUUCAACCACAAAAAAUAAAAAUAAAAAUAUAAUAUACAUUUAGUCAUUAUUUUCUGGCGGUGAUGGCGAACUAUCAUGCAUCCAUGAAGAUCUUGAUAAUUUUAAAGAUUCCAUAUCGGUAAGCAUCUUUGUUUCUCGAAUGGAAUCAUACAUCCUUUUAUCUGCUAUUUCCCAAUCUUUCACACAUAUCCCUGCUUUAAUAACAUCUGACGCUAAGUUGCAUCGUUUUUUACUAACUACUCUUCCACCUGCACUAAAAGCAGCUUCUGAUGCAACUGUACUCACAGGAACUGUUAGUACAUCACGAGCAAUUAUAGAAAGCACAGGAUAUUUGUGUUGAUGUGAUUUCCACCAUAUUAAAAUAUUAAAAUCUUCUUGAUCUUCAAAUGAAAUUAUAUCAGUAUUAAGAUAUUUAUCUAAAUCAGAUGUAUUAUUUGGAGAAUUAUUUGUUGUCUUUUUUCGACUUUUCAACAUUUCUAGAGCUCCUUUAUAAAAAGAUGAGGAGUUUGUAGAUGUAGGUGGUAAUUUAAUAGUAUUAAUAUCAUUACCAUAUUUUUCUUUAUAAUAGUUAUAUAAAUUAUAUAAUAAUGAAUUUAUUUCAUUUUUAAUUUCUUCAAUUUUUAUUUGGUCAUUAAAAUAAAUAAUUGUUAACCAUUCAUCCAAAGCUUCAAAUUUCAAUCUAGGGUCCACAAUUAAAGCAAUAUAAAAAAUUAAAGGUAUUUCUCCCCAAUAUUUUCUAAAUUUUUAUAUCAUUACAAAUAUUGUAUCAUUAAAUAUUUCAAAACUUAAAUAUUUUUGAAGUACAAUAAAAAUAUUAGUUAUUUGCGUAAUAACUCGAUUUGAAGUUGGAUAAUAUACACCACAAAAAAUGUUUGUUGAAGUAUCAAAAAUUUCAAAAAGAUCUCUUAAAACAUCCGCAAUAUGCCAAUCAUAAUCAUUUAAUGCAUAAAUAUCUGCUUCAUAAUCAUUGUUAAUUAAUUGUAUUUCAUAUAAUUCGACUACUUUUCUAUAUUUUGUAAUAUUUUCUAAAAGUUUAUAUGUGGAAUUCCAUCUAAUAGCCAUAUCCAAAUUUAUAUUUUUUCUUUUCAUAUUUAACAUUUUGCAACAAUCAAAAAAUAAUUCAUGUUUUGCUUGAAAACUAUUAAUACUAUAUGCAAUGCCUCUAAUUUUUUUCCAAUGUACUAUCAACAUUUUUUAAUCCAUCCUUUACAAUUAAAUUUAAAAUAUGUGCACAACAACGCACAUGAAAUAUUUUAGCAUGAUCUUCUUUUACUUGCCAAUAUCGUUUUAGUCUAUGUAUUGCUGCAUCAUUAUUAGCAGCAUUAUCUAAUGUUAUUGUCAAUAUUUUAUCACGAAUGCCUAAAUCUAUAAUUUCAUCAUUUAUUAAAGAUGCUAUAUUUUUACCACUAUGUGGAGUAUUUAUUAAUUUAAAUAAAAUUAUUCUUUUAUUUAAUUUCCAUUCAUUAUCAAUGUAGUGAACAAUUAUAUAUAAAAAACCAGUAUGAGUUAAAGAUGUCCAAAUGUCAGAUGUUAAACGAAUAUUUCCUUCAAAAUUUGCAAAAUUUUUUUUUAAAAUUUCUUUUUGUGUAUAAAUUUUUUUCAUAAUAUCUCUUUUAACUGUAUUUCCAGAUCAACCUUUAAAUUGAGGAUUAAUACCUCGUUGAAUUGUUCUUGCAAAAUCAUGAGUUUCCAUCAUGUUGAAAGGUUGUUCUGCUCUUAUUAUAUAAUCAAUCAUUUCUUCACAACAGUUAGAUUCAUCAUAAGAAAAUGUUUUUAAAUUUCCACUUUCAUUUUUACUUAAUUGCAUAUAAUUUCUAAUAUCUACAUUAUUUUUAGUUUUACAAUUUUCAUGAUGUCUUUUUAAAUGACUUGUAUCUGCAUUUGAGCCACCAGUAAGAAAUUUAUUACAAAUUUUACAUUUUGCUUUUAUUUUUUUUUUAUUAUUUUCUAAAAUUAUUUCUAUUCUAUCAAAAAAAUUCCAUAUAUUUAAAGUAAAUUUUUUGUUUGAUGAUAUUUCAUCACAUGGACUAGACGAAGAAGCACUUGUCAUAUUAUAAUUAUUGAUAAAAUAUUAUGCCAAAAAUAAUAAAGUAAUAAAUAUAAAAAAAAAUGUAACAAAAAAAAUAAAGUAGUAGGGGUGAAGUAUGUUACUCAAUUAGAGAACCUAUGCAGAAAUUCCUAGCAAAUUUGAACUCUUGGAGCCACCAAUGCUUGUUUUGCACCAUCAACAAUAUUGUAUAAUUUGAGGGAAAAAUAAAAGAAUUUAAAAUAUUGUAGAAUGUGAGAGAAAUAGAGAGAAUUUGAUGAAAAAAUGAAAAGGAAGAAAAUGUAUUUAUAGGAAGGUUAAAAAUAAUAAUAAUAAUAAUAAUAAUAAUAAUAAUAAUAAUAAUAAUAAUAAUAAUAAUAAUAAUUGGCCAUGUGACCGUUGGAGGCUUAGCUCCAACGGUCACAUGGGCUGGAGCUAGGCUCCAACAGUCACAUGACCGUUGGAGCCUUUAAUUUUUUUUUUUAAAAUAAUAUACUUUAUUUUUAUAUAUAUAUAACUAACUCAAUUAAUAAACAUAAAAAGAAUAUAGUUCAGUUGGUUAGAACCUUGAAGUUUAAACAUGAGGGGAGGGGUUUGAAUCCCUCCCUCUCCCUUAGGGGCUUUUUUAAAAGCCAUUUUGGCUUAUUUCAAAAAGCCUGUCGGCCCGACCCGCCCUGCAGCCCGCGGGCCUAGCAUUUUAGCAUGGCCUGGUCUGUUGACUAGUCAAAUGGCUCAUAGGCUCGGCCCGAACUGGGCCGCGGGCCUCUUAUUUACGGACCGGCCCGACCCGGCCCGCCCGUUGGAGACCCUUGAUAAUAUCUUCUAUAUUAAGUUACAUUAUAGUUUAUUUUACAAUAUUAUUAUGAUAAUAUGUCUAAUUUUAAAAUAUAUUUAAUAUUAAAAUUAUGAUCUAUUUUAAUUUAAAUGUAUUCAAUGAUAUCAAAUAAAUAAUAAUAUAUGUAUAAUUCUUUUAUUAUUUAUAUUUAUUAUUUUUAAUAAAUAUAUAGAUUAUAUAAAAAAGACCGGAUAUAUCUUUUCAAAUUUUGUAUCGCUCUCCAAGGAUAUUAGAUGUAUGGGAAUUUGUAUUGCUAUCUACGGAUACGUUGAUAUAUGGGUGAUUUAUCAGGAUAAUUAGAAAUUCUAAUUAUGUAAGCAGGUACGGAGUUCUGUGUCGGUGCGAUCUUGUCGACAACAGCUCCAAAUUGUGCAUCUUGCUCAUAGAGAGUAGCGGAAUGCACCAAUCGUAGGCUCAGAGUACCACUGAGUCGUCUGGCAGAGACCCAACUGAAGGUGCCUGUGUUGUUCCUGAUCUGAUCAGGCUUCAAACUACAAGGUGGAAUACUGGUUCCCCUAUAUCAGAAGCUGGAGAUACCCACCCCAUAUGCUCGUCUGGAUGUGCUCCUACCCUUUGAAGCCUUCUUCCGAGUCAAGUCCGAAUUGAUAAGGCUAGUGAGUUCCCAACCAACUGUACUCAGCAUGCUGCCAGGUGGAGACCCUCCAUAUUUGAUGGCUUCCUAAUAUUAAAAUGCUGACCACUGGUCUUCAUGUUCCACAGGCUUAAUUGUGUCCUUUGCUGAAAGAAUGGAUAGUGAUCCAUUUUAACACAUGAUUCACGCCGUCUUUGCCAUUCUUCAUGGUCUAGCCCUUUUAUAUAUAUGCUUCCUGAACUGUUGCUAUUAAUAAAAUGUGGUAUCUAUCCCGUACACCUUCCUGAUGGCCAGCGAAUGCAGAAGCUACAGAAACGGUUCCAUCUUUUGCUUCCGCCACUUUGGCAUCCUCCAUGAUGAGAUCGAAGGUGAAUAAUCAUAUUCUGGGGAUUUAUGUCCUGGAUAUUCUCAGUAAUGCCCAAUUUCCUGGUGCCGGCCUCAUUUCCAUGGGAACUGAUGGAUAACUUAAGGCUUCUACCAUCUGCGUGGUUCGCUUCUAACACAGGAAACUUCACGGCUAAAAGCAAGAUACCAAGAACAUCAAGGCUGUGACAAAAAUUAGUAUUUUUAACUUGUAGGAAUUUGAAAGGCAACCAACCAUCUAGCUCUGUUCUUAAAGCUCCCAUAGGAGGAUCAGAGGCUGGAUUGCUCAAGAUGAACUCAUCCAUUGUUGCACUUAAAAAGAAUUGGCAUGAAUUGUGGCCGCUCUAAUAGGUUCCCUAAACCAUCAUCCAAGUGGGCUUGCGGAAGGUAGCGAGUUUAAAACACCUAGGGCGAUGAACAGUGGACUGUGAUGCUCACAAAAGAGAAAAGGAAGAAUUCAAUAAUUCCUAAGAAUCCAUUUGCCUGUCAUCCAAAUUUUUAUAUUCUCUUCAGUCUGACGCGUUAUGCCAUAUAUUAAAAAUAGCGGCUUCUUCCAAGCCGAGACAGACUGUGCAAAGUUCGCAAGGCCAAUCAUCACCAUAAUCUGAAGUUGGCCUCCUCAAUCGCAGCUUGUAUCCGAAUGCUCACUUCACGGGAUGGAUUGUAAUGAAAACUAAUCUCAGUCCCAGCUAUGGCAGCAUCCUCACUUGACAGCAUUUUCUGCAUAUUCUAGAACAAAGCAAUAAACCCUCAAAGGCUCCUUCGGAUCAGAGUUAGAAGACUGUCCCUCAGGAACGUGAACACUAUGGUGGUUCUGAUAAGCAGUGAUAUUGCAUUAGAGCCUUUUGGAACAAGAGGAUCUUUUCAGGUGGAAACUGUAAACUGCUUCAUGUUGGGCUGCAACCUUUUCUUCAAGCAAUACUUUCUUUCUGUAUCACGACUUAUGUUGCUUCCGGAGCCAUCCCGUGUGGACUGCCCUUCAGUGAAAGAAUAUGUGUGUUGACAUGUUGGAUUGUAAUCUUUGUUCCACUCUAAUGGCUUUUGGUCCUCCUCUUUCUCUUUAUGACAGAGAACCAUUUAGUGAUCCAUCUCUAUAUUGUAGCAUUGCUGGUGCUUUGCAAUACUACACUCUCACCAAGCAUAACAUCUAUUUUUCCGUGACCAAAGUAUGUCGGUUUAUGCAUGCGCAAACUCUUAUUCAUUGGCAAGUUGUCAAGCGUAUCUCAUGAUUUCCCAAAGCCACAAGUUCUUAUGGUCUUUCUGUUCAAGCUUACAAUGAUCUAUCUUUUCUUGGUUAUACUGAUGUCGAUUGGGCUAGUUGCCCUGAUAACAAGCACAAUACUAGUGGGUACAACACUUUUCCUGGUCCUAAUCUCAUUUCAUGGGCAUUUUCAAAGCAGAAGGUUGUGUCUCACUCCAAUAACGAAUCUGAAUAUAGGGGACUCACUAAUUAAUGUUGUUGCCAAGGUCACUUGGAUUGAAUCUGUCUUACGUGAGUUGCGUGUUUCUCUACCCCAACCACCAAUUUUGUUGUGUGACAACAUUAGUGCUACACACUUGGACAAACCAUGUUGAAAUACACUAUCAUUUUAUCCAUGAAAGGCUUAUGCAUCACACACUCAAAAUUCAAUACACCUCUUCUAUAGACCAACUAGUCAAUGCUAUGACCAAAGCUCUUCCUUCAUCUCACUUGUACAAUCUUCAGUGCAAGCUGAUUGUUCUUCCCAAACCACUCAACUUGAGGGGAGAUGUUAAGCCAAUUUAAUAAAUUGAUUUCUUUUGGUUAAUUUGUUAGAAUCAUUUUUAUUAGAGGUUUGUUUGUACAAUUACAUCCAUUUAUCAGGAGAGUACACGUGUACAACUCCUCUUUUAAUCUCACCAUUGUAUAUAUAUGAUACACGACCUUACUCAGAAUUGCAUAACAUUUCCUCUGCUCAUUCCUUUUCUUCUUUGAAUUUUCCCUUACCUCACUGAUUUUGAUUUAUACCUGGUGUUUUCACCUUUGGUCUCUACCUUUCUAGCCAGUUUUCUAAUUAAUCCGUAUAUGGUAUACCUGUCAACUAAUGAGGAGAAAGAGAAAAGGGGAUUGCUGUUCCACCAGCUACAUAUAAUAAUUAAUUACAAUCAUGGUAAUGGAUCCUGAAAUCCAUCCUUUGUGGAUUUUGUACGGAAUAUUGUUGUUAUGUAUGUGGGCUCACUUAGAUGUAUAUUGCUAGCCUGUCUGGGAAAUGUGAUUGCAGGUCCAGAUUAUGAUGUUGAUAUUAGUGGGAUAAGCAAGAGAUGCAGUUAACACGUAUGUGAUGGACUUGAGUAACUUUUCCAUUUCAGUCCAUUUUUUAAGAUUAUGCUUAGUCUUAUUACAAGGAAAGACCAUAAGAAUCAUGAGUCAUUGGCAAGGUAAUAUCAUUCCCUCUUUACAGGCUUCUUCACCUUUUGGUUUUUUUAAUAUCCAUCAAGAUCUUUUAAUUGGAGGACAAUUACAAGUAUAUAUAUAUGUAUUAAAAGGGGAAAAUAUUAAAACAGGAAAUUUUAGGGAAAAUAUAAUAAUUAUUUCUUCCUUCUUUCCCAUAUAGAACUACACAAAAUAAAACUUUAAUAAUUUUUUCUUAUCUUUUUUAUUAUUAUUUUUUCUUAGAAACAUCCGUGGUCUCACAAGCUUGUAAUCCUAGAUUGUUAGGCUCCUUUAACAGUGCCCCAACAUCGUGGUCCAAUGACAAGCUUCCACGCCUUAAAAUCAGAAAAUGCCAUUAAACUUUAUCAGACAUUACAGUUCAAGACAAAGCUUUCAUUUGCUUAAUGUGAUAAUGAAAUUGUUAAUUUCAUUUCGUGGGCAUCUAAAUUUGGACGAGCAAGACCUCUGAAUUCCCUGUUUUUAUCACCAGCAGAGGAGAUAAAAUCUUAAUGGUGAGAAUCUCCACGUGAAAUUUAUGUGUACUGUCAACAUAUUUUUGUUUAUAUAGUCCAGUAGCUGCAGGAAGUCUAGAUUAUAUAGGUAGCAGUAGCACUAUUUAUAGCACUCGAUAUUCGCUGUAUGAAUACAUUAAACCUUGUUUUCAAUACGCAUCACAAGCAAGUACUAGAUACUACAAGGAGUGACAGUCGCAUCAACAUUUCUUGAUAAUAGCAGUGACUGAUUUAUACACAGAACAGUACUGUACACGUACCAGUCACCAGAGAUAGGAUCUUAUUCCUACAUACGACUCUUAUUGAUCGAAGUCACUCAGUUGGGGUAGCCUGGAGUUGGAGGUUUGUGUGGUGGCUUCUUCUUUGGAGGAGGCUUUAUCUUUGGAGGCAUCAUCUUUGGAGGCAUCUUGUGUGAGUCUUCUUCAGCAUUCUCUACAGGAGGAUGGCCAGGCUUAUGACCCUUAGGUGGUUUGCCAACUGGGAUUGGUGGCUUGUGUCCUGAGAGUGGCUCCUCUUCUUCGGGAGGUUUGCCAACUGACGUUGGUGGCCCGUGUCCUGGGGGUGGCUUGUGUUUUGGGGGUGGUUUCACUCCACCGGGAGGUUUACCAAUUGGUGUUGGUGGUUUGUGCUCAAUCGGUGGCCUCUCAACUGGGGGGCGCUUGGGGUAAUCAGCGAGUGAAGAAGUGGUGAGAACCACCACUCCAAGCAACAACACUAGCAAGUAUGUGGAAGACAUCUUUGAGUUUGGCUCAGAUGGUGUAGAACUAGAAUCCUGGGUGGCCUUUUAUAUUAGUUGGGCCCUAUGCCCGAACGACAAGUGUCAUGGUGACACAUAAAGUGAUGGGGUCGAUUUGGGCCUACCGGAUUUGAAAACUUGGACAAUUCGAGAAGCGUCUCCUGACUCCGGGUUGUAAAGUGAAAGAUUAGGUAUCGACCAUUGAAGUAUGAUCACAACUUUUGGCCUUUGGCUCUCUCUACUGCCGUAUAGCUUUUUUCCUUUGGAUAUUUUUCUUAGCUAGACACAAUUAUUGAGCAGUCUAAUCUCGAAAUGGGAUUAGUAUAGCUUUAAGCAAAUUUAUUAUAGUUAGUGGAGGACUUUUAAGAGUGCAGACGACAUUUAACACAUGCAUGCAGUAGUAUAGGGGACAUAACACUAUUCUUUUUCCAAAGAUUCACAUGAUUUUUAUAUUAUAGUAUUGGCACAUUGUAUGUAGCUGGUUUUGUGGUUAAAAUUCCAUAUGUAGACACUGGCGUUUCUCCAUUUCUCACAAUUGAUGUUUACCUCCACGAUUACUAGAUUAGAUAUACCAAACAAUAACACAUUGUAUAAUCUAUCCGCCCUUCAAAAUCUACUGUAUGAUGAAAUGUUUCAUGUGUGUGUGAAGUGUUAGAAAUGCACUAUAGGCAACAUCAUCUUCUUUUGUCUAGGCUUGGGCCUCAAAUUAUACUCCCAUGCCAUGAUAAAUUUUCAUGUGCAUUCUCUAAAGAAGAGUGUCUUGAAUGUGCCAAAUCAUUUUGAUUGAUUUUAUGAUGUUAAUUGCUCCGCAUAUGGAUGGGUAUGUGCUUUAUUUGCUUAUUCAAUCCACAAUUACCUUGAACUGAAGUCCUAUUGGAGCUCUAUUAUUUUAGCAACGUCCUGUCAAAUAGGCUGCUAACUUGGGGUGGUAUGGACCCAAUGAUCCAUCUUAAUCUUGGGUUGAUUUUGUCUGACUCUAUCUAUCUCAGAGAGAACCAGGAUCACCAGUGCUGGUCUGCUUAAAGAAGACUCAGUACUGGAUUAAUAUUGGUUUGGGUCAAUAGCUUAUAAUGCAUUGAAUGCAGAAUAAACAAGAUCAAUGAAACCCAAAACACACUGCCCACACAACUUCACUCUGGUGUCUGUUAUUCAUCAAUUCUAUUCCCACAUGAACUGGUUCAAGUUUAAGAAAAUGACAACGGAUCCACUGUAUUAACUUGGUUUUGCUUGGUUUUGAGCUAGUUGCCAAACCAGCCAUGAGUUUUACCUCUAAUGUCAAUGAACAAACCCCAAAUGAACAACUGCAACAGCUUAAAGAGAAGGAAUGGAGAUGAAAAUCCCUGUUUCUUCUCAUUCUGGGGACAAAUUAGAACAUAACUACAAAGGUUCUAUUAAUUGACUUACUCUACCAUGAAUUAUGGUUCUUUGGUUUUCCAAAUUUAAAUUGUACAUGAGAUUAUUUUUUUCCUUUAUAUAUAAACAUAUUAAGGUUUUCUUAUUUCGUGGGCAAAUGCGCUAAGGAUGAAAGUCAUUUCAUUUGGCUGCAACAGCAUCUUAUAAUCAACAUGCAUAAGCAGCAGUUUUAAUUGAUCGAUUGAACACCGACUCACAAGAAUAGAUAGAAUGGUACAAGACAGCUCUUAUUAAUUUAUACUCGUUACUCAUUUUAUGUAGCCCCAUUAAGAUGGCUGGCUGGACCACCGAGGUCUGGGGGUGGUGUUGCUUGUGUGAUGCAGCGGGCCGGGCAGACACUUCUCUAGUUGCUUCUAUUUGGAGUUAGAGGAUCAGUCUCUGCCAACCUUGAGGACUCUCUACCUCAGAGGGUCCAGGUGGUGGACUCUGGUGUCGGUAGCUUUGAACUCUCAGUAGACUAGUGUGUCUUAAUCAGUCACUGCCAGAGGCUGGCGUAGGCAGUGACGAUAAGGUGAGACAAAUUACCGAAUAGUCAAUAUCGACUGCACUUGACCAUUAUAGAUUUGUUCUGACAAAAGUGAGAAAAGGGAGAAAAUCGGAUGUUGACCUUUAUAGAAAAAGAUAAGAUUUACUGCAACACAGAGCACUGAUUUGUUACUUGGAAACCAAGUUAUGCUAUUAGCUAGCCUCCAUUAGCAGCAGGGUACCUUGCUGCCUGAUCCUAAUCUGAGUUCCCAAGGUUUCAAUCUUCGUUUGUUAACGCUUCAGGAUUUGGAUAUUUCAGCUUCGUUUCUCCAUUUAGCCAACGCUGCCUGGUUUGGAUUUCAAUCCUCAUCUGGAACAUUCUUUUUUCGGUCUGAUUCAGGAAGUGUUUGGUGAUAGUUGAUUAAAAUUAAACAGUACUAUCAUACAAAUAAAGCUGAUCUAAUUUUGGUGGGCAAUAUACCAACUCAUUUAUUCUUGAAAACACCAUGGGGAAUUGGAGGUCCAUCCGAAGUACUAUUUGAUGGGACUCACAAAAAGAACAGGUGCACAUUUAUGAGAUCCGUGGAAGAGAUAACUAUGACAGCUAUGCAUGUACAACAGAUUUAUGUCGAGUUCACCUCGUAGAUAUUUUGUUUUCAGUGUCGGUGGACCCCAAAAUGGAAAUCGGAAAUUAAGGUUAUAUUUAUUUUUUUAUUUAAUUUUAAAUAGAAUUUUAAUUUUUAAUAAUAUUAAGUAUUAAAUUAUUUUUUUAAGGGUAUUUUAUUUUUAUUAAGUAUUAAAAAGUAAAAAAAAUUAAUAUGUUGCUUUUUUAUUUUAAAAAAAUUAUAUAUUUUAAUUUUUUCUAUUUACUAAAAAGUUUAUAAUAAAUUAUAAAAAAAUAAAAAAAUAAAAAACUUAAAUUCUGAAAAUAAAUUAUUUUUAAUAAAAAAAUCCAAAAAAGCAAACACCACCUAAAUUUGAGAUGACUCAAAAUUUUAUAUUUUUUUUCACCUAAAUUAUAUUCAUAAAUUUAAAAUUAAAAAAUUAGGAAGUUGAAUUUUAUUUUGGAUAAUUGGAAACUACAAGAAAUCAAUAAAAAUAUUUGGAAAAAAAAGAAAAAGAAAAACUAUCUAUAUAUUCACCCCCUUCUAAGAAACAUAACUUUAGUUUUUAACUAUUUUUUAAAAUAAUUUUUGAAAAAUGUUAUAUAAUAUUUUAUAAAACAAAAAAUCUGUUUGACAAUUUGAUAUGUCUUUAACUUAUUUUUAAUAUUUAUAUAUAUAUAUUUUAAAAAUAAUUUUAUAUUUAGAACUUUAUCUUUAAUUAUUAUAUAUAUUUAUAUAAUUAUUUUUUUUAAAACAACUCUUAAAAAAUAAGUGAAAGUAAUUGAAAACAACUCAAAGAUAUUUGAUGAAAACACUCUAAUUUGUAUUUUUGAGAAUAAAAAAAUAAAUAAAUAAAUUUCUAGUUAUCAAAUGUAUUUUUUAAUUCUUUUAUUCUAAAAAAUAGAAAAUCGUUUUUGAAAAUAAUUAUUAAACAACAUUCUUAAAAAUUCACUCGUUACAAUCUAGAUUUAAUGCAAGAAUGAUUGAAGGAGUCCUCCAAUAGAACCCAAAGUUAUAAACAUGAACAAGAAGCCCUAGAAACACCAAAGAUCUCAUAUGGUAUAUAUAUGAGCUUGAUUGAGAACUGUUUUAAAUUCA